rnacentral:lncRNA from 1 species
UUUUUUUUUUUUUUUAAUGAAUGUAAAAUUUAUUCAAACAAAAAUAGUACUACAUCAAGUGCUUCUUUGUUUUUAUGAAAUAUAAACUUUCCUACUCCAAAAGAAAUAGAAUCUACUUCUUCAUAAAUCUAGUCUUGUCCCAAACCAAGUAAUCAGCCCUUCUUCUAAGUAAUUUCCCUUCCCUUUCACUGCAAGUAGCUUUAGUCUUAUAUUUUUAUCUACAAGCUGUGUCAGAGUAGCCAUGGUUUUAGGAUCUUCCCCAUGCCUACGAGUAUUCCUCUCCCACCAAAUUGUGUGCAUCGCAGCCUGUAGAGUGUAUCUGAGGAGGAAAGUCUUGAUAGGCGUUAGCCAAGGCUUCGAGACAAUCCUUAUCAGGUUACUCCAAUCAGUAGUGAACAUGUCUUGCAUAAGACCUCCAGCCAGGUUCCUCCAAACGUUCUCUGAAUACCGACAUCCAAAGAAGAGGUGUGCACAUGAUUCAGAUUCCUCAUUGCACAGGACACAUUCUGUAUUUAUAGAAUUAUUCCAUCUCAUCAUUCUAUCAGUUGUCUGCAACCUCCCCUUCAAUGUAACCCAUAUCAUGAACGAGUAUUUCGGAGUAGAAUGAGAGAACCAUACACCCUUACUCCAAUCACAAAUCGGUUUAGUAUCUCGAAUCUGGUCCCAAGUGUUACUUGUUGUAAACUUAGCCAUAUACUUCCCUUCAGCAUGCUUCCAAAGAGUAAUAUCUUCAUCUUGUUGAUUCCCAAGUUUACGUAUCUCCUCUUCAACUUGAUUAAGAAUAUCCACUUUGUGAUUUCUUCUUCUUCUCAUUCUCUUAACCUCCGCAACAGAGAAACUGUUAGGAAUCCCCAAAUCAAGUGGACCUCUCUCUCCGAGUAUCUCUAUUAAUGGACCAAAUCGAGACCAACUCCCAUACCAGAAAGAAGUACACUCUCCAUUUCUGAUUUCCUUCCUGAGAAACUGCUGUGCAAGACCCCUUAACUUUAGUAAUUUUUUCCAUACCCAAGAUCCAGAACUUGUGUUCUCUUUGAUCGACCAGAACGAGUUCUUCCUGAUCAAAUAACACUGAAUCCAUCUGACCCACAAUGAUGAAUCUGCCAUCAAUCUCCAAAUAAGCUUCAAACCGUAUACUUUAUUGAUUUCUUUCAAAGGUCUCAUCCCUAACCCUCCUUCAUUUUUGGGAAAGCAGACCUCUCUCCAACUGACUUUUGCUUUGGUUGUAACUAGCCACUUUGCAAACAAUUGAGAAUUGAUAACCAUAUAAAGUGGAGUUGAUCGUAUAUAAUUAUUCAGUGGCAUAUUUCCUAAAUCCUUUAUAUAUCACAAGGUGUUUUUCUGCACAAUGUAGAGUAGUAAAAUUAUAAUUUUAAAUUAUAUUUAAAAUAAAUUUAUUAUUAUUUUAUUGCUUUCUUACUAAAGUUUUAAUAUAAUUUUGAUUUAAUUAAAUAUAAAAUUAAGUUAAAAAAACAAUUUUGUUUAUUUUAAAUUAUAUCUAAGAAUAGAUAUUUAUAUAUUUAAAAUUAUAAUUUUAGAUAAAUUUUCUUAUCUAUUUUUAGAUAAAAUAUAUUAAAUAAACUUGUAUAAAAUUAAUAAAAAAAUUGAUAUAAAUUUCUAUAAUUAUUAAAAAGUAACACUAAACAGUAUUUCUAAAAUUUGUAUAUAAAAGAAACUAAUAAUAUUAAGAUUAAAAAUUUAUAAUUUUAAAAAAAUUGUUAAAAAUGAAAAUAUUUUUUAGUAAGAAACUGUAUGAUUAUAAGAAAUAAAAAUAAAUAAUAUUUCGAAAUUUAUAAAGUAUUAUUAUAUUUCUAUUAUUAUAUUAUUUAAUUUUAUGUUUGAAUAUAAUUACUUUAAUGAAUAUAAUUUACUACCAUAUUCUAAAAAGUGUACCAAAAAUAUAAUUAAGCAUUACAUGUAAUUUUUCUUGUCACAUUUAACCAUAAGUAAUGUCAUCAUUUAUAUCAUGCCAUAUCACAUUUAUUUAGUGAAAAUGACUGUACAAAAGAGAUGUGUCAAAAUCACUUUGCAAAUAAUGUCUAAGGGAUUUGAAAAGUAUUACAAUAUCUGAAGAAGCCACGUGUCGUCAUCGAAAUAAUUUAAAGAAAUAGGUUGGUCCAUCUAAAUAUAUACUAUUUUUUCAUAAACUAACCAUAAACUCAAUUAUCAAUGUUCUUCAUACUUUUCUUAGAUAAAAAUUACUAAAUUACCUAAUGUGAUUAAAGUAUAUAUGACAAUUAAUGAUUUAUAAUAAUAAAUUCUCAUUUAAGAAUGCUUUGAUCAAAAAUACAACUAAUUAUAAAAUCAUAUAAGUAGAAAGUCUCAUUUAAUAAGUAUUCAUAUUAAAAUAUAUAUAUAUAUGAUUUUUAGGUACAUAAAUAUUUUAAUUUCAGAAUGCUUUGAUCAAGUACCGAGAACUUCAUAUUUCAAUUUUGAACAUUUUAUAGGAUUUUUAAAAAUGAUAAUAAAUUACUAAACUAUUAAAUUUCACACAUUGAAAAUUUUGUUAUUAGUGUAUUAGAGUUUUUUUUUAAAGAUACAAAUAAUCAUAAAACAGGUGAGUAAAAAUCUUCAUUUAUAGAUCAGCCAUAUUAAAAAUACACUAUAUCAAUGCUAAUAUCAUUUAAAUUUAAUUAUAUACCGUAUAAAAUAGGUUAAAUUAUUGUUUGAAUUUAUAAAAUAUUGUAAAUAAAAAAAUUGAUUGUUUUGAUUUAUGUACUCACACCAAUUUUAUUAUAUAGGUAAUAGUUACUAACUUCUUAAAUUUUUUAAUAUAUAUUAAUUAUUUUAUUAUUUCUUUUUGACUUUAUUAUUUUAAAACACACAAAAAGCACAUUGUCAUCAGACAUGAAUUUCUCAUUACCAAAUGUAAACUUAAAGACAAUAAACAACAAUGUCAACAUACAUAGAACUAAACACACACAAAGAACUACAUAGAACAAUGUCGACGUACAUAGAACCAAACAACAAUGUCGACAUCAACGCCUAGCUUGCUACAUCUUUCUUGCAAAUGUCACAAUACAAACACACACAAGGCACACUGUCAUCAAAGCUUUCUAAUUCCUGAUUUCUAUCUUGCUCUUUGCUAUUUGUAUGUGAGGAGGUUGAAGAUGCUAUUCCUUCAAAUCUUCAAUAAAAGUCUUUAACUCAUCAACUUCGGUUAUAGUAGUAUUUUCCCUCUCAAUGAUUUUGAGUUUGGGAAUAGCAUCUUCAACCUCCUCACAUACAACAUCCUCAAUCCACUUAAAUAAAUGCUCUUAAUUCAUGAUCAAAUUAGAUAUCUUUCUGUCUUUUUUUUUUUUUGAAACACAGAUAUCUUUUUGUCUAAAUAACUAAACAACAUCUAAGAAGCUUACAUCUUUUUUACUUUUUUGCUUAUACAACAGUAGAAAAGUCUUCAUGGAUUAGCUUGUGUCUUCGAUAGUAAAAGUACCACACGUAAUCUACACUCACACUUCGUUGGGAACCCAUGAUCUCCUACUCCAGAUUGUAUCUCUGAAGAUGAACUUAUCAUGAAAUCGAGACAAAACUUUGAAGAAAUUUUUUAGUUUUCGAUUUUUAGAGAAUUAGGGAUUUAGUUUUCGAGAAGAAAGAAUUUUACGGGUUUUCUAAUUUACAAAAUGACAGAAUGUUAGUUUAACAAAGAUUAUAAACGAAGAUUAACCCGUAUAUUCAAUCUGCUACCUCAGUAACAACGUUUUAAAAUUGGUUUAGUCAAAUUAACUCGAGGCUUUAAGUGGUUGGUUAGUCAAGAUAAAUUGGUGAUUUAAAUGGUCCAAGGAAAAAUUCAUGUUUUUCAACCAAAAUUUGAAAGCUCAAAAUUUAAAAGAAUAAAUUUCUCAAUUGUUAGGAGAUAAAAUUAGUAAAAGUUAGAAGUAAAAAAAAAAAAGAAAAAAAGUGCUGACCAGAGUGAAAAGAAAAUAAAAAGCCAAAAUGAGAGGAAAAAAGAGAAAGAAAUCCCCUUUUUAUUUGUUUUUUUCAAAAGAAACUUGUGGCUGAGAACCCUAAAGACUAUUGACGUGGCACACUGGGCGAAUCAAAAGGUUGUACAAACUCGCGAGAUCACAGCUUAACUGUAAUCUUUUCUCUCCCAUACACAAAAAGAAAAUAACUAAACAAAUCGACCAGAAACAAAAAAAAAAAUCAGACAACCACCGAAACAGAAGACAGGACAGUCUUUUCUUUCUCUCGCUGUCUUCUCAAAAGUUUCCGCUUUUUCUAUAUUCUCGCUGGAGGACAAGAAGAAAAUUGAUGUCUGAUCCGGCGAUGAAGCUAUUUGGGAAGACGAUUCCUUUACCUGAGCUUGUCUGUGUUGAUUCUUCUUCUAGCUAUACCGAACAUCAACACCAGAAUCCAGUUCGGUUAUCAGAUUCUUGUACCGGAGAUGAUGAAGAGAUGGGUGACUCCGGUUUAGCAGGAGAUGAUGUUUGGUUUCACGGUGGAGACAGCGAGAGUGAAAAGGUAAUGUCUUUUUGGAUUCUUGGAUGCAUUUUCAAGAAUACCCAUGACAGAUUUGUCGAUGUUAGAUUAAGUGAAUCAAGAUCUCAAACAGUUUCAUUCGGUUUUGAUUCCAUGGAGAUGGUUCCUAGUCUUUCCUCAGAUGGGAGAGUCUAGCUUUUGUUUUUUCUAUCUUCGGUUUGAUGUUUGUUUGAUUUUUAUACAGAACAACGAUCUUUGCUUGUUCCUUUAUGAGUAACAUUGUUACAUAUUAGGAUACUGAUGCGACUAUUGCGAUGUAUUAUAUGUUGCUCCAGGAAGAGAAAGCUAAUCAGUGUGGGGAAGAAUCUAGUAACGUUACUAUGGCAUCAUCUACAAAGACGGAUGAAGAGUCGUCGUCACAGAACAACGAGACUUGCUCGCGAGAGGGGAAACUAAAGAAACCCGACAAGAUUCUGCCUUGCCCUCGAUGCAACAGCAUGGAGACCAAGUUAUGUUACUACAACAACUACAACGUUAACCAGCCUCGCCAUUUCUGCAAGAAAUGUCAGAGAUAUUGGACAGCUGGUGGAACUAUGAGGAACGUUCCUGUUGGUGCAGGGAGACGCAAGAACAAGAGCUUGGCUUCUCAUUAUAACCGUUAUGUAGGCAUAACAUCUGCGGAAGAUAUGCACAAGGCAGCGGCAAGAACCGAUCCUAAUCUCAUGACUAUUGGAUCUGAUUCAGUCCUUUGUGAAUCCAUGGCUUCAGGUUUGAAUCUUGCUGAAAAGUCAAUGUUGAACACACAAACCGGACUGCAAGAAGAACCCAAUGAAGGUUUGAAGAUUACCGUUCCUUUAAAAAACAAGGAGACUGUAGCAAUCAGCCCAAGAACGUGGACGGUAUUACCGUUUUACCCUCCACCAGCUUACUGGAGCUGCCCGGGGGUUUCACCAGGGACAUGGAACAGCUUCACUUGGAUGCCACAACCCAUUUCACCAUCUGGUGGGUCUAGUCCAUAUUCCCCAACACUUGGUAAACAUUCACGAGACGAGAGCAUUGCUGAACCAGGAACAAAAAGAAUAUCCGGGAGAUGCCUGUGGGUUCCCAAGACGCUGAGGAUCGAUGAUCCAGAGGAAGCUGCUAAAAGUUCGAUAUGGGAAACACUGGGAAUCAAGAAGGACGAAAAGGCAGACACUUUCAGGGCUUUUAGGUCAUCACACAAAGUAAAAAGUUGUCUUUCUGAUGGAAAACUUCCGGGAAGACGACUGGAACUGCUAGCUAAUCCUGCUGCUCUUUCAAGGUCAGCGAAUUUCCAUGAAAGCUCAUAGAAUGAAGAUGAAACUAAGCAGAUGAUUUGAUUGUUUUGGGUUCAGUCUUGUGUCCCAAGAAAAGCAGGUGAGUCCUUUUGUAAAUAUAGCUAUUUAUAUAUAAUGGUUGACAUAGUGAGGGAGAAGUAGUUUUUGGAUUGAAGAGUGAAAGUUUGUUUGUUCGAUAUAAUGGAAAACCCCAAAACUGUAGUUAAAUAAAAUAUUGUUUAUGGUCUCGAAAUAUUUGCCACAUUUCCAUUAAGACAUACAAAAUGUAGUUUAUGCCGAUCAUAUGACUCUGUCUGGUCACAAACAUUUUAAAAUGAGCAUUGAUUUCUAAAUAACAGUCUCCUCUCCAAAGUAUUUUGAUAUCUACUUUAUGAAUCAAUGGUGUAAGAAGAACUCAAAAUCACCAAAACGUGAGAGUCAAUAUUCACUGAUCUAUAUGGUCAGUCAGAGUCUGAACUAGACCUGGGCAUUUCGGAUAUCAGUUCGGAUAUUUCGGGGUUUCGGGUAGUUCGGAUAGGUGGUUAGAGGAUCCAUUUACUACUUGACCUAUUUUCGGUUCGGUUCGGUUCGGAUAGUAAAUGUGGAAGAGAGAGAGAGAGUAACAUUUAUACUUUAUAAAUUGUAGUAAGUAUUAUUUAAAAUAAGUAAAAAUUUAAAUAAAUUAAUAACAGGUAUUAAUAAUUUAAUAAGAAAAAUAUAUAGAGAAAAUUUGAACAGAUUAGUUAAGAUUAUUGCAAUAUACAUUUAUAUCUAUGUAUAAUAACAAAAAAAACGCAUAUAAACAUAUAAUAUUACGUAUGUAACUUUUAACGACCAAAAUAAUUAUACAAUUUAAAUUAUAAGAGAAUUUUAUUUAAAUAAUUUAAAUGGAAAUAAUAAAGUUUGUAGAAAGUUUGACUAACAAAUAAAUAGGUUAUUGAAAAUAUUUAUUAAUUAAUCAAAAUUAAAUAUUGGACAAUUGCUAUGUUUCAUAAGCUGAUAAGUUUCUUUACAAAACCUAAAAAAAAAACAAACGUAGACAACUAAAUAAUAAAAUACUAACUCAAUUUAGUUCAAACUCUAAUCGAUGCAAUUUUCUUUGAUGUUGAUUUAACAUCUUAUUUGUUUAUUUUGUAAAGAAGACAGCUCAAAAGUCAGCUGUCUUCUUUACAAAAUAAAAAGAAAAAGACAACUCAAAAGUAUAUCUGUUUCUGAAAGCGGUUAGGACAUAGUUGCGUGAUAUGAAAACCAUACAUACGACGUAAAAGAAAAAUCAAACAUGGAAAUUUGUAAAUUUCUGAAACUAGUAUUAAAAAAAACUGAAAUGUAUCCCACGGUAGGAAGUAGGAACACGAUGAAGCGAGACGUAACAUAUCUAUUGACAAUCGUAACUUUAUAUAUAUGUAUAAAAUACAGUUUUCCAAAAAGAAAUACUAAAUAUAGUUUAACUUCAUAGAAAAAUACAAAAAAUAGUAUACUACCAUGAAUGGUGCACAAGAAACUUCCUCUCAACUUACUUUGUAUUCUUCUUUCUUAUAUUAAGUUUCUAUGUAAGUUUCAUCUUUUCCUAUCCGUCCUAAUCUCUUCUUGCAACUGCAACUUCCUCAGUUUUGCAUCUCCACCUAAAACUCUGUCCACAUUGACUAUAUAUAUAACCUUAUAACACAAUUCAUAUCUCCCACAUCUCUUCCAAAACAUUUACUUCAUUCAUUUGCUAAGCUUUUUUAGUUUUAGAAUCUAACAAAAGUUAUGACUGCAAACCACUUGUACUGUCUUAUAACCAUGGAAAAGAGUUCCUUGUCCCAAUGCAAACAUUCUUCUUCUUUCCCUUUGUUUGGUCUGGUGGAUUUUUUCCUCAUCGGCUUUUUCAGAUGGGUUUCUUUCGCUCAGAUCUUUUUCUCCAGGUUCUGUCAUCUUCCUCAACACGAGCAUUGUGUUUCGGAGAAGAAGAGCAAAGAUCUUGAAAUCCAGAGUUUGAUCAAACAUGGUAAUGGUCUUUGUAUAGAAGAUGCAGAGAUGGUGAUGCAAAGCUUAGGACUUUUCACCGACCAAGAAAGCGAGGGACUUCAGAAACGUUACAGUUCAGAGGAACUAUCGAAUCUGUUUGAAGAGAAAGAACCAAGUUUGGAGGAAGUGAAGCAGGCUUUUGAUGUCUUUGAUGAAAACAGAGAUGGAUUUCUUGAUCCCAUAGAUCUGCAGAGAGUUUUGUCAAUCCUUGGUUUGAAGCAAGGAUCUAACCUUGAGAACUGCAGAAGAAUGAUCAGAUCAUUCCACGGAAACAAAAAUGGAAGAAUCGAUUUCCAGGGAUUUGUGAAAUUCAUGGAGAACAACUUCUGCUGAAAUCAUAGUUUCUGGAGUAACAAUCUAUGAACUUCUGUUUCUGUUAAUGUUGUUGUCUCAUUACCUUUUUGUAAAAUAUUAUUAUAACUUUAAUAUCAAAAGCUCCUAUAGAGCGAAAAACCAGUGAGAUGAUGAAUAAUUCUCACAUACCUAGAUACAAUUAAAACCAAAAGCUUCCAAUAGUGUAAACUGUGAGACACUAUUUACACCUAAAAAUGAUAACUAGAGAACAUUAAGAAAAUGCUUACGAUGAUCAAAGCUUGUGAGGCGGCAAAUGAUCGGUUUAAAUCAUCACCAGUAAUCACAACAAGAACAGUGACCGUCUUGAAAAUGAUGGAACCGGUUGGAAUCCCUGACAACUAUUAACCGGUCAGAGAGCCUUGAGAUAAGCUUGAUUGCAGAGUGACAAUCAUCACAUAUCCUCACGUUUUUAGUCACGUACAACGGUGACUUGUCAGGCGUUUUCAUCAGACCGUAAGCCACAGCUAGCUUCUCGCUAUGAUAAGAGAGGUUGUUCUCUCUCUGCUCUUCGUCUACAUCAUGGUAAGCUCCAGCAAUAUCAGGCGCAUACCCUAACGGCCUGAUCUUUGCCAAAACUUCCUUCACCUUUUCGUAAAUCAGCACAAUCUCGGCGUGUUGAUUAUCCUCUGAAAGAAACACAUGGGUUUUGUUUCGUAUACCUAUCCAGCUUACUCCAGGCUCCUUCUUAACACGCCUCUCCUUCAUCAAAGAACGCACUCUAGCCACACCGUCCCAUUCCUUGGACUUGGCAUGGAUAUUGGACAACAAUAUAUAGAUCCCUGAAUCGUUCGGAUGCAUCUCAAUGGCGUAUUCCGCCACCUUCUUUCCUAAACUGUAGUUCCUGCGAACGUAGCAAGCAUUUAGCAACGCUCUCCAUGCAACAACAUCCCAUCCUAUAGGAGCUGUUCUCAUGAAAUACUCAGCGUCUUCGAACAAGCCAGCCUUGCUCAAGAGUCCAACAACGCAUGUAUAAUGCUGUAGAUCAGGCUCAACACCAAACUGCUUCAUCAAAUGGUUAAAGUAGUAAUGACCUUGCUCCACGAAACCCAUAUGGCUACAAGCUUGCAACACGCCGAUGAAAGUUAUGCGGUUAGGGAACUCUCCCGCAGACAUCAUUUCCUCAAAGGCUUCAAGCGCUUCCAUCCCCAGUCCAUGAUGUGAGAAGCCACAUAUCAUUGUGUUCCAAGUAACUAUGUCUCUAAAAGCCAUGCCUGAGAACGCUUUCCACGCAUCCUCGAUGCUGCCGCUUUUGGCGUACAUGUUAACUAACGCAUUGCCAACCAUUACAUGGUUCCUAAAACCAGAUUUCACGACAAGACCGUGUAGAAGAUCUCCUUGUCUUAGAAGAGAGAGCUCAGCGGUCGAGUUUAACAAAACAGCAAAGGUGAACUCGUUAGGUGGAACCUCUUUGGUUUCCAUCUUUGCAAACAGAUUCAGAGCCUCCUCAUAAGACUUGUUCUGGAAGUAAGCAUCCAUGAUCGAUGUGUUCAAGACGAUGUUUAGAGUUUUCGUACCAUUGUAAACUCUCUGAGCAUAUAAAGGGUUACCACAUUUACCAUACAUGUUAAUGAGUGCACCACUAACAUCAUCAUGACAGUCGAAACCAAGCCUUACCAUUCGGCUAUGAACCUGCCGAGCCAACUCCAAAUCUCUGAGACUGGAGCAAAGCUUUAAAGAAGACAUGCACGUGAAGUCGUCCCACACCAAAUCUUCCUCAGCCAUCCUUCUCAAAACAUCAAGCCCUUCUUCUAAAGCACCAUGCUCCAAAUACCCACUAAGAGCCGAGUUAAAAGCAAGAAGAUCACAACACGGAAGAUCAUCCAAAAUCUUGAUAGCCUCUCUCGUUCCAGAACAUGACGCGUACAUGUAGAGAAGCGUGUUCCGUACAUACUCAUGUGACAUCAAACCAUGUUUAAGAAAACAUCCAUGACACUGCUUACCUUCUUCGAUUCUCCCAGAGUUCGAACAAGAUUUAAAAACUAUGGUGGCUACAAACUCAUUAGGCUGCGAUUCGCCAGAAAAAAUCAUACUUUUGAAAAGCUUCAAAACUUCGAAAUCAAACCCAGAAUCUUGAUAACCUUUCAUCAACGAACACCAAGAAACCACACUUCUCUCAGGCAUUGAAUCGAACAGCUUGUGUGCACGAACUGUUUUCCCGCAUUUCAUGUAGAGAUUGAUCAGAGAUGUGAUUUGCCAUGCGUGCUCAGCUCGAGAUGAUUGGUUCCUUAUGAUCAAAUGAGCGUGAAUCGAUUCACCAGUCCUCAGAUAACUUGAUUUGGCACAGACUUUUAAGUGAGCACAAAGGUGAUCAACCCGUGGAAGAGCUUCUAUUGGUUUGGGUAAUAAAGACGUAAGCUUGUUCAGCUUUACCACUCUUCGUUCGAGUAUAGGCAAGACGGACAUGGCACCAAAGUUGCUCCUUAUCCCAAAAUCACCAAAACCCUCAAAAGGUUUAACGGAGAAGAAGAAACUCAGUCUCUUAAAGAGGUGUUCGGUAAAAUUUCGGGUUUAAUUUCGGUUUCAGUUUUUUGGGAUUAAAUAUUCAAUUUGGUUAGACCGGAAAUCUGAAUUCCGGUAUGGUUUCGGUUUAACUUUGAUUGAAUAUCAUCGCAGCUGCUUCAAAAGGGUGAGUGACUGAGUGUGAAUAGAAUCAAGGGUUUAGGAUUUGUGAAUUUCGUUAAGCUUAGAAGAACACAGAUCUGCAGCAGUUUUUCCUCUGCUAAUUGGUAUAUAUAUAUAUAUAUAUAUCUUCAACGAUGGAACCAAUAUUUUUAAGCUUGCAAGCUUAUCCAACAACAUUCAUCCUCUUAAGCUUCAAGCUUGACCUCUAUAUCCACGUCCACUUCUGCCAUGUCCUUUUUGCCUUGUGAUGUAGUGAAACAUUGCUGGUGAGUGUUUGCGUAUAGAAGUUCCCCUUGUGUUUCUGCAUUGAUAUCUUCAUUCUUGAUUCUCUCAUCGUAUGCCUUCAGCCUUCCAAUAAUAUCUUCAAAACCUGUUGUCUUAGGACUUGUUCAAGUGAAGGUAUUAUGUGAAUGAAUUUGUUUCUAGGAACACUAUUGAGAAACUUUCGAACAAGCUUGGAUAUAUCUCAUGUCCAAGCAAAGCCGAUUUUGAGACUAGCUCUGAUAACUUUCCCGCAAAGCUAUAUUGUUUAUGAAUCCUUUAUCUUAAUUAUUUUGAAUUUAGACAUUAGGGUUUGUAAUCUUGCUUCCUUGACACGAUCAGCUGAUAGGUUUCUUGAUUUAAUUUCGUACCAUAUCCCCUUAGGUCUGUCUUGUUCAACAACUUGCAUAAUAAGACCCUCUGGAAUGGCUUGAAACAAUAAUCAUAUUGCAAUAUUGUUUAUAUCGAAAUCAUCCGUACCUGGCUCAAUCAUAUCCAACACCUUGUAUAUCUUCAGCAAGAUCUUCAUCCUCAUAGACCACACCAUGUAGUUUUUCGUGCUGCAUUGGAUCAUCGGUGGUGAGAACUCCUUUGAACGUGUUGCAAGUUCGUCUCCCAUGGCUCGUGAUUAAUGAACGUCGAUCAUACAUCCAGUUGACCCAUCAAUCAUAUUUAUCUGUGUCAAAAAUUUUUUUUUGUAAAAUUGAAAAACAUAAGCGUAUAUGGAGCACCGAACUUGAGUAUAAGGGUGUCAAACCUUUAAAAAUACCAUGUGGACUGAUGAUUCUAUAGAACUUACAAUUAAAAAAAUAUUUUUAUCGUUUCACCUGUGUCAACUCACACCCUAACAGAGCGGAAAUAAAACAGAGGUAACUUUAAAUUUUCAGAAUACCUGUUAUCUAAGUCUUUUUUGAUCUGUUAAAUUCUUAUAGAAUGCUCUAAAUUUUAUAAAUAUCAAAUCAAAAGUGUCUUUGACAAGUCAAGAAUUUCACUAUAUAUAACACAAUGAAAAGCCCUAAGUCGCUAGGGAUUAUAAGCUAAUCUUUUAUCUUGAAGUCUUACUCCUAAUUAAUCCUAAAAAAAACAUAUUAAUGUUUAUUUAAAACAAUAAAGGAAAAUAGAAAGCCAAAGCUUAAUGAGAUAAUGAUGUAUGCUACGUCAGGAUCCCUCCCCUACGAAAAAGCAUCCACGAAUCCUGAAAGUAAGUCAUCGAUUCGGUUCAUGCUUGAAGAGAUGCUUGACGUUGAAGAGUCUGUGGUGUGUAUGUGUGAUGGCAACGGUAAUCUGUACGCAUUUGGAUUGAUCUUCUCGAGUACUUCGACGGGUCCAAUCUUACGCAGCUUUAACUUAUUGUACUGUUCUGUUUGAAACCUCUCCUUACUAUGCAUGGCCCAAAGGUAAUCUCCCACCUGAAAAUGUAUUUCGGGCCGAAGUUUAUCUGCUUACUCUUUGUACUUAAACGAAGAAGCCUCUAGAUUACCACGAGCCAAAGCAUGGAUGUGCUCGAGCUCAGUAACGAGGUCUACUGCUCGCCCAUGAAACUCACCCGACUGAGGUCUAUGAGGAACAAACCCAUACACGACCUUGAAAGGACUGAAGCCUAGACUCCAAUUAUGAGUGUGAUUAUAAGCAAACUCUGCUUGACACAAGAUAGAAUCCCACGACCUGAGGUUAUUGCCAACCAAACAUUGUGGAACUCAUGUUCAGACUGAUCUUCAAAAGCUUCCACAAAGAUUUUCAAAAGUGGCUUAUGAAGCGAGAGUCCCUGUUGGAUACAAUCGAUAUGGGAAUACGGUGUAACCUAUAAACUUCGCGAAAGAAAAGUUGUGAAACUUAAACAGCAUAUAUUGUCUUUUUGCAAAAAAUAAAGCGAGUCAUUUUGAAAAAAAAACGAUCAACGCAAAUAUGGAAUGGUUACCACGUUGGGCUCGCGGUAGACUAACAAAAUCCAUACUGAUAUCGCUCGAAAACUGCGUAGGGAUCGGAAAUUUUUACAUUCUAAGACACAUUAUGACUUAUGAAUUACACAUAUAGACACAUUCUGCUGGUCAGACACUUUAUGGAUGUGUAUUGUCCUUCAUGCCCUCAAACUAGACCAACUAUCUCAUCUAAUUAAUUAAAGAGAAAAGACUAUUUCUUAUUAUUGAAAAGUCACGAGUCACAUAUUCUCUCUCCAUUCCCGAUUUCAAAACUCAGAUCUACUUUCCCUUUCCCAAAUUCCCAACCCUAAUUUCGAAUCUCUUCCAUUCAUCCUUCAUCGUUCGUUGAAUCACACCAUGAACCCAUAUUUUUUUAUGCUUGUUUUGUUUCCAUGAUUCUCUCUCCAACUUUCUACCCAUCUUCCUCCGCUUCCCGAUAAUUCUCAGAAAACCCUUUUAAUAUCUUCAAACAAACCAUGACGAAAUUGAAGCCAAAUAAGAAAGAGAAUAAAUCCAAGACUUCUGAGGAACCAACCCCUCGCAAAUCGCAGCAGGAGGUUUUGUCCAUGUCCACGUUUUAUAUACAUGUCCACAUUUUGGUUUGAUCAAUUGUGUCCAUGUCCACGUUUUAUAUACAUCCAUGUCCACAUUUUUACUCUGUCAAUAAACACUUAAUCGAUUAAUUUGUUUUUUUUUCUGGGUCAUUCUAAAAUUCAACAACCUAGGUAGAUAAAGGUUGUUCAGAUGCAAAGUACGCUUGCUGUUUAAAGGGUCAAAGUUUGAGUCCUCGUCGGAGAAUUUUAGGUUUAGAACUAAAAGAUUAAAAUUUUGGUCUGAACAUUUUUUCAUCUUUUCUGGGUUUUUGUUUGGAGGUUAGAGCGGUGGAACGACUUUUUCUGUUCUGAAGAGAACAUGGGCGGUGGUUACUGGUGGCUGGAGUUGUCUUGGUGUCUAGACGGACAUGGCUCCUUUCAUCCAAACCCGAGUGAACUUAGAAGGCUCUGCUCUUUCGAACACGAAGACGUGAACUCCCUCUGCUCUUUAUCUUCAAAUGCUUUGAAAGCACUCUCUAGGAAUAAGGAUAUUGAAAAGUGAACUCCCCAAAACCAUUUAAAUGCUUCGAAAGGUACAAUUUUUGGAUAAUCUUCAAGUUCUAGCGACUCCACUGUGUUUGUAGUUGUAUUUUCUAUUGUAUCCACAAAUCAAACAUGUAUUUUUCCGUCCACGAGUAAAUGUACUUGUCCAUGGAACCUUGUCCACAAUACUUUUUUUUGGAUCGAACUCCUUGUACACAAAAAAAACUUCAUACAUAUAAAUUGUAGGUUUAGAAAAAGCUAAAAAAUAUAUGGAUUAAUAAAACUCUUUAAAUGUUUGAUAUGAACUCGUCCACAAAAAAAAAAUAUGAUACAUUAUUUUCAAAUUUUAGAUGAAAAUGAGUAUGUUCUUUCAAAAACCCGUCCACAAAAUUUUACCUUUCUCCUCCUAGCUGUAGCUCGUUCCAGUUUAAAAAAGCAGCGAAACCAUGAAUUUAUUAUUAAAAUCUACUUAUUUUACACACAAAAGCUCAUCACCCUUAGAUCUAUUGACAUCCAACGGCUCCCCAGGAAUCUAAUUUAUAUUAUGUUUGGUCCCCACAAACCAGUCAGAAUUAAAAAUUAAUAAAACUCUAAGGAUGGUUCGGUUCAGCCAGCGAGGGGCAGUAUAGUCCAUAAUGUGAUGUGUCAUGAGAGAAAGUGUCCCUCCAGCAAGUUGUAUCUGAAUGUGUUAAAAAAGAUAAAAAAAGUGUCCCAAACCGUUAUCAACUCUAGGGAUCGGCAGGCAACGGUGGAAAAAGGCCCGCGUUGGAAGCAUAGUUAUACUAAUUUAUAUCUAGACAAUGAUAUUACUUUAGACAAUGAUAUAACUUGGUAAAACUAUAAUUCUAGUUAUGCAAAGUUAUACUAUUAUCAAAGUAAAAUUUGGUAUAACUAAAUUUAUACUAAGUUAUAGCUGAUAUAAUUUAGUAUACUAAGCUUUAUCUCGAUGACUAAAGUCUAAAUUUUGAAAAUUUUAGUUGGAAGAAAAGGAGGAGGAAAACCAUAAGGAUAAUAUUAGAAUAUUAUUAUUUUAUUAAGAAUAUGAGAGUGUAUUGAUUUAAAAAGAAUAAAUGUGGUUAACUUUUUCUUAUUAAGAGCAUUUGAGAUUGCUAUCCACAUUUCAGUCAAUGUGUUUUUUUUUUGUAUGAGAGGUUGUUAUUAGAUAGCUAUUGCCAUUAGAAUAACAGUUAAAUUAAAUUAUGUGUAUCAUAGUUGCCGACAAAAGAAAAAGAAAAAAUCAAAAAAAACUAUUAAUAACUAAGGUUGUCGUAAGAGAAUCCGUACCACGUGUUUCACCGGCUUCGUGUUCCUUUUUAAGAUUUUCUUUCUGCCUGUUAUAAAGUCUGAUCUCUGAUAGAGAGAGAACCAACAGAAGCAAAUAAGAAAAGAAAACAGAGGAAAAAUGAGUAGCUCCGGUACGCAGCUUCACAAUGUUUUUGUCUACGGUAGCUUUCAGGAGCCUGACGUCACUUAUGUCAUGCUUGAACGUACUCCUGAAAGUAUCUCUGCCACACUCCCUGGCUUGUACUUUUCUCUCUCUCUCAGUUUCUCUCUUAAUACUCUCGAUGAUUACACUCUUGUAUAGAUGUGGUAUUUUGGAUUUUUGUCAGUACGAGGAAGAGGCUUAAAGGAUGUUUGUAUCCAUGUAUUGUGCCGUCUGAGGAAGGAGAAGUCCAUGGAAAGGUUUGAAUUUUUGAUCAUUUUGUGACAUCCAGCUGCUCUUUUUUCGUGGGUUUUACUUUUUGUGUGUUGUUUAGAUUAUUAGGGUUUAGAUUUUGAGAAUUUUUGGUGCAGGUAAUAAUGGGGUUAACGGAUGAAGAACUUAGGAACUUAGAUGCAGUUGAGGGUAAUGAAUUUGAGAGAGUGACAGUUGGUGUUGUACGAGAGGUGAGUCUUAAGAAUCUCAUCUUAACAAAAACAACGUUUAGAUGAGAUUGAUUCUAUCCUUUUUUGCAUGUACAGGACAACUCGGAGAAGAUGCCUGCCAAAACAUAUAUAUGGAUCAAUAAGAAUGAUCCUGAUCUUGAUGGAGAAUGGGAUUUCGAGGUUUAAUUCAUUUUCGUUAACUCAGCAUAGGUAAGGUAAUGUGGUUUGAUCGGGGUGUGUUUUGGAUUUUGGUUUUGAUAGGAAUGGAAAAGACUACACAAGAAGAAAUUCAUAGAGACUUUCAAAGAAAUCAUGGAAUGGAUGAAGGAUCCUCAGGGAAAGGGACGGGAUACAUUCAGCCAUGCCCUCCGCGAAGAUCAAGUGAAUCAAUCGUCUUGAAUAUAUUGUGUAUGUUGAGUAUGUCCUAUACAUCACCUUUGUUUCCAAAUUCCGAAUAAAACAAAAGGUACUGUGAAGAUCAGUGAAAAAAUAGUAAUGAUGACAUGGGGUAGUGUAAGAUUGAUCAUGGGGGUGUGGUAUUAUUCUGUUACACGUCUUUUAGAGAUUUUGGCAUAUAUAUGUAUGUGUUGUGUAUGGUCUCGUUGAUGCUAAUGCUUAUGGCUUCUAUAAUUACAUUUGAUAAGUAUACGGAUUAAGGAACCAAAGAAAGUAGUAGAUCACUGAACUAAUCAGAUAAAAUAGUCCACAAAAGUUUCGUAGCAUUGUCCACAACUGAUAGAUUUUAGGAGUCACGUGCAUUGAUUCCAUGGCAAUAUAAUCUUGACAAUCAUAAUUCCUUGAUAGUGACUAUCAUAAAUCCUACCAACUUAUAUUAGUAUAUAUUAAGUUUGAUAAGCUUUCAGUUAACCCGUAUUAUUUACUAUUAUUUAAGAUCGAUGUCAAACUUAUCUCUAACUCUUGGGAUAAUAUUUGGAAAAUGAUAGAUGAACAAAUAUUGGAUUAGUAGCUUGUUACUGGUCAAGAGAGCAGACGUAUUGGAUAAUAAUGUAAUUCUAUAGUCAAAGUCUCGAAUAGUUAGAUCUCUUGUUAUAGGGUUUGGGUCAUUCCUUUAUAGGUUCUCUUUAGUCGAAAAUAAGGUUAAACUUUUCCAUAUCAUCAAAUAUAAAAAAAUUCUUUUUAUUAAAAGUUUUCUAUUUUACCUAGAGACAGGAAUGAAUCCGGCUCUAAAGCCAGAAUUCGUUUAGACAGAAAUCAAAAAUCGGCAUUAAGCGCGGAACAAGGAGUAGUGACUCCCUAAAUUAGUUAUUCCCAAACUCUUUAUCUUUUUUCAUGGGUGGCAUCGAGAGAUAAUGCACUUUGGUUGACCACAGUCGUACUUUCUCAGCAUGUCAAUAAAUAGUAGGAGCAAAACGUCGCUUCUUUAGGUUUUUCAGGAUUAUUUUGGCCUAGACUAUGUAGGAACCCGAUAGUAGAUAUCUACCCAAGAGUAGUCAUGAGUAGUCAAAGGAUAUAUGUUUUUCCUUAGGUGAUUUAAGCUCCAAGCCAACAUAAGAUCGCGUGGUCGCAUUUCAAUGAUUAACGAGAUCCAUUUUUUGGCACAGGCCUUGGUGGCUUGUGGUCUGAGAGGCAUGUAUCCUUCUAGGCAUAUAACCUAAUAAUAUUCUGGAACGAAUGGCAGGAUCCGGCAAAGGAACUUUCGAUGUACUUCAGUGGUACUUUGUUUUUCCAAAUAUUGUAGAUGGAUCCUGGCCUGAACCCGGAAUUAAGUAGUAGGAUGCUACAAUGCACAUACAUUUUUGUCUGGCUGAUAAUGAUCGUAUAAAUCUGCCAAUGUCCUUCAAAGAUCCAAGCAGGGGAUUCCCAAGAAAUACACACACACACGAGGAAGACCAGAGAAAGUUAGUUUAGUGACCCGCUUAAAUAUAUCUGCUGAGGAAAGUUUAUCAUCUUUGCUCGAAAGCAGGGAUUUCUAGUUUGAAGGUCGGAGCAUGGAAUUUGUGCCUUCGGUAUUUUAGGAAUGUGUCUUCCUGCUUCGUGGUAACUUUGGCAUUUUGCUGAUUAUUUUUGCUCUGAUCCGCUUUCUUGGUUCUUUGCGUUGGUGCUUGAUAGCACUCAUUUGUGAACGAGGGAUUGCUUUGUCUUUAUAUUUCUACCAUUUCCUAACAUCUACUUAUUCUGGCCAAAAUAUUCUAUGGUAAGAUGAGGUAAGUUAGUCUACAUCCUUGAUUUUCUUUCAGCUCCGCACCUUUAUUGGGCUAAUGUUACUAUGGCAUUUUACAUUUUUCUGACCAAUAAAAUAGGUUAUCAAAUUUCAUAUGAUGAUCGUUAGUACAAGAAUAAUUAGAUAACUAAAAUUUUUAGACCAGUCCUACCUAUCAAAUUAGAUCAUGUUUAGUUCAGUGUGAAAUUAAAAGAGAAAAAGACAUGUACAAAAAUAAAUGCUCUUUUAACUACUUCUCGUUUUGAUACCCCAUUUUAUUGAUUUUCAAAUCUCAAAUACAUAAACCAACAAAAAGAGAUUAUGGUUCCUAUAUAUAUAUGUGUGUGUGUGUGUGUUUGUUACUAUUAUGACUGCACCGCCAUUUUUUUUUGCAUGUUGCCAUUUAGAUGUUAUAACCUGACCAAAAUUUUAUUCUGUGUUGAAACCUCCAUUUUGGUUUGCUACUUGUAAUGGAAAAAGAGAACAUUUUUCUUCACCAAACAAUUGGUCUCUUUCUCAAAUAUUUUUCCGCUACCUAUAGAAUUAUAGGUUUUUACAUUUCUAGUGGAUUUGAUGAUGACAAAGUCAAUUUGAAGACAUUAAUCAGAUAAAAAAAAAUAGAGACACAUCUAUUUAGAUAAUUUCCAGACUUUACUUUCUUUUGAGAAAAAUCGGUGAUCAUCUAGAUCUAUGCAAUGAUUACAGUUUCUAUCAAGUGCCUAAUCAACACAUUCAUCUCGAAGCUACAUCAUGUGGAAAUCUACGGACUUAAUCUGGAUAUCGAAACUCUAUCAUCUUAUUUUUCAUUUCUGCAUUUCUUCUUUAUUCCUCGUAGUCUGAACUCUAUAGCUGAUUCCAAUCAGCGGUAUGUAAUCCUCACUUUGCAAUGCCGUUUUAAGGCCUUAAUUAAGUAUUUGGUUGUUCAAAAAAAUAUAUACUAUUUUGCGGUUUUUUAAGCUGGCAUUUUAACCAUCUCCAAUGAUACAUGAAAAUGAUCAAAAAAUAAAAAUAUAUAAAAUUUCUUUGAUUGGUAUAUCAUUUUCAAAAAAAUUAAUAAGAACAUAAAAACAGUAGUGCAUCAACUAAAAACAAUAUUCACAAACUCAUUUACACUACACUAAUCCCUAAAAUUUUGGACAUUUUUAUGUUACAUAUAAAGGUUAAAGAAUUUGUUAAUACUUUAACCAAAAAAUUUAGUACUUCCAUUUAAAACUUAAUAUUGACACAAGUUGUUCCGCUAAAUCCUUAAAAUUGAUUUUCUUUUCAAAACCGCAAAUGUGAGUUUUUCCAAAACCGCACAUAUGAGUUUUUCCUCAAAAUGUGUUUCCCGUCAAAACCGCAAAAGUGAGUUUUCCUGCAAAAUCACAAAAAUAAGUUUUCUGCAGUAAUCACUUCAGAUUAUAAACUAGAAAUAUUUUAAUCAAAAACCAUUUACUUUGAUUUAUGUUAAUAUAUGAAAUAAUAUUUUUUGCCAGAGAUUAUAUAACAUGUAUUCACAUUAUUAAAAAAAAAAAGAUAAAGGUGUAUUCUAAAUUUGUUGGCAGAUUCUGGAAGGAACUCUACCCACAUGUUUCUUCUCAGAUACGCGUUUCAAAUUUCUAUUCAUUCCAUAUGGCGAGAAAGGAAUGGGAGAAAACACGGAGAGGCACACCAAACUUCAGUUACUUUGCUGAAAGGGAUUGAUAAAGGUGUGCGUAACCGCAUAUCUUCUCUGCGUAUGGGUGGGGAUCGACGAUUUCAGAAAGCCCUAAUGGCUUGGUUCGCCACAAGAAGUUAGCAAGAGAUUAAGUUUUGAUCUUCAAUAUUUUUUUCUUAUUGCAAAAAUAAAACAAUGUUACACCUGAUGUAAAAAGGUUUUUUUGAUUUGAAUAAAUUUAACAUUCUUUCAAAAAAAAAAAGAUAAAGGGUCUAAAGAAGGUUGAAAAGGGUUCAACCCUAUUUUACUUUUUUUAUGGGUUCUAAAAGGGUUAGGGUACAUUUAUGGUUGAGCUUAAGUUUAAAUAGGGCUUGGCUGGGUUGGAUAAACCCUAUAUAAUAUCCCUAGACACAACCAUUGGAGAUGUCCAUAGAGAAACUCUGCCAUCUUGAGUUCUCGACUUUUGUGUAAUACCGAUUCAUUGAAAUCAUAGUAGACAUAAUCUUAAGCAAAAGUUUUUCACAAAUAAAGAAAGUAAACCAAAGUUACAUUGUCCAAGAUUAGGUUACUUCUAAAGGCCGAAGGCUACAAAAAGCAAAGCAAGUCUUAGUUUUUUUUCUUUCUUUUUGGUCUCCAAGAAACAAAAACUAAAGUAACAUUAAAAAGGUAAUUAAAAACUAACACAUAUCAGCGAUGUCCUACACUAGCUAAGUGGUAAUGGUACAACUUAAGUGUUAGGAGGGGAAUACGUCGCCGACAUCUCACUAGCGGUCGUCUCAAAACCAGUCUCGACCAUUGAUCUUACAUUCGGAAGCUCGUGAGUCAAUCCUCCGGCCAAGUUGUGAAAGUAGUUAUCCUCAUUGUUGCUAGGAAACAGAACAUUCUCUGUUUCACUGUUUCUCAGAAACAUAGCAUCCCCUGUUCCGUUGUUUCUAGCUAUGUUGUACGGAACUCCGAGCAUCUGAGAAGCAAAAUAAGCAGCAGCCGACUCUGUGAAGCUUGCGGGUUCGUCUACUGGAGAAGAGCUAAGGUUUUGUCUUGUUGGUAUGUUGCUGAAAACGUCUGUUGAAGCAAAAAGAGUUGUGGUUUGUGACACUGAGUUGUAUUGGCUGGUUUCAGGUAUUGCCGGAUGAAGCCAUGAUUGUGGGACUGAUCUUUGUGAUGAUACUGAGUUCGUCUUCUUAAAUAUUCUGCAAAUAGCCCAAGCAUCCUACCAAAAAAAAAAAAACACAAACACAAACGAAAGGUUAUUUCUCCCGCGUGUAAAGCAAGUUAGGGAAAGUGUGGUUACUUACGCUUGAAGGAAUCUCUUUAUUGUUGAUGUUAUGGUGUUGCUUCUUGUUAUUGUAACUGGGAUACGACGAUGAGCGAUGAGAGUCAGAGAGAGAAGGGAGGCGAAAUUCGUGCAUCAUCCAAUCGGUUUUGAUUCCUUUAGCAGCUCGACCACGGUAGAACACAAGCGACUUCUUCAAACCGAUGCAUCGAGUGGAGUCCAAUGAGUAUAUUGGCCGGUCAGUUCCGGUUGCUUUCCAGAAUCCACCUCCAGUUACACGGUUAGGCCUCGUGCUGUUUCGAUAUUUCCUGUCUCUUGGACAGUAAAAGUACCACUCUUUCUCCCCCAUCGCUGCAAGCUCUUUUUAAACAUUGAUUCAAGAAAAUGCACUCAAGGCUUUAGUUUCCAUAAGUUUGGAGAAAAGUUAGAAAUAAGAGUUCAGUGUGGCGUACUUGGGAGGUCCCACGGAUCGUAUUUAUAGAUAUCGACUUUUUUGAUGAGUUCAAAGGGAAGAGAUCUGUGUAGAACCUUCCGUUUCAGGUAGAAACUUACGAGUUCUUCGUCUGUGGGAUGAAACCUAAACCCUGGCAAAACGACGUCAUCGAAUCUUUCUACGUUGUUGCUUUCUUCAUCAUCCAUAAUUUAGUACUAUUGUGAUUAUGAAAUAAAUCUACCAAAAGAGAAUGAAGAGAGUAAGAGAGAUUUAUAGAAAUUGUGUGUGAGAGAGCCUUGGAGCAUGAAGAGAAGAAGACAGAAGUUGCUUAGAUAUCAAGAAAUGUGUUCAUGGGGAAAUGAUAAUUGGACCAGAAAGUUAUGCAUAGCUAUAAGACCAAUGUCUCUAGGAGAAGUGGAGAGUUUUGCAAGAAAGAUAUGAUCUUUAUUUUCUUCGUCAUUUUAUAUAUUUUCUUAAAAUUUCGGGCGUGACGCAAAUGAAAAGUGUACAUUAAUAUUAAAUUAUAAAAGGUUAUGGAAAAACAUUUUCCUUUACGACAAUUUUUAUGUACGUAUAUUCGACCGACUUUUCGUAACUACUGAUUGGCCUCGUUAUCGUUUCUUGCUGAAGUGUAUUGCUGCUCUGUGUUCGGAAUUUCCUGUAGUCAUUAAUUUGCCAAACAAUCAUCAAAAUCCAAUAUCGUUUCUCGAAAGUUUGGUGUCUUCUGCGAUGGCAGGUUCUAGUUUUAUCUUGCGUUAGGAAGAUUUGCUUCAUGACAGGAUUCGCAAUGAAGCAUCGAUCAAUGGUUGACUCAUUGAUCUUUUCGUUAGGACUGAAUCAGGGCUGAGGCGUUGCUGUUUUGGUGUUGUGCUUUGUAUCAAUUUUUGUAGCCAUCUUAGAGCAACAUUAUUGGAGGUUUCUUGAUCUUAGGUUCUUAAAAUACAUGUAUGUGUAUGUAUAUAUUAUAUAUACGUAUGUAAUUGCAGGGUUCUAAGCUUUACGGGAAACUCAAUCGAAAGUUUUUAAAUAAGAAACUUUCGGUUGAGUUUCCCGUAAAGCUUAGAACCCCGCAAUACGCAUAUAUAAUAUAUAUAUACACAUACAUGUAUUUUAAGAACCUAAGAUCAAAAAACCUCCAAUAAUAUUGCUCUUAAUGAGAAGCUAUCCCAUUGCCCUCAUAACUCUCAUUCUAUUUUGAUAGCCAUUCGUUUACCUCCUGAAUUUAUUCUUAAUUUAUGAAAUAUCUCUUGAAAUAUCAUAAUAUUGUAUGUGAUCUGUCUACCCGCAACAAAAGCUGACUAAGUUUCCGAUAUAUGUUCCGGUAAGAUUUUAUUUAGUCUUUGACACAAUACCUUGGAGACGAUCUUAUAGCUCACGUUUCAUAUCUCUAAAUUAAAAUGCCAAAACUGGGCUAUCUCAGUUGGCUUAUCUUUCUUUGAAAUGAAAUAAAUGUUUGUGUCAUUCAAUCAUCGAGGAAUGAUGUUAUCGAAAAAGAAUUCAGUAACCAUACGGGUUAAACUCUUUUUCCUAUAUCUCAAAAAUUUUGGUAAAAUAAUCUUGUUAUCCCGUCUGGUCCUAGAGCUUUUUCUAGAUCGCAAAUAGGACUAAUUUACACCACCUUCUAGAACUGAGGCUGUGAGGUCUUGAUUUAUCGAAGCUGUGAGGUCUUGAUUUAUCGAAUUCUCGUUAGUAAGCAAGUAAUCAACAAUUUAAACGUAGAAAUAUUUUAAAAUUCAGUUAAACAACUUCCAAGUUAAGCCUAAAUCAAAUUAGGCAUCGGUUAAAUCGAAUACAUUACUUAAGCUUGCUAUGUGUGUCUCCAAGUUUGAGACAUGUAAAAACAUAAUGUAGAAAUGAAGAUCUCGUGGUAAUUUAUUUUUAAAGAAAAAUAAACAAACAACGUUCAAGAUGAGAUAAAUCCAAAAAAGCAUGGGUUUAUUAACCCACGCAACACAAGUUCAGAAGUUUGGUCAAUUGCUUUCAACCUAAGUUUUCUCUUUCUCUUUAUAUGUGAAAGUCCAUUAAUUUCAGCAACCCAUAUUUUAAAAACUUUAUUUACUAAUACUGUGAUUAUCAAAGUACAUGCAUAUAUAUAGUAGUACUAGCACAUGCAUGUUAAAUAAAAAAAUCCAUAGGUAGUAAAUAUUAAAUAUAAUGGUUUAGGUUUGUGCUCAAAAAAACAAAACAAAAAAGAAAGUUGACGUACUAAACAAGUGUUCAGUCUUGGGCAAGUUGUGAAAUUUUUUUCUUUUUCUUUUUCUUUUUCCUUUAGAAAGUUACGUGUUAAUAAAAAAAAAGUUACGUGUUAAUAAACUCUCUAGUUUGCGACAAAUGUUCUCUGACGGAAAAUAUAUGAAACUAAGUCCAAAAUUCCUUGAAUGAUUUAUUAACGUGAAUUAUUGUCAAAUAUGAAUGUAACAGGAUGUUAGAUAUAUGUAGGUGAAAUUAUUUACACCUUCGACCAUAUUUUGUAGCAAUGGCUAACAUCACUACGACUAUAUAUCACAGAUUCGAUUAAUCAGGAUUUCACAGCUCCAAUAAAAUAAUGGGAAGUAAAACUUUGUUUCCAUAUGGUUAAUGAAUUUCUAUUUGAUGGUGUCAAUAUUGUUUAAGGAUUGAAUGAUACAAACAUUUGUCUCAUUUCGAAGAAAGAUAAGGUCGUUAUAGUGGCCCGUUUCGAACUAUCUGUGCAAUUUGAGUUAUAAAAUUGUUUCCAAUUUUUUAAUGCCAGACACUGAAAUAGUCUUAGAUGCGCUUAUCUUUGAAAUUCAAUCAGCUUUUGUUACUGGUAAAUAGAUCACAUAUAAUAAUAUGAUCGUUUAGAAGAUGUUUCAUGCACUAAAAGCUAAUCAAUGUGGGAGAAAUAAGGGGAUGGCUAUUAAAACAGAUAUACACAAAACAUAUGAUCAUAUGUCAUAGAAACUUAUUAGAUAUGUUAUGAAGCAUAUGGGUUUUUCAGAAACGUGGAUCGAGUGGAUAAUGCUAUUUGUUACAUCUGUGUAAGUAUUGAAUCCUCAUGAACGUCCAGCCCAAUGGGAAUAUUGUCCCAUAGAGAGACAUAUGUUAUGGAGAUUCUUUGUCUCGUUUCAUCUUUAUUCUAUUUACAGAAGCGAUUGUUAGCCUUUUAAAUCAUGUGGAGAGUCAAAGUAAGAUAUCGGGGAUGUGGGUAGCACAUACUAGCCCUCCGGUGUCAUACUUAAUAUAUAUUCGCUGAUGAUAGCCUUUUUGUAAGACAGAUUCAUGUGCUUGUGGUGAAGUUAUGAAAACAGUUUUGUUAUAUGGGAAAGCAUCAAGACCUAGUAUUUAUUUUGAAUCGUCUUUGAAAGGCCUCUAUAUCCUUCGGUUCUGUUUAGAUAGCUGGUCACGCUUUAGAUUCUUAACGCUAGUUAUUUAUCUAAUUAAAUUUUAACAUUAAAAAAUUGCACAGGAAAAACAAGGACAUUUAUAGAGCUGGUUUGUCUCUGUUUGUUCAGAGUCACUAUAAUAAGAAACGUCUAUCACUUUUUUUUUUUUGGUAAAAGUUUAAAUAAAUCUGUCUCACACAAAAAAAAAAAAAUCUCUCAUCAUAUUUCAUAUAAAAAAGUCUCUGAAGCUCUUAGGAGAUCACCAAUAAAAGUGCUCAAUUAGUGGUAUGUGUAUUUAGAUUCAUCUCAGAUAUAAGUUAGAGAUCUCUUUAAAAAAAAAUAGACGCAUCGGUGUGAGAUUGGUAUGAUCAUAAGAGCAAAGGAAUUGUCACGUGAGAAGCUAACGAGCUGUCCACCUGCAAGUGAGAAGAGAAGAAACGGUUACACUAAGAAAGUAUAAAUAGAUGAAAUUGUAAUUGGGAGAGGAGUUGGUUAGUAGGAGCCUUGUGGCUUGGGAUUGUUUCUCCUAAGAGAUUCAAGAUAGAUUUCUCUGUAAUUCCGUUGUAACCUCUGUUUUUGGUAGAAAUAUACUUGAGUUCUAUCAAAUUGGUGCGGUGAGCGUGAAUCAAACACGAUCAUGAAUAAGUAGUACGCUUGAAGAAACAUUCAUAGUGUUCCCCUGACGAACAAAAACCAAAUCUCAUAUAUUUUUUCAACAAUCUAAAGAAAGAAAAAAUAGAGCAUGAAACUGAAACUGUGAUAGAAGAAAAUUGGGGGGAAAAUGGAAAUUAGCAAGGUUAUAUAGUUCAUAUUUACAGAAAACGAUAUUAAACUAGGGAAAAAAUGGAGAUUAUCAAAAAUAAAAAGGUUAUAUAGUUAUACUUACAUAAGAUGCUCGCGGAUGUCUUUCGCUUGGGGAAGAUAUGUCUCUUGAAUACAAAAAGCUAUUUUUUAAGAUAUGUGAAUAUCGACUUUUCACUUCUCUUUUCAGUAUUUGUAUAGAGUAGGUUUAAUAAUUAUAUCAAGAUAUACGUAUCGACAUCUUCUUAUUUCUGACAGCAAAUCUAUCAUAGGAUUACAUAGGAUUAUAGGGAGAAUAGGGGUGUUAAAGUGCAUAGAGGUCUAAACAGGGAACGGGUAUUUAGCUCUUUUUUUUUGGUCAAAGGAACGGGUAUUUAGCUAAUUUCGGCUUCUUUCGUGUAUAUCCCACCUAAUUUCUCUAUAUAAAAGUGUUUUUUUGUGCUCAUGCAGGGACAUAUAUUUUUACAAAAUAAAUAUAUUAAAAAAUUAUUAGUAUCUAAUUUAAAUUUUAAUUAUUUUAUGAAUAAUAUUAUAUUAUUUUAAUUAGAUAUGUAAUUUGAAUAUAUAAUAUCUAGUUGAAUUGGUUAUUACUUGAAUAUAUUGAAUUGUAUUUAUUUCUCUAAAUUUAACCGUAAUAUUUUUUGUGCUGAAAUAGAUUUAAAUUUUAUUAGUUUUUUUUGCAUUUAGACUUUUGAUUUAGCCAUAAAAACUUAGAUUGUUUAAGUUGCUCAUUUUGCGGGUUAUACUGAGUUACACAUAUUUUUUUUUAAAUCAAAGCACUAUUACUUUUAAUUCUAGUUAGAACUAAGUUUUAUUAGUUUUAUUUCCUUAAUUUAGUUCAUUUGAAAUAUGUAUAUAUCCAUAUUUCAUGUGUACUUCCCAUUAGGUGAAAUGUCAUACAUCUUUAUCUUUUGUCUUUGUCCAGCUCAAUGGUAUGCUUUCUAUAAUCUUCACAUCAUUGGGAUCCACAAAAAAAAACCUGAAUUGCUUGUAAAUUCAAUGUUUGCGAAGUUACAUUGAUAAAAAAAAAUUCACUGUAAGAUCAGGGUAAAGGUUGUGUUAAUUUCUAUUUGAUGGUCUUGGGCGAUUGGUUGGAAGCAAAAGAUUAUUCCAUACUGAAAUAGAUGAUCUUGAUCCAAACUUUUUGAUUAGUCUUUAGCUAACCAGAGAUCUAGCAAAGACGAUACUGCGCCAGCCAUAUGACGGUGAAUAUGAUCUAAUUGGUUUCCGGGGGAGGCGUUCCUGGAGUACUGUCCUUUGAAUACGCGAGGAAAUAAUGCAGUUGAUUUCUCUAUCAAGCGCCAAAAUUGCUUUCCAAUUAUGGUCGUGUUUAAAUUUGUAAGAUCUUUAAACCACAUGUUUCCUUCAUCCUUGGGAUUGCAUAAUUUUUCCCAUGAUUUCCAGUCAUGCCUUUUGUAUUUUCCUCUAAACUCAACCAAAAUUGUGCCACUGCACUCGUCAAUUUAUUUGUUACGACCUUUGGUAGACGAAAACAAGACAUUAUGUGAUUUGGUAAAGCAGUAAAUACUGAUUUUAGAAUCAAUUUCUUUCCCCAUUUGGUGAAUAAUUGAAAAGUUCAUCCAUUAGCCAGAUUAUUUAAACGGUCUUGGAUAAAACCAAAAACUUGUGUCUUUGAUCCUCCAAAUUUUUUAUGGCAUUCCCAAAUAUGAACCAUCCCAUCUAUGUUCUAAAUCCCUAAAAUAUCCCCAAGCUUCUGCCGAAUGGAUUCCUCAAUCUUCUGUCCAAAUUGAAUAGAAAUUUUUUGGAAAUUUAUCAUUUGGCCCGAUAUUUCCUCAUACUCUUAUAAAAUCCUGAUAAUAGUUUGACACUCCUAUUUUUGUGUCUUACCAAAAAAAGACUAUCAUCUGCAAAUAGCAAUCGAAGGGCAUACCCUUGCAACCUUUAUUCAUGUUAGUUGUUUCUCUCCCUCAACAUUUUUAAUGUUCGCAAUUGGGGACGCUUAUAUGUUUUUAUGGUCAUAAACUUGUUCUUGCAUAACUUAUUAGUCAUUAAACCAUUAAAAAUCUAUUGUGAUAUAAGGAUUUUGUCUGAAAUCAACCUUCCAGGUACAAAACCAAACCCGAUUGUGUUUCCGAAAUAAGUGUGGGUAGGCAGGUCUUAAAUCUCUGGCAUAACACCUUAGAAAUGAUCUUAUAUUUUACAUUGCAUAGACUAAUCGGCCGUAGCUCCGUCAUCCUUGUAGGCCUCUCCAUUUCAGGAAUGAGAAAAAUAUUUGUAAUGUUUAAAUUAUUGACCAUACCAUGCAGGCAGUGUUUUGAAACCCGACCCAGACCCGCGGUUGAACCGGUAAACCCGGUGACCCAGAAAAAAUCCAGUUUGAAUUUUGUGAAAAAUCCAAUAUUUAGAAACCCGCAAAAGCCCAGUAAAACCCGAAACCCGAUACCGUAUUAUGUUUUUAGAUUAUGUUUUAUAUUCUAAAUUUCCAAUUAAGGUAUUAGGUGCUGACAAAAAAAAAAGAGGUUAGGUUUUUCCUUUUUAGUUUCAUAUUUGUGAUUUUUAGAUUUUGAUGAAGAUUUCACUAUGCCACCUGAAAAAAAUGAAGAGAACGAUGGUAGAGAGAACCAAAAUUAGUUGAUGUAAUUUGGUGUUAGUUUAUUUCCGUUAUUGACAAUUUAGUAUAAUGAUCUUUUACUUUUGGUUUAUUUUGUAUUUGAAGUUUAAUUUAUUAUUCACAUUAGAUAUUUAAAUAUUUAUAAAUUUUAUGUCUUGAUAUUUUUAGAUGUCAUAACUCUUACCUUGUAAGAGAAAAUCUUAAAUAGUCUAAACUAUUUUUUGAUAUUUUGUAUGUCAAAUGAAAAUAAAAAUAUAAAAACUAAAGUUAAGUAUUUUCUAAAUGUUUUUAAACAUAAAAUAUAUACAUAUCCAAACUAUUAUCUUAUGUUUUAAAAAAAUUAGAAAUACUUUAGUUUCUAUAUUUUUAUUUACAUAUCUGAUAUAUUAUUAUAUAAUAAAAUUAAUUCAUUUAUUAACCCGUGGUUUAUCCGCGGUCGAUCCAGUGAUCCAACAACCCGGUAUGUCGUCCGAUUCAGUGUCCGGAUCGGGUUUAAAAACAUUGCAUGCAGGUCAUUCUUUAUAAUAGGCCAAGAGUGCUGGAAGAAAAGUGAUGUCAUGCCAUUCAAUCCAGGGGCUUUAUCUGGGUGCAUUAUAAACAGAGCUUGUCUUACCUCUUUCCUCCGUUGCUAUCCUGAUCAACCGCUGACUCAUCUGAUAAGUGAUGCUUGGUGUGAUCCCUUCCAAAAAACUUUUAAAGUAUGAGGGAGAAGUGGUACUGAAUAGAUUAUCAAAAUAGUGCACUGCAACCUUUUGUACUUCUUUUUCCCCUGUUAUCUAAUGUUUGUCUGCGUCGUGUAAACUGACAAUCCUAUUGCGAGUACGAUGUUGUUUCCUUAAAGCAUGAUAAAAGUUGGUGUAUAGAUUCCAUGAUGUAUGCCACAUAGUCCUACUCUUCUAUUGCCAUUACUCCUCCUCAUCAUUGUACAGUUUCUGUAGUUUCUUAGAGACAUCCAUUAUUUUCUCCUGAUUUCUACUGUUAUCUGUUUGUACUUCUUCCAAAGCUUGUUUAAGCUUGCUAAUUUUCUCUUUUCCCAUAUGGUGGAUUAUUCUUAUGCCAUCUAGCAAUUUCAUGAUGAAAAUUACAAAUUUUUGUAACAAAAUCCUUUGAACUACCUUCCUCUGAAUCUACCCAGGCUCUACCAAUGGAUUUCAUUAAACCAUCUUGUCGAAUACAUCUUUUAUCUAAUGAAAAUUAACCCUAUCGCCUGGGUACUUUAUCCUCAAGAUAAGCCAUUACUGGCCGAUGAUCAGAUCCUAUCAAUCCUAAAUAUUAUGGAAAUCUAUUUUAUCAUUAGAGAGAAUUUCAUGUUUACCACAUUGUUUGUACUAUUAUUCAUGUUUACCUUCAUUAAAUGAACAUUUUUACAAAUAUCUCAUCCAUUAAAGAGGCAAAACACUUUUAUACCCAUUGCUUUAUUAAUUUCUAAAUAUAUAAUUAUUUAAAUAAAUAAUAUUAAAAAUAAUAAAAAUGAAAUUAUAAUAAUUUUUAUAUUUUUUAAAUUUGAACUUUUUAUACUUUUCGAUAAUGUUUUCAAUUUUUUUCUAUGGUGAUGAUUGUUUCAAUAGUUUUUAGUUUUAGUUUUUGGUUUUUAGAUUUUAGUUUUUGGUUUUUAGAUUUUGGUUUUUGGUUUUCAGUUUUUGGUUUUUAGUUUUUAGUUUUUGGUUUUUAGAUUUUGAUUUUGGUUUUUUGUUUUGCAGUAUUUUUUUUAUUUUCAAAAAUUAAUUAAUAGAUUACUUUAAAAUAAUACAACAAAAUAGCCAUAAAUAUUUAGAUUUUACAAUUAAAACUUAUCAAAAUACUGUGAUUAUUAUUUUAAAAUAAAAUACAAUAACAUAUUUUAAUUAUUAUAUUUUUAUGAAAAUAUAUUAUAUAAAAUAUAAAUUAUAAAAUAUAUAUAAAUUACACAAAAUUAAAAAAAAAAAUUAAAUUUUGAAACUACUUAGAAAAUUUUCUUAUAUAAAAUAUUUAAAUUUAAAAACUUGAAUAAAUAGUUUUUCUUAUAUAAAUAUUAUAAAUUAUACAAAAAUAAAAGCACAUAAAAUUAUGAAAUUAAUUAAAAAUAACAAAUAUUAUAAAAACAUAAUAUGUUUUAUUCAUACAAUAUAUUGUAUAAUCCUGAAAUAUAAAAAAUGCCAUUCAACUUUAAGAAAAUAUAAAUAAUUUAUAUAAGAAAAUUUAUAAUUAAUUUCAUAAUUUUAUGUGUUUUUAUUUUUGUAUAAUUUAUAAUAUUUAUAUAAGAAAAACUAUUUAUUCAAGUUUUUAAAAUUAAAAUAUUUUAUAUAAGAUAAUUUUCUAAGUAGUUUCAAAUUUUUUUUUUUUUAAUUUUGUGUAAUUUAUAUAUAUUUUAUCAUUUAUAUUUUUUAUAAUAUAUUUUCAUAAAAAUAUAAUAAUUAAAAUAUGUUAUUGUAUUUUAUUUUAAAAUAAUAAUCACAGUAUUUUGAUAAGUUUUAAUUGUAAAAUCUAAAUAUUUAUGGCUAUUUUGUUGUAUUAUUUUAAAGUAAUCUAUUAAUUAAUUUUUGAAAAUAAAAAAAAUACUGCAAAACGAAAAACCAAAAUCAAAAUCUAAAAACCAAAAACUAAAAACCAAAAACUGAAAACCAAAAUCUAAAAACCAAAAACUAAAAUCUAAAAACCAAAAACUAAAACUAAAAACUAUUGAAACAAUCAUCACCUAAAACUAAAGCAAAAACUACAAACAAUCAAGCUCUAAUUUUCUUUUUGAAAUUAUUUAAAAAAAAUUCUAAAAUUUUUAAAUAUUUAUUAAUAUCCUAAACCUCACCUUCCAAACCCUCACCCCUCAACUAUAAACCAUAAGUCUAGAUUAGUUAAUCCUAAAGUUAUAAAUGUAUGUUUACCUCUUUAAAAUUGAAAGUAAAUAUGGUUAAAGUAAACAUGAAAAAUGGUAUUAGAAAUGUGGUUGUUUAGAAAAUUUCCUAAGAAUUAACAUAUUAUUUAGGAAAAUAUAAAUCAUAAAUAAAACAAGGUAUUUUCCAAAUUAUCUCUUUUAUCAAUGAUACCAAUUUCAUAAAUAACUAAACUGCUCAAAAGAUUGGGGGACACGUGGCGUCUAUAUCAAAAUUUCUCAAACGAUAAAUCUUUCUCUCCGAAAAAGCAGGUGGAAUACGUAAUACCAACUAUUUUAUCUCCGUAUAAAUUAAAAGAACAAAAGUUACAAACUUGUUUCCUUUUUAAGUGGGAUUUUCCUCUUCUUAUUUAAAUCGACUUUACUUGUUACCAUGUGAAUAAAAGUUCACUUGUUUCCUUUUCUAUUAAUAAUAAUGAAUUGACAUAUUAUUUUAAAUAAAAAGAGGAUAUCUCAACAGUUAUAUAUAGAGAAUAUAUCCAGAACGACUUUAGGGUUUUGAUUCUCUCUUGGCAUAUCUCUCGGCCACAAAAGCUCAGCCGUUGCACUUUAAUUUCUGCAUGAUGGCCAGGACGAUUGACUUUGCGCAAGGAUGGAGAAUUAUGCAGAUUGGUAUCACUAAGCUGGAAAAGCAUGUGGAAGGACUUCCUGGGAACUCAAUUAAUAGUGAGCAAUAUAUAAAACUUUACACGACUGUCUACGUUAUGUGCACCCAGAAACCUCCUCAUGAUCACACAGAGAAGCUUUAUAACAAGUACUGUGAAGUACUUGAGGAAUAUACUAAGUCGACAGCUUUGCCUUCUCUAAGGAAGACCUAUGACGAUGAAUAUAUGCUGCUGCGAGUACUUCUUGAAAGAUGGUCUAUCCAUAAAAAGAUGGUUAGACGCCUAUCCAGGAUCUUCCACUAUCUUGACCGUUACUUCGUUUAUCGCAAUUCACUCCUAUCUCUGGAAGAAGUUGGAUUAGCAUGCUUCGUUGACAUGGUUUAUAACACGUUGCAACGCAGGGUCAGAGAAGCUGUGAUAGCUAUAGUUGAUAAAGAACGAGAAGGUGAUGAUACUGAUAUUGAUAGGGCGUUACUUGAAAACAUUAAAGACAUUUAUGUAGAGAUUGGAAUGGGUAAUAUGAAAAGAUACGAACAAGAUUUGGAGAGCUUCAUGCUUGAAGGUACAGCGUCUUACUAUUCUCGCAAGGCAUCAAGAUGGAUUCAAGAAUAUUCUUACUUUGAUUACAUUCGGAAGUCUGAAGAAUGUGUAAAGAAGGAGAAGAAGAGAAUGUCUCACUACCUUUACGCAAGCAGUGAGCCAGAGCUGGUUAAGAAAGUAGAGCAUGAGUUGUUUGUAGUGUAUGCAAACAAGCUUCUUGAGAAAAAGCACUCAGAGUUCAGGGAAAUUGCGGGAGGCUUGGAACCUAUAACAAACAUGUUCAAGCAGCAUGUUGAAGACACAGAUGGUCAAGACACGGCUGCAAUCAGAAAAGUGAUUGAGGUACAUGAUAAGUACAUAGUCUAUGUCACAAAGUGUCUCGAGAAUCAAACCAUCUUUCACAAGUCCUUGAAAGAGGCAUUUAAGUUUUUCUGUAGCAAAGCAGUGUCUGGAAGCUCUUUAAGUGCUGAAUCACUGGCAACAAUUUGUGACAGAAUUAUAAUUCUCAAGAAAUGGGCAAGUGAGGAGCUGAGUGAUGAAGCUAUUGAGAAGGUGGUCAAGUUUCUUGCGUAUAUAAGUGACGACAAGGAUCUUUUUGCAGAGUUUUACAAGAAGAAGCUGGCACGUAGGCUGCUAUUGAAUCGUGAUGCUAGUUAUGAUCAUGAGAGAAGGAUCAUUACAAAGCUCAAACAACAGUUUGGUGGGAAUUUUACUUAUAAGAUGGAGGGAAUGGUGACAGAUUUGACAUUGUCAAGACAAUACCAAAACAGCUUCGAUGAGUAUGUAGCCAGUAACCCUGCUGCAAAACCAGGGAUUGAUUUUAACGUCACUCUUCUUACAACUAGUGUUUGGCCAAGUUACAAAACGUUUGACGUGAAUCUACCUAGUGAAAUGGUCAAGUGUGUUGAAAUUUUCAAAGUGUUUUAUGAAGCCAAACACAAACGUAGGAAACUUACUUGGCUCCACUCACUAGACACUUGUCACAUCAACGGAAAGUUCGAUCAAAAGCCCAUUGAUUUGAUCGUGUCGACUCACCAGGCUGCUGUGCUUCUGCUUUUUAACACAAGGGACCAACUGAACUACACUGACAUCCAAACUCAACUGAACCUAAGCCAUGAAGAUCUUGUGUGGGUGCUUCAUUCCUUGUCAUGUGCUAAAUACAAGAUUCUUAUCAAGGAGCCAGCCACAGAGACUGUCUCCAAGAAUGAUGUUUUUGAAGUCAACUCCAAAUUUACAUCUAGAAUGGGCAGAGUAAAGAUUCCUCUCUCUCAUGUUGAUGAACGGAAGAAAGUUGUUGAAUAUGUUAAUAACGACAGGCGCUAUGCAAUUGAAGCUUCUAUUGUCAGGAUCAUGAAGGGCAAGAAAGUAUUGGGACAUGAACAACUUGUUUCUCAGUGUGUCAAGCAACUUAGUGGGAUGUUCAAGCCUGAUGUUAAAGCGAUUAAAACACGUAUAGAGGAAUUAAUAGCGAGAGAUUAUUUGGAGAGGGACAAGAUGAAUCCUAAUAUGUUUAGGUACUUGGCUUAGGGAACAAAGCAUAUAUCUGGUAGUGUUAUCGUCUUGUUGUUUGCUUAAUUUUGCUUUCCUGUUUUUUUUUUUGUUUUAAACACGGUCAUGUUUUAUUCUUGGGAUGCAAUUGACCUUAUGGCGGUUUGUUUCUUGGAUAUGAUGGGAACUGGAGCUGGUUCUAAUAAAAAGUAGAUUUUUUUUCUGAGUCUUCAUUAGCUUUAAAAACUGUGUUCUAUGAUUCUUAAUCCUUUUGUUAAUAGAGUCACAACUGUAUGAUUUGGGUUCAGAAACUACAAUAAGCUACUUAUGGAGAUCUGAGUUUUUAUAGUAUUAUAAUAGAAUGAUACUAAAGCCCUUAAUUAAUAUACCAGAUAGAUUCACCUAUAUGUCCAAUAAGCGAGACCAUUCAUUCACGCUUACAUGGAGAUAGCAUCAAAGGGUGAAAUUCGCCAUGAUCAGGACAAUAUAUGAAACAGGACCCAAGAUGCCCCUGAAAGCUGCUUCGAUUCUCUCCAUGAGACGACUCCACAUUGCAUCUGAGUUGCUUAACAAUUUUUGUCCUUUUCUGUUGAUCUUCUUUGGGCAAGAGCCCAAUGCUUCGUUUUCAUUAAAUUUGUCACUUUCCUUAAAUUUGUUUGAUGGAAAAGCUUCGUUUCAUUAAAAAAAUGAUUUUAAGGAUAGGUCAAGCAAUAAAACUCGACAUGCCGUAGCGGGAGAGAGAGUGAGGCGACAAUAAAGGCGACUAGGGUUUCGUAGCUACUGUCUCCGCCGUCGGUGUGGCCUCACGUCCACCAACAAGAAUCUUCUUCUUCCUUCCUCCUCUUCCUUUCUGUCAUGGCUAUGUUGGUGAUUGCUCGGUUUUCAUCCUCGACGAUUCCGGUUCCAGAUCCAGAUCCGUUCUCUCAGAUCUCUACUUGUUGUGGCUCCACCUCCAGAACCGCCUGACCCAUCAGAUUUGUUCCUUUUUCUAUGUCCACUUUACAUCCUUGAAGCUUCAGCCUCCCCUCGAAAAUCUUGUUCUAGCUUAGACAGUUCAGUUCUUGUGUCUUCUGGAGUGCAGCAAUCUACUGCUUUGUUCAGUUCUCAAUCAUGUCCUAUUCUCGUGAAGAACCCAUGGUUACUUCUUUCUGGACCCUUCGCUCCUUGCAUCAAGCGUCCACAAGGUUUUAAUUAUCUCAAUACGAGUCUCCUUUUACCCUGGAACUAGGUGUGGGCUCGCACCUUGUGUGAGCUAAUAUAUAUUCUUAAUAUUUUUACUAUUAUAUUUAUUUUAUGCUAAUGUAUUUAAUUAGAUAUAAAUAUAUUUAUUGUGUGUUUUCGGUCUUUAUUAACCAAAUCUCAAUUGCUUAUUGUGUGGAAAUAUUUUUCUUAUUGUUUAUACGUGAUUUUUUUAUCUGGAAAUUGAAUCCCAAGUUUUUUUUAAAUAUUAAAGAGUCUACUUUCAAAAUUUUUAGUUUAAGUGUAAGUGCACUCAAUAUGAAGGAACAAAUCUUAAAUUUAGUAAGUACAGUUCUUGGCCAUGUAGAACUAUCCAGAGAACUUGAAUAAAACUCAAUAAUACAUAUCACUGUAAUUUUCAUGAUUGGUUUAAAGAAAUAUGAAACUUGGUUUGCAUACCAAGAAUGUGCAUGUUAAAUAUGUAUCACUAAAUAUUAAAAAUUUAAAUAAGCGUCAUAAAAACAAAACAAUAUUAAAUUAAACUCUGAAUAAAAUUUACAUUGUGUCAUGAAUAGUAAUUAAUUUUAACUUAGUUAAACAUUUUCAUGUUGCAAUGAUAUAUUUUAAGGUUCAACAUUCACAACUUCGCCAAUAAUAUCUAAACACACAAAACAUCAGAAAGGAGAACUUGUGAACAAACAUAUCAUAAAUUAAAUACAUCAACAAAAAAAAAUAUGAUAUAGAAAAUUCACCGACUAAACAUUCCUUUUCAUAUUGACGUCCCAAUAUUUCUUUAAAUUCCAUGAAAUAAUAAUUUUGAACUCUUUUGAAAAAUCAUCACAAGGUAUGAUUUUGGUUGUUCUAUAAAAAUUUAUCUUAAAAAUGAGAGGCGUUUUAUAUUUUAUGAUCUAAUCACCGGAAGCGAAAUUAUGCAGGAUAAAAAAAUCUCCUUGACAUAACUUAGAUCGGAAAUUACAAAAGACAAGUCGCCAAAAGAACAUUUAUCAAUAGAAGCAUGAGUCCCUAGUUGCCUAAAAAAUAAAUUUCAAAAUAAUUGACUAACACCAAAUCGUAUAAUUAAUGUGAAUCAAUAAUAAAAUAAAUUAAUAUUUACGAUGUAUAUCAACCAACACCAAUUCAGUUGAAAUUUUUUUUAAUUUUUUCAUUAUUCUAAAGUAUCAACACAUUUACUCUAAUUUUAUAGCAAUAUUUAGCCGACUCAGUAUCUCCAAUAAGAAAAAGUGAUACAUAUUUCUUUUUCCAAAAGACAAUGUUUGAAGUGUUUCAUAUUAUUUAAAGAUGAAAUUUUGUAAAUUUUGUGUGUAUUUCCCAUCUAACAUAUGAUGAGAAUAUGUACAUUCAUGGCAUAUUGUCGGCAAAUUAUAAUAAUAGAUUAUUAAAAUGGAUACUAAGAAAAAGUCGACAUCAUAAUUCUAUGUAUUAGCAUUUACAUACUACUAUAACUAUAAUACGACCUAGAGUAAGAUAAAUACCACUUACACAUUAUCUAUACUAUCAUUAAGCUAUAAACUAUAUUAAAAUAGAUUAUGUUCCACAUUUAGUAACGAAUAUGAUUUAAAAUUAUCCAGUAACAAAUAUGAUUUUAAAAUAGAAUAAUAAGAAUUGAUCAUAACUCGUCAAAGUUACAUUUUUAAUGAAUAUAUAUGUAUCUAAUUACAAAUCUUGAAAUAGUUGUAUUAUUUAAAUUAAUAACUCAGUUAAAAACUAAUAAUAAAUUAAUGAAUAGCUAAAACCUAAUAAAACAUGACAAAUUGGCAAAAUUAACUUAAAUCAAGGAGAACAUGACAAAUAAGAAAAAAUUUAAAAUAAUUAUAUAUCUAGUUACAAAAUGUAUAGUUAUAUCAUUAAAAUUAAUAAAUUAAUUACCUCAACUAAAAACUAAUAAUAAAUUAAUGACUAAGCUAAAACCUAAAUAAAAAUAUGACAAAUAAGCAAAAUCAAAAUAAUUUUAUAUCUAGUUACAUAUUUUGUAGUUGUAUUAUUUAAAUUAAUAAAUUAUUGGCUCAGCUAAAAACUAUUAAUAAAACUAUUUAUAAAUUAAUGACUCAGCUUAAACCUAAUUAAAACAUGACAAAUAAGCAAAAUUACUUAAAAUCAUGGAAAUCAUGGCAAAUAAGCUAAAUCACUUUAAAACUAUGUAUAGAUUAUGACUCAGUUUAUACCUAAUUAAAACAUGACAAAUAAACAAAAUUACCUAAAAUCAUGGAAAUCAUGACAAAUAGGCUAAAUCACUUCAUAAAUAAUAGUAUAGAUGAGGAUGAUGUGACCUCUUUGAACCUCUUUUUACCUCAGUUUGAGGAUGUUGCAGGCUCUGUGAGUUUCACUAUGAAACUCUAUUUACUUCAGUAUGAGGAUAUUAGAGCACCACCAUCGGUGAAGUUCUAAAAGUCAGUAUACAAACCAUUAAAUAAUAAUAUUAUAACAUAAUAAAAAUUUCUGAUUAAAAUUAAUUUUGUUGGUAAAUGAUAAGCCAAUAAUAUCAUGACACAUAGCAACACAAAUUUUAGAACCGUUCCUAAAAGUACUAUGUACAGAGCCUCUCUUAACCUUCUCUCUCCUUCUGUUAUUAUUUUAAUAUUUAAUUUUUUUUAGAACCUUGUAUAAAAGCAACCGAUGGACGUGCUCUUACAAACCAAAAUGUUCCGACACAAUUCCAUACUUAUGAUCCUAAAACCAAAGAAAAUCUCGACUUCCAGACAAUCAAAUCUCUACAUUCAUUAGUAAUGGCAUGGGAUUCUUAAUACAAGUGCUACUUGGGUAUACGACGCUUGGAAUUAGGGAGGCUAAUUUGAUGGUGAAGCUAAGAGUUUUUAGGGAUGACCGAUACAUUCGGCGUGAUCGAUCGAUCUGAUGUUUUUUUCCGAUCGAUCUGAUGUUGGUCGACAGAUUUUUGUUGACUUGCUCUUUCACCUUUUGGUCCGCAAAUAUUAUUGAUGAGAAACAUCCCACAUCGGAUAUAUAAGAAUUAAUCUACUACUAUAUAAAGGGUUAGGGCCAAUCCACUAAUUGCCAAUUGGUUUUAAGUUGGAAGCCCAUAAUUAACCAGAUUCUAACAUGGUAUCAGAGCGAUAAGAUCCUUUGACCUAAUUUACUACAACUACUACUACUAUACCGAUGUUGGGCCCUCUGUGGAUGUUAUUCCCAUAUUGUCCACGCUUCAGACCUAGAAGUCUGAGCGUGAGGGAGGGUAUUGAUGAGAAACAUCCCACAUCGGAUAUAUAAGAAUUAAUCUACUACUAUAUAAAGGGUUAGGGCCAAUCCACUAAUUGCCAAUUGGUUUUGAGUUGGAAGCCCAUAAUAAACCUGAAUCUAACAAAUAUCUUAAUGAAAGUGAUCGACCAAUCCAGAAGGAGGUCGGCCGAUCCAAAAGGAGGUUGGCCGAUCCUGACUCAGAUGCCAUUUUUGCUUUAGUUUCUCCAGUUCUUGCUUCUUUGGCCCAAAAUACCAAGAAAACUUGAAAAACACUUGAAAACAUGAGUUAAAUUGCGUUGAAAAACGCAACAUAUUAUUUAUCAUCAUCUAAUCCCUUUAAAGCUAUUUGCUGUCAGCAAUUUGAAAUUAGAAAGAAAGUAGCAUCACCUUGCGAAAUUUCUCCCCAAUCAUGACUAAAGCUGACGGCUGCAUGAAUAGAUCGAUAUAGAUGUAUCACUGUCUCCUUAACUGUCAUUGUGAUAACACUCCAUAAGUAUACUGUUUAUAAGCAAAAAUAUUUUACAUAUGCACACAUUACGUUUUUAAGGAUAUACUCAUCCAAUUCAGGAUCUCUGAUGCUAAGAAAAACAUGGUGCAUCAAAUUUAUAAUAACAUUGUUAAUUUUUUAUGUAUAUUCCGAAAUGAACAAAAAUAUUAUAAUUGAAUAAUCCGAAUCUUCGAAGUUAGAGCAUAGAAUAGAAGAUGCUUUUUUGACGACUUUUUCAAUGGUAUUUUAUUUCACUGCGACAAUAUGAUUGGUGUUAUUAAUGCACAUCUUCGUACUAUAUAGUGUUUUUGCUAUUCAUUGAAAAUACACCCUCAACUUUUCCAAAGUAACUUUAAUUUAUGAGUGUUCACAUGUUACUAAUUUAACUAGUCGUUCAUUUCCACAUGAUUAGUCGUUUUUACUAGUCACAACAUGCAGUUUUUUGUGAAGAUGUGAAAUCAAUUGCAGAAAAUCUAGACAUAAAAACAUCGUGGAGCCUAUGAGACCAAACAUUUAGUACCCGAACCCACAUGGACUAACAUGUAAAAUCUCCCUUUGCAAUUUAUUAGAAUGGUCAAGUUCUUUAAUAAUCUUGUAUAUUUAAAACACAGACGCCAACACACUUAAAUUUUUAUUUAACUUAUGUUCACAUCUCUUCAGUUAUGUGCAUUAUUGAUGUAAAGGUAUGUGUAUUAUUUUAAGAAAACAAUAUAAAUAAAGUUUUCUUUUAAUAUAUGUGGUAGCAAGAUCUUUAGUGACUUAUGAGUGUAUGAUCCACACAUAUCAUUCUCUUAUCAAUGCGAAUUUCUUGUCAGAUGAUAUCAGCUAGAGUAAAUGAAAAUUUUGGUAAUAUAACAAACUUGAGGAUACUUAGAACUUUACAUAAUAGUAAGUGAGAAGUGCUUGAAUAAAUCACAUUUCUUUCGUUAUAAAUUACAAUUAAUGUCUUAACUUUGCAAGUCUUUUUACUAAACAUGUCAUUAAAAUAUACUGUAUAAAUAUAUUCAAUCCAUUUCACAACGAGUUACUUUGACACACUUUACGUGAUUUAGAAAACUGUAAAAUAUACUUGUAUGCCUUUAUUUAAUAUAUAUAACUAAUUAAAUGAAAAUAAUUUAAAUAAAAUUUUAUUAGUUAUUUAAAAGACAAAAAUGUUUAAAAUAAUAUUAGAAUGUAGAAUAAAAAAUUUUGAAACAAAAUAUUUGAUAUUUUUGUGAAACAAAUGACGUAGGGAUUUUAAUUUUCCGAAAAUGAAAACGAUAUAAUAUGUCCACUUAAAUAAUUAUAUUUUCGAGUGUUACAUACUUGUCGGAUUUUUAUCGAUAAUGUUAUUGGAGAACAAGAGAUCUAAAGUUUGAUUUAUGGACCCUGAAGGCAGCAUGUAGCAUGAGACAUGGAUGUGACACGUGUUAUAGCCGAUUGUUAUGAGAUUUCUUUAUUAACUAGGUUAAGAGCGGGAUGAACAUUAUAUAUAUAUUAUUUUAUAUAUUAUAUGUUUAUAACAUAUUAUGAAAUAAUAAAUAUAUAUUAAAUAAUUAAAAAGUCAUUAUAUACUACUUAUAUAAUUAAAUUGGUGCGAACAUAUAAAUAAAUUUUAUAAAUCGAAAAAAUAUUUUUUCUAUUUGAUAUGAUAUAUAAUUAAAUUUAAAUGAUAGUAACAUAUAUAUGGUAUAAUUUUAAUAUUAAUAUUUGUUAGAUGAUGUUUUUUGCUCAUAUUUUUUUAUCAUUUUUAUCUGUUAUAGCAAAAAGUCUAACUUAGUGAUAACAAAAUUUUCACAGUGGAAUUAAUGGUUUAAGUAAUUUAUAAUAUUUUUAAAAAUUAAGUUGUCAAUAUUUUUUCAAAUUUUUUAUCAAAAAAAUGUUCAAAGUAAAUUUCAAAAUUAAGAUAUUUAUGUAUUUUUAUAUGGCAUAUAGUUUAAUUUAAAAUAAUACAUAUAUUUAUAUAUCUUUUAUUUUUGAUACUUAUUAAAUGAGACUUUCAACUUAUAUUAUUUUUUAAUUAUUUGUAUCAUAUCAUUACAAAAGUUUUAAAUCAUAGAUCACAAAAUUUGAAUGUGAAACUUUGAAUAGUUUUAGUAAUUUAUACUCGUUUAUAAAAAUUCAAAAUAUAAUAUAUAAAUAAUCUUUUUAAUUUUUAUUAUAUAGUUACUAUGAUUGUUUAAUUUAUUUUAAUAGCUUAAAAUUAAACAAAUAUAAUUAUAAUACACACUUAUUUUUAUCAAAUCUUUAUUAUUCAAAAUCAUUAAUUGUCAUAUAUACUUUAGCCACAUUAGGCAAUUUCGUAAUCUUAUUUAAGGAAAUAAUGAAGCACAUUAAUAAUGUAUUUAUUGUGGUUUAAUAAAAAGCUUAUUAUAUAUUUAGAUGGACCAACCUAUUUCUUUAAGGAUUCUAAGAAUCAUUCUAGUGAUGACACGUGGCUACAAAAAAAUGUUGCAAUGCUUCUCAAAUAAUAUAUAGGGGAUUACACAACCAAAACCAAUAAUAGACCAAUCCAUCUCAAUUCUUAAAUUUAUAUGAAUGCUACAUUAUAUAUAAACAACUAGUAUCACUUCUUGAUCAAAAAAAAAAAAAACUAGUAUCACUUCAAAAUCAGACUUUAGUUAAAUAAAUAACUAUUUUAGUCAAACUGUAACUGUAUAGGGUACGAAAUAUUAAAAUAAUUGGUUUAAUAUUAAUACUAAAAUAUGUAUCCGACUUCAAUAUAAGUCCAGCUUAGUUAACAGUUUUCUUGAUUAGUUAGUUAGUUGAGCUGAUUUUCUUUUAAGCAUAAUAAGAAAAACAACUGAGUCUCUUUUCUGCAAUUAAUUUGGUUGUCGCACCUUUUUUAAAGUUGAUUUUUGUUUUAUAUAUUCGCUAAUUUUUUUACAUCUAUUUAUUCUUUUCUUAAAAUAUCAAUACACAAUAUUCUGAAUGUGAAAUGAAGCUACUGUAUAUGGCUUGGCAGCAAUGAAUGUUUCACAUGAGUGUCACAUAUUGUGGUGCUUCCGUCUAAAAAUUCUUUAUAUAUUAAUUGAGAAUCAUUACAACUUUGUUUGGUAGAUACGUAUCUUCAUUCAUUGCGAUGAUUUUUAAAAUCUUAAAAAAAUAGGUUAGUACAUCUAAACAUAUAUUAUACUUUUAUUAAAGUAACUAUUAUAUUGCUUAGUGGUGUACAAAAUAAUAGUUUCAAUUAUUUCCUUAAAUAAAUGCUAAUUACCUAAUAUGAUUAACAUACAUAUGACAAUUAAUAAUUAUGAAUAAUAAAAAUUUGAUAAAAAUUCAUAUAUGAUAUAUUUGAAAUUUUUAAAACGGCUAUAAAUUACUCAAAAUGUGAAAAUUCCACUUUGAAAAUUUUGUAAUCAACAGUUUAAUUUAUUAUUUUUAUAGCAAGAUACAAGUGAUCAUCAAAUCAUACGAAUAUGAAGUCUCAUUUAAUAGAUAUUCAUAUUAAAUAUAUAUAUAUAUAAUAUUUUUAAAUUAAACUAUGACCAUAUAAAAGUACAUAAAUAUGUUAAUUUUAAAAUUUUGUUUUGAAAAAAUAUCACAUUGAUUUUUUUUUGAUAAAUGGUUAAAUUUUUUGUUACAGAAAAUAUACAAAUAUUAAUAAAAUCAUAUGAGUAGGAUGUCUCAAUAAUAAAUAUUUAUAUUAAAAUAUACUAUAUAUCUAUGUAAAUAUUAUUGAAAUUUAAUUCUAUACCAUACAAAAUAAAUAAAACGAUUAUCUUGAUUUGUUUACCAAAAAAUAUUAUAAAUAAACAAGAGGUAUUUUGAUGUAUGUGCUUACUUUAAUUUAAUUGCAUAAAAUGUAAACAUAAUGUUCAUCUCGUGCAAAGCGCAUGUCUUAACCUAAUAUGUAUAUAAAAAAGGAAAAUUUGCUCCUUACACAAAAAAAAACUCAAAUUCAUUAUCUAACAUAUAUCAGACUCUCUCUUCUCUUUUCUCUUCUUAUCUCUCUCUACGCUCUCUCUACAAAACAAAUUUCUCUUUUUCCGUUAUCUCACAAAUAAGCCCACAAAAAUUAGUUUGAAAAGGUAAGAUUAACAUUUUUCUCUUUAUCCUAUUUUUUAUAUAAUUUUGAUGAAACUUGAAAGCUUCCAUAAGUUCUUCCCCAUAUUCAAUUUCACCAUCAACCGAGAGAGUGCAAUGGCAAGAAAGCUAGAUUAGUUCAGAAUGGAUGUGGUUGACUUAUUUGUUUAUUUGAUAAAAAUGUAAUUUUUGAAAAAAAUGUAGUUAAGGUGUUAUAAGAGCAUCUCCAAUGGUUUAUCUCAUUUUUCCCUUCAAAAUGAUGUACCAUUGUAAAGGUUUUUUCUCAUUUUUUUGAUGUUUCCCUUCCAAAUGAAGGACUAUUGGAGAUGGUCUAAUAUGCGAGUAAAGAAUUGUGAAACGCAUGUGAAAUUUGUCCCUUAGUAAAAAUAAAUAAAAUACGUAGAAGCAAAGAAAUAUCUGAAUUCUCAAAAAUUUCACCUUGUAAGUAUCCAUAGCAAGAAUAUGAACUUGAAAACCCGAAAAUAAGAUACAGCUCAGGUGGACACGUAGAGAAGCAGGAAAAUAGAGGUGUUAAACGCUUGCACAAAAAAUCGGAAAUUGUUUUAUCUGGGUGCAAGAAGAAAGAACCAUCCUCAAUAGACAUGUGACGCUCAAUCGAAGAUUGCCCUCAAAGUCUAAGACACGACGCCCAGCCAACGACACCAAAUCCAUAAGUAGCGCCAAAACAACAACAACUAACAAAUAUUAAUAGUAGGAACUCACUCACAAGCCGAGCAAUAUCACCACUCAAAGACUACAAUGUAAUGGUGUUCAUAGCAGGAUCUCGCUGACUGAGUCGAAGCCCAUCUCCACUCUGAAGCCAUUGAGUAACAAAUCUUAACAGCAGAAACUCAGUUAUUAAACUUAGCUGCAUCACCACUCCAAGACUACUAGCUAACAGUGAUUAACAGUAGGAAUUUGCUGACAUUGUCGAAUCGCAUCACCAAUCUGAAUGCCAUUUAGUAAUUUUCUAUAGCCACGGCAUGGCCACCGCAAAAUCGUUGCUAUGUAGAAAAAAGCCACUAUUCUCAGUACUGGCUAAACUAUGGAUAUAGCUUCGUGGCUAAAAACAAUUGUUUAAUCGUGGCUUUUUAACCACGGUUUUUCACUAUACUUUUGUGGCUAUUUUAGCCACAUUUUUUCCACAGGCUAAUUGGUUACCUAUAGCCACUAUUUACUCACAGUUUUGUCAUGGCCAUUUAAGAAGAAAAUCAAUAAUUAUUUAUAGAAAUAAAUAUAAAUUAAUUUUAAAUCUGUAUAAUAUACUUAUACAUAUAUUCAUAAUCAGUUAAAUAUAAUCAUGUAAUAUACAAAUAUACAAAUAAAAAUAUACAAAUACAUAAUUAAAAAAUACAAAAAAAAAGUUGUCAGUGACAUCCCGAUGGAAUCACCGGCGCUCAAACAGAGAAGGCAACAGAAGCACCGCCACUCCAUACAUCCUGAAGAUGUAUAUUAUGUAUCAGCUCGUGAAGUACUACAUGAGGUAGUACAUUUGUAUGUCAUAAAGAUGGGCUGAGUUGGAAUUUAUAUUUUGUGAUGUCUGUGAGCUUGUUAAGCUUGGAAAAGAGAUAAUAUAUUUAUUGGAAGUCUACAUUAAGUGUAAAUAAUAUUACUUGAAGAUAAGAAGAAAUAGAGUUAUUCCUUAAGAAAAAAAAGUUGCUUAAGUUGCAUUUUGAAGAACUCUGGGAACAACUUAUGUUUAUGUAUAAAAAGGAGGAUAUGCUUCUAUGAAGAACAUUAUCUCUGCAAAAUAAGAAAAUCGAGAUAUGUUUGUUUGGUGCUUGUGUGAUCAAGCAUUUGGGGUUAGUGUUGUUCUUUUGGUCGCGAAGCACUUUUUUAUGAAUUUCCAGAGUGUUGAAAGAUUGAAAUCUAGAUUUAGGGGGAAUUAUGCUCAGGGUUAGGGUUUUGUUAAAUCAAAAACUGGACUCUAUAGUGAAUUUUACUUUAGGAUUGGAUUAUCCUAAUAAAUCAUUGUAAUAAAAAGGAUGGUAUUUCAGGAGGUUGUACCUGAUUUAUGCAUUAGCAUAUUGGUGUAUUUUGCUUUCUUUGUUAAUUCAGAAAGAAAAACUUGUGUCAAUUACUUUCUGCUGUUUAUUUUCUAGUUUCAUAUGCCCUUACAAUUGGUAUUAGAGAAUGUCACCUAAGUUACUAGUAAAAUCACGAAGGGUAAGGAGAGAAACUGGUCCGGCCAGUUUUAUUAGCAUAUGCACGAAUUUCCCAAUACUUGAUACAAAUUUGGUAAAAUUUUCUAUAGACUGAGAGUAAUUAGUCAGACCAUAAUAUGAAUUCUAGUGCUAUGAAAAUUUUAAAUGAAAUGAAAAGUCAUGUCAUCACAUGGUAUUUGCUUUAUUGUGACAUCGCACAUGAUGGGCCACAAUGUUAGAUCAACAUGAAACACUUAUCUUAAAACCCCUUGACGUUCAUCAACCCAUCUCUGGGAACUCUUCGUUUUAUUUAUUUAAUAACUAUUCGAAAUCUCCUUCAAUUAUUCAACACAUUUUAAAUAUUACAACCUUUUUAGGACCCCACUUACUUAUUUAUUUAUCAUAUAUAGGAAGCUAUAUUAGUAUAAGAACUAACAAUCUCGAACUAACAUUCAUAUAAUAUUUUCGUAUAUAAUUUCAUUGUAAAAUUUAUAACGACGACUAAAAGCAUUUCCAAUUUCAUUUCAAUUUUCAUUUCCAUUUUACAAUGGAAUAAAAACAAGUUUACUCCGAAAUAGACUAAUCAUACACAUUACUAAAUUUUUAUACCUAAAUAAGUGGAAUUAAUUAGAAUAAUGUGUAUUUUAAUUUGAAAUUACUCAGUUUUAGAGAACAAAUAGAGUAAUACAGUGUAGAUGCUCUAAACAUUUGCAAUUAGUAAUUUUUGAUAUAAUAUAAGAGUUAUUCUUGAUUUCACCUCCAUAGGAUGAACUUUUAGCCUUUAAGUUUACCAACCAAUAAAAUUUCGUUCUUUUAUAUUCGAUAUUUAAAAAAAAAACAAAAUAUUUUCAAGUUAUAUUAUGUUCUUAAAAUAAAAAAGUAAAAAAUAAUAAUAAUAAUAAUAAUAAUAGUUAAAAAAAGAAUUGGAAAAAAUAUAUUUUUAACGUCUUCAGCAAAACACUAAACCCUAAAUUCUAAAUUCUAAACCCUAAAUUCUAAACUUUAAACUCUUGGGUAAACUCUAAACCCUUGGAUAAAUUCUAAACCCUAAACCCUAAACACUAAAACAGUCAAGGGUUUGGGAUUCAAGAUUUAGGGUUUAGUGUUUUAGUGUUUAGAGUUUAGGUUUAUCCAAGGGUUUAGAAUUUACCCAAGGAUUUAGGGAUUAUGAUCUAAGGUUUAUGGUUUAGUGUUUUGAUGAUGACGUUAAAAAAAAUUAAAUUUUUUUUGCUUUUUGUAACUAAUACUAUUUUUUAUUUUUUUUAUUUUAAAAACAUAUUAUAACUUUACAAUAUUUUGUUUCAUUUUUUAAAAGAUAUCGAAUAUGAAAUAAUAAAAUUGUAUUGGUUGGUAAACCUAAAAGUUCACCCUAGAGUGUGAACCCAAGAAUAAGUCAUAAUAUAACCACUGAAUAUAUCAAAUUAUGGGUUUGAUUAGUAUUAAAUAGUUAUCAGUUGAAAAAAGAUAGCAACUAAUAACAAGAGAACUAAUUUUCAGAACGUAUAUAUAUCAUCUAACUUAGAUGAUCUAAGACAGACUAUGAGUAUGAGAUGAUUGAAAUGUAGUGGAAAAACUUCGACACUGUCGUUGGUACUAAGAUCCGUUAAAGUGGACUUGAUGCGAAAUAAAAACGUAAGGCUCGGAAAUAUGUGAUUAUAGAAAAAGAAACAAAAAUGAUUUUGAGAUUUGUGGUUUAAGUGGCAUUGAAACAUAUCGCUUUCUUCCCUCGUGACAUCAUUGUCGAGGUUUAUUGCUCUUUCUUGUGGUCCUUUGGGACUAUUUAAAUCUCUCUUAUCACAGUCUCAGUUUUUAAGUGUGUAUUCAAAGACCCCAAAACACUCCCUCUUAUAUUCAUCCUCCUCUCUUUUUUUCUUCUUAGUCUUUUCUUUUCAACUUUAAACCUUAUCAAAUCAUAAAGGCUAUAUACCUACUUGCCACAUAUAUAGCUCAUUUCUCAAUUUCUUAAACUAUUCUACAAUCCAGUCAGAGUAUAUAAACAAACAACUAAAGAGUGGUUUUGCUACAUUGUUGAAUAUGUCAAACAGAAGAUCAAGGCAGUCUUCAAGUGCUCCCAGGAUCUCCGAUGAUCAAAUCAUCGACCUUGUAACUAAGCUCCGUGAGAUUUUGCCGGAGAUUGGCCAACGUCGUCGUUCCGAUAAGGUAUCACACACAUAGAUUAUAUAUACGUAAACAUAUUCACUUUUUUGUGGUCAAGAAUAUUUCAUUUUUUGGGUUAAAAGAUAGAGAAAUAUAUUCAUUUAUUAAGACCAUUUAACAUUAUCCCUCAUGUAAACCUCUUUUAUCGAAAAAACGUUUUAUUUAAAGAAUACAUGACACAAAAAUCAAACAAAAGAAAAAAAGAAGUCGGAACUUUUUGACUCCGGGCAUCAAAGAACAUAACAAUACUCGCAAGAUUUUCCUUCCACAAAGACAUACAUUUUCCAUCAAAACCAUCGACAUUAUCUACAUAUACAAAACAUGCAUGGAUGUAGAUAUAUAUACAUUAGUGCCGGCCCUGAAUAUUUUCAGACCGGAAGCAAUAAAAGAAAACAAGGUCUAUUAGGCUCUUAAUAAUUCACCUUUAAUAAAAAGGAAUAUGUAAAAAAUAUAUAUAUAUUAGAGAAAUUCUAGUGUAGAACAUCGAACUCUGCACCUCCGUCUCUACUUAUAGCUUUCAAAAACCGUGGUUAAAAAGGAUAUUUACAAAUCUGUGGCCAAUUAUUUACUUAAAUCAAUCGAGGCCGGAAGGCUAAGCUUCCAUAGCUUCGCUCAGGCCGUUUCUGUUAGUCAUGACACUUUUUGAUUAAUUAUAUAAUAGGUGUCAGCCUCCAAAGUUUUGCAAGAGACAUGCAACUACAUACGAAACUUGAACAGAGAAGUUGACAACCUCAGCGAGCGUUUGGCUCAGCUUCUCGAAUCUGUCGAUGAAGAUAGCCCUCAAGCGGCCGUCAUAAGAAGUCUACUCAUGUAAUCUGUUAUGAGUUUCCAUAUAAUAUAUGUAAGCUAAUCUUCCUUUAUUUUAUGAACUUUUAAAGAAAUGAGAAUGAUCUUUAGACCUAGAAGCAGAACCGUUUUGACUUAUGUUUCCUUACCCGCCAUUUUGGCUACAUUAUAGGGAAAUGGUACUACAUUUCGUUAAUAAUAUAAACAUAAAAUGUUACAAUUAAAAAAAAUGAAGUACAAAGACUGAACAAAAUUUAAGCCGCACACCAUUUCUGUUUGGAUUGGACAUUUUAUUCUUAUGUCAAACUAAAGCCUUGGCCUCACCAAAUAACCGGAUAAAACUGAGGCUGUUUCUUACUAUUUUGUCGAUAGACUUUGUGUGUUUCAAUAUCUUCCGUUCUCUCCAAAUGAUUUGGACUGUAGUUUGAAAAACAUACUUCAUUCUGAAAAGUGUUUUUUCAAUCCAAUGUUCUGGAUAUCAGAUGAGUGAGACUAUCCUGUUGGAACUGUUUUUUGGACAAAUGGCUAUGGCCAAUAUUCCGGUGAUUUUUUCGAACAAUUUGAUUGUCGAAAUGACCGGAUUGUGGAAUCGUUGAAUUCAUUGUUAUGAGCACUAUAAUAUAGUGUAAUCAUAUGUCAAAAACGAAGUUCGUUUGAAUGAGAAAUGAAAGUCUAAAAUAGAUUAUUUGUAAAAUAUCUAUAUUAGAAUUAUGAGGUAAAAAACCUCUUGUGUAUAAAUGGAGAAACUAAAACAAAGGUAUAAAAACUUUGUAGACACUUUGGUGUACAAAUAUAAACAAAUUGAUUAAAUACUCAUAUACACACAGUGAUAUUUUUGGGUUUUAGAAUUUGUUAAUUUAAAAUUUUUAAUUAUGUUCUACGCAAAGUAGAUAUUAUCUUCUACGAGAAAUGGCAUGGUCAAAACUGAAUUCCAGACUAAACAAAUUAUUUUACUUUCGCUAGAAUCAAUAAUCACAUAAGGAAUGCAAAGUUACACAUUUUAAAGGUAGCUAGAUUUAUUCUGAAUGCAGUUUCUACUUUAAUGAGAAAAAAUGAUAAGAUCCGCGUCUUGCGCGAGAUAAACAUUAUAUAUACUAUUUUUUAUGUAUUAUAUGUUCUUUUACAUGUUUUGAUAAUAUAUAUAUAUAUAUAUAUAUAUAUUGAAUCAUAAAAAUUCAGUAACUAUUACAUAUAUAAUUAAAUUAGUUGUGAACAUAUAAAUAAAUUUCAUUAAUCCAAACAAUCAUUUUUCUAUUUUAUAUGGUAUAUAAUUAUAUUUAAAUGACAUUAACAUAUAUAUGAAAUUUUAAUAUUGAUAUAUAUUAAAUGAUGCUUUCUACUCAUAUAGUUUUUGAUAAUUUAUAUAUUUUUAUAAAAGAACUUUAGUUCACUGAGAACAAAAUUUUCAUUGUGUGAUUAAUAGUUAUAGUAAUUUAUAUUUUUUAAAAAAAUUCAAGGCUAAGUUUAAAAUUUAAAUAUUAAAUUGUCAAUAUUUUUUUCAAAGCUGUUAUCAAAAAAAAAUUUGUUCAAACCAAAUUUUGUAAUUAAAAUAUUUAUGUAUUUUAUAUGGUAUAUAUUAUAAUUUAAACGAUAUAAAUAUAUAUAUAUAUAUAUAUAUCUUUUACACUUAAUGUUUAUUAAAUGAGACUUUUUAUUUAUAUGAUUUUGUAAUCAUUUGUAUUUUAUCAUAGCAAAAAUAUAACUUUUUUACUAUAUGGUUACUAUAUGGUUAAAAAUAACCAUAUUUCCAAAAAAAUUAGUUACAAAAUAUUCUAAAAAUAUUUUGAAAUCUUAUUACUUUCCUAAAACGUGUACCUACAAUUUUCUUGUCAAAAAUCAAAAACAUUGUAGUUAAGCAUUUUUUUCUUCAUCAAAACAUGAUUUCUCCAUUGUUUUUUUGUGAUUUUGACCAACUCUUCUUCUAUGAUGAUUAUAUAUACGACAUGUGGGGCUUUUAAGGCUUUUGUUGGUUUAAUUUCUUUUAUAUCAAAAUUUAUUUUAUUUAUGUUUAUCCCUAAUACGUUUUUAAUUUAUAAACUACUUUUAAAUUGUAUUUUAUUUGAUAAAUCAUUGAUUAUUUUGGGAUUAUGAGAAAAUCUAUACUAUAGGCCAAACUAAGGUUAUAGGGACAAAAAGUGUGUUUUCAUUCUAUUUUGGCACGAUUUCCUUAGUUAUAUAAUGAAUUUUGUAAAACAUAUCAGCAUCAUCCGGUCAACUUCGGAAAGAACGUAUUUAGUGCUACGGAGUGGACUGGCUACCACACACAGUAAAAAUUUGAAAUAUUACGUCUAGUGAAUGUUCGAAAUGUUACAUACAGUGAAAAUUUUGGAAGUUACAUUCAGUGAAAAUUCAGAUUUUUACAUUUAGGAAAAAAUUGAAUAUUUCACAUUUUGUUAUUUAUUAAACAUUAAAUAGGAAAAAUGGAAAUGUGUUACGUUUAUGGUGUUUUAUUGAUUGUUUAUCACUCAUAUACCUUUAGAUAUGCACACUAUUACAUUAUUUCCCCAUCAGAUCAGCCGUCACGAUUUGGCAAUCUCUCUUCCAAUCAGAGGAUAAAGAGAAGCGUGGAAGUGUUGUGUACUGAACCAAGAACGUUCGAUCAGACCAUUAAGCACCAAAAGUUAUAAACAUUAGAUGUAAGGGUGAGUGUUCGGAUACCCAUUUGGGUACGGUUCGGGUCUAUUCGGUUUCGGGUUAAGGAUUUCAGUUCCAUUCGAGUAUUUUUAAAUUUUGGUUCGAGUUCGGUUCGGAUCUUUACGUGUUCGGAUAACCCAUUUAAAUUAUUUUUAAAAUUUUAAAAUUCAUUAUAAACUUUAAAUUUUCGCAAACUCUAUAAAAAUAAUAUAUUUCAUAUAAAUUUAAAUAACAUAUGUCAAAAUACCUAAACUUAACAUAUAAUGUGGUUUGGUUUGAAUAUUUUGGAUAUAAAUCAAUAGAUAUUUCAAGUAUUUUUGGUGUUUUGAGUAUUUUUAACCUAUUAAGGCAUUUAUUUUUGACUAUAGGUAUAUAAUUUCAAGUAUUUGGAAUCUUAUAUAUUUUGAAUGUUUUUAAAUAAUAUAUUAAAUGUAAAAAUAAUUAAUAUGUUUAGGUAUAUAAAAUCUUUUUUGGAUAUAUUCAAGUACUCAAAAUACUUUGGUUCGGGUCGGAUUCGGUUUCGGUUUUUUAGAUACCAAAAUUUUGAACCCACUCGAAUAUUUAGUUAAUUUCGGUUCGGAUUCGGUACAAUUUUUUUGGAUCGGAUUCGUUUCGGUUAUUCGGAUUCGGGUUUUUUCGUCCAGCCCUAAUUAGACGAGUGAAUUCUGUCUUAAACAAUUACGCAAGGCAAGACCAACGACAUCAUUAAGAUCGGUCCACAGCCCCGUUUAGGUAAACCAGUGACUAGACUACUCAUUACUCAUUAGUAACUGGUUUACCUAAACCGGAUGUGGUUAGGUAAACCAGUGACUAGACUAUCCGACUGUAAUUUGCAACUAAGCUAAAACAAAAUAUGCACACUGCAAGUCUGCCACUAUCCCAGAGAUGUACAAUAGUAAUUUUUCCAUUGCUGCAUCGGUUGAGUUUGUCAUAACAACAACUAUUGGUUUAUUUGGUUAUAGAAAUUGUAAGAAUAAAAAAAAAACUUCUGAACGGUUUUAUAAUUUUCCAAAAAGAAAAAUCUUGAAUUGCAUAAAUAAACUAGUACCAUAUGAUUUCAGUCUUUUUGUCUUCUAAGAGACUUUGAGUAUUUGUUGAAAAGCCUCAUGUGGUAUAUCAACAGAACCAACUCUCUUCAUCCUUUUCUUCCCUUCUUUCUGCUUCUCAAGAAGCUUCUUCUUCCUAGUUAUGUCUCCUCCAUAACAUUUCGCAAGCACAUUCUUCCUCAUCGCAGAGAUAGUGUCUCUCGCAAUGAUCUUUGAACCUAUAGCAGCUUGUAUCAUCACUUCAAACAUCUGCCUCUCUAUGAAGUUCUUAAGCUUCUCAACAAGCUCUUUCCCCACACGGUAAGCUUUCUGGUUGUGAACAAUAGUAGCUAACGCAUCAACUGCUUGACCGUUCAAGAGGAUGUCAAGCUUCACAAGAUCAGAUUUCUGAUACUCUGCAUCCUCGUAGUCGAAAGAAGCGUAACCUGAUGUUAUGCUUUUCAACUCAUCGUAGAAAUCAACAACUAUCUCCCUCAAAGGUAGCUGGUACUUCAAGAAAACACGUUGCGCGUCUAUAAAUGUGUACUCUAGCUGCUGGCCUCUUCGGUCAGAGCAGAGGUUGAUCACAGCUCCUACGUACUCACUAGGAAGGAUGAUUGUGGCGAUCACCGUUGGCUCCCAAGAAGCUGUGACUCUGUAUUUGGGGUUUGAAGGUAAUGCAGCAGGAUUCUGCACUUGCAACUUGCUCCCAUCUGAGUAUUCGAAGGUGUAAGGAACGGUAGGGAUCGUGGAGAUCACUUGUGUACCGUACUCUUGUUCAAGCCGCUGAUGAAAUACAUCCAUGUGAAGCAAACCGAGGAAGCCACAUCUGAAUCCCAUCCCAAGAGCUGCGCUUGUUUCCUUAGCCACCGAGACACUUGCAUCGUUACACGUCAGUUUCUCUAUUGCAUGAGUAAGUGCUUCAAAAUCAGAUCCAUCAGCAGGAUACACGCCUGAGAACACCAUAUGCCUCACCGGCUUGAAACCUACAUUCCACCCAUAAGCUCAUCAAUAUUCUCAAUUCUCAGUUCCAAGACUAGCAUAGGAGAGACACAAGUACCUGGAAGAGGCUCCACAGUGGUUUUUGUUCUGUAGAUUGUGUCACCAAUACGUGCCUCUUUCGUAGUCCGCAUGCCGGUUACUAUAUAACCAACCUGUCCCGUGAGAAGCAUUCCCGUAGAGGUAAGCUCAGGGUGCAUGAUCCCUACAUCUAACACUUCAUAAGACUGGCCAGUGGCAGCGAACGAGACCUUAUCUCCUUUCCUCAGCAUUCCAUCAACGACAGAGACAUAGCAGACGACACCUUUGUACUCAUUAAAAAAGGAAUCGAACAAAAGCAUCCGUAGAGGAGAGUCACUGAUCCCAGGAGGAGGAGGUAUCCGUUCUAUAACCGCGGGAAGCACAUGCUCGAGCCCCAAGCCGGUUUUGGCAGAGACUAGAAGAACCUCAUCCGUGUCGAGAUCAAACAUGGACUUCAACUGAGCUUUGACACGGUCAGGAUCAGCCGUUGGUUGAUCGAUCUUGUUGAUAACAGGUACAAUAGUGAGGUUAGCUUCAAAAGCUAAGUAAAAGUUAGCCACUGUUUGCGCUUGAACACCUUGAGCCGCAUCGACGACCAAGAGAGCUCCUUGACAAGCGGAUAAAGAUCUAGAAACCUCAUAGCUAAAGUCAACAUGGCCUGGUGUAUCAAUCAGGUUCAGAAGAAAACCGCUGGCUUCUUCAUCUUUAACUUUGUUUUCAUAGAACAUUGUCGCUGUUUGAGCUUUCACAGUGAUUCCUCUCUCCCUCUCUACCUAAAACAAACAUCCACAACUACUUCAUUUUAUGAAACAUUUUCUUCUAGAGCCUAACUGUACGAAAAAGACCAGGUUCUUAACUCAUGAUUUGAUUUUUUUGUUUCUUUUUUUUUUUUACAUUUUUUGAACUGGGGUUCUUAUAUAAGAGACUAUUCUUAGUUUUUCUUAGUUAAAAUAAAAAAAAAAAGUUAAAAACCAUUUCUUAACCGAAACUAAGAAGCUAACCUCACUCUCGUACCUGCAAUUUAUCGAGAUAUUGAGGCUGGCCAUGGCCUUUCUUGAUGGUGCCAGUAAGUUCCAUGAGACGAUCGGCCAAAGUAGAUUUGCCAUGAUCGAUAUGAGCAAUGAUGGAGAAGUUUCGGAUCUUGUCGGAAGGAAACUGUGUCAGAUCAACGGCGGGUUCUUUUUGCUUAGAAUCUGAGCUGAAGCCGUAAGCUUGUUGCGAUCCGACACGUAACGGAUCUCUUCGGUUGGGUUUGGCUGGAUUGAACAAGAGUGAGAAUGCUUGUCUCGAUGACUUUAGGGUUUUAGAGGCUCUGUACAUAGAACCCAUUUGGGGGUUUUGCGGAAGCAGUGAGAUUUGGGGAGUUUCAACUUUCAACACAAAGAUGUGUUUAGAGAACUCAUCGUCUAUACGACACCGUUUAGAGGCAUUGCAGAUUUACAAUAAACAGAUGUUAAUGUAACAAGUCAUAUUUUAUAAAGUCACACCCUUUGGAUCAUCACAAGUCAUAUUUACCAUCUUUUGAGUGGAUGAGGAUAUGCUCUCUGCUAGAACUCUAGUUAAAAAUGACUAAUCAAAAGAAUAUGUACAAGGAAAUCCAUUUCAAGCUUUGAUUGGUACAACUAAUGACAAAAUGAUAGUAGAAUACUAUAGAAGUUGUAUGCUCUAAAAAAUGUGUUAAAUAAAGUGACUGGUAUCGCAGUAAAUGAUUCAUAUAUAAAAAUAUUAUAUAAAAUUAGUAUAUGAUACAUAAUUUUUUUAUUUCUAAAUAAUAUAGAUAUAUUUAUAUUUAUAAUAUGUAUAUAUAUAUAUAUAUUAAUUUUAUUUAUUUACAGUACUUAAUCAUAUUUUCAUAUAUAUUUAAUUAUAUUUUAAAUGUAAAAUAUUAUUCUUAGAAAGUAAUAAUUUUAGUAUAUAUAUAUAAAUUUUAAUACAAGUACAAAUUUUUGAUAUUUAAAAUAAAAUAAAAUAACUUUAUCAAAAUUAUUUGAAAUUCUUAUAUAUUUUUAAUGCAAAUUCUCUACAAAAAGUUUCAUAUUAGAAGAUUAGAAAAAGAGCAUAAUCAACCCUACAAUAUGGACAAAUCCUUGGAUUCUUGCUCUUCACACGAGGUCAACAGUAUUAAAACAUUAAAUCAGUUUGAACCACCUACUAAAGAUUAAAAAUCUCAUUAAUCCAGUAAAUUUUUCUAGGAACAUAAAUUUUCUAAAUGCAUACAUACAUCAAGAAGAUGUGAAAGUUAUCAAAGUUUGGGUGAUAAGUCGCAUAUGUAAACCAAAUACUAAUAGGUGAAAUUUUACAGUGUCAAGUAAGUAUACAAUUAAAUCGAGAUAUAUGAUAGAUGUAUCUGAUAGGAGGACUAGAUUGGCUUUUUAUGGACCAAGUACAAAAACAUUAAUGGAUUUUGCGUAAAAACUAAAGUGCCCACCAAAAUUACAUCAUUUUGUUUGACAUAUCAUAUCGGGUAUUCUAUCGGUGACUAAAAGAUUGCAAUCAGGUAAUUAGGUUAUAUUUGAAUGUCCACCAACUUUCCAGGCAUGGGCGCUAUCACAAAUACUUUCAAAUCGAGGAACUUUUUCAACGUCAUGAGUUUUCACCAUUAUGGAUUAUUUGUUUCAAAGACUGUUGAAAGAGUAUGAGUUUGGAUAAUUUUCUUAGAUUAUGUGGUAUAUUUGGAAGAAUAUGAAUAAUAAGAUUUAUAAAUAAUAAAAACAAAAACAAAAACAAACAAGAUAUUUUAAGUAUAACGGAAAUUGAAAUAGCUUUGUUGCAAUUUGCAGUUUGAUAAAAAUUUGUCCGGAACAAAUCAGAAGAGUGUUGGUGACGGACCACAAUUCUGAUUUGUUCCAAACAAAUUUUUUAUCAGAUUUUGUAUCACCAUCUUCGUUAAUUUAGAACAAUAUGUGUGAAAAGUGAAAACAACUUCCGAAAACUAUAAGGUUUUCCUGCACUCUAUGCACCACGUGAAGCUUUUUCCGUUAUGAAUCUCAUAUGGACAAAUUUUGACGAUUUAAAUAAUUUUUCCAUAAUUUCUCAAUCAUGCAUAUACAAAGAGCCAAAAAAUAUAAUGAAGGAAAAAGCUUCACUUGGCGCAUAGAAUUUUCCUUAUGGUUUGCUAUAUGUUGAUUUUGUAGCUCAGAUAUUAUUGUCAAAAACAAUUUACAGUAUUGCUUUUUUUCUUCAUGAGUAAACGGUAUUAUCAAAAUUUAGAGCUCAGAUGACACAAUCAAAUCAAGAGUAGAUGCAUAAACUUAAUCAUCAUAAAGAAGAGUCUAAAACAUUUUCAACAAACCAUUUCAAUCAAUCACAAAGAAAGGACAAAGAGGAAUCAACAAAGCCAUUUAUUAAUAUAGGUUUUACACAAUGGCUUAUUGGUGAGGUGUUAACUUAAUGGAUUACUAUGCCCUGUGUUUGAGAACUUUCUUCUCAAGUUCAUCUUUCCUUGCUCCAACGAUCCUUUCAAUCUCUUUACCAUUUUUCACCAGCACAAAAGUUGGCAUCCCCGUCACAUUGAACUCUUUAGCCACAUCCUGAAAACAUUGAAAUUGUAGUAUGUUUUUAAACCUUUAUUCUCAUAACAAAAACACAAAUGAAUGUGGCGGAAUCCAUCUCAAACAACUCGACUGAUCUGCAGAUGUACCAUACCAAAAAUAUAUAUAUCUACCAGACACAAAAACAGUGAAUACUGGAGGCCAAUUCCAUUAAUGGUGGAUUCAAAUGUACAUAGACAGCAGAAAAUUGAAACCUUGGUCGUAUAUUACAGUAUAACAAUAACAAAAUGCAGUAAAGUUUCAAUCUUUAUCUCACUACAGAACCAAGAAAGUGCGGAUAAAGAAGCAGGUGGCUAAACCCAAUUCCACAAGAUCAUAUCUUAUAUCAUCAGAACUUGAUCCGAUCAGCAGUUAUACUAUAGAGCUAUAUCUACCUUCAUCUUCCCAACACUGGAUCAAAAUGAAAACUCCUUACCAGACACAUAAACUGUGAACGAUGGAGAUCUACCCCAGUAAUGAUGGAUACAAAUGUCGAGAGAAACCGAAAGUUGAAACCUUGGUCGUACAUUACGACAAAAUGCAGUAAAGUUUCAAACUUUUUUCUCAUUACAAAACCAAUAAAGUUCAGAUGGGUAAAAACCCAUUUCAUCAAACCCGUAUCAUAUAUCAUCAGAACUCGAUCCCAUCUACAGCUAUACUAUAAAGCUACCUACUUUGUCGAUGGAUCUAUUAAAGUUUAUUAAACUUACGGGAAGUUCAUCGACAUCCAAUUUGACGAAUUCAACAUCAGUGAACUUGGCAGACAUGGCGAUGAACGCAGGCUCGAUCAUCCUACAAGGUCCACACCAGGAUGCUGAGAAGUCAACCACCAGCUUCUCUCCCACAGUUCAAAAACCCAAUAUCAGUUAACUCGAUUUCACAUCUAACACGAAUCGGAUCUGAUCGGAUCGGUACGUACCAGUUUCGAGGAUUCUUUGAUCUCGUUGAAGUGAAGCUGCCACCGAGCCGAUGAGCUAAACUUCAUGACGCGACUUUCGGAUUCAUUCCCCGCGACUGCUUCAUCUCCACCACCACCUCCUAACACAGAUGAUAAUACACCUCCCAUUUUCUCUCUUCUCUCUUCUUUCUAAAAGAGUCUUUUAUGAACAAGUAAGCGGCGGAGAAUAUUAUUCCGCUUAAGAACCACGCUCUCUUCCCUGGUCAACGAUGGUAUGCCCACACACAUCCUGCCGUUUUAUGUUUUUACUUUUGAUUCCACACGGAUGCACAUCCUGACGUUUUUAUGCUAUCUCUAUUAUUCUCUAAGCCAGGGGUGGGCGUUCGGGUCCUUCCGAUUCGGGUCGGGUAUUUCGGAUUUUUGGGUAUUUCGGUAUAAAUGUGUAAAACCCGCUCGGGUAUUUAUUGUAUGAGCCAGCUAUUGUAUUCACUUUCACCAUCCAAAUUGAACAUUUAAUAAUCAAAUGCAUGUUGAUCCUGUUUAUCCAGAGCGGCGACUUAGAGGACAAGAUAAGCAAAGGUUAAUUUCAAGCACCAUAAUGUAUUCACUUCUUAAGCUUCCUUCGCAUUUCGAUUUGCAAACUUCUGGUCAUGCUAUCUUCACUCUUCUACGGUUUUAUUACAUGAUUUAUACUGAUUAACAAAAUUUCAUGGCCUCAGUCAACAUUCUUAAUCGGCUCCCGAAAACACCAAAUUUUAAACAUGAUAUAUUAAAAUAGCAAAUAUUACAUCCAUAAACUGACUUAUUAAAAUUAAACACCAGUAAAUAAAGUUGCAAUAUUAUACAGAUGCAUAUAUAUAACAUGCUACAUAUAAGGCAUAUAUCCGUCAUAUGCAACGGUUUAUUGUGCAGUUAAUAGAAUACUAAGUGGGAAAUAUUUAAUAGCUCCACAUACUCAUUUUUUUUUCAUUUCUUAUUAAGCUGACGCUGGUUCUUGAAGUGAUCUCUCGGGUUGGCUUCGAAAGGUGCCCUAGGAAUAAUCAAACCAUUCCCACCAGGAGCCUUCAUCAUCUUCUCUUUCGGGCCGUUCUCAUCUGAGCCUGAGGUCAUCCACGAGAAUAGACUAACGGCCGCUCCAAUGGCUCCAACCACGCCUAUGACUUUGGUCGCGGUAUCGUAAAAUGUCGAACUCUCAUCUUUGUCAUCUUUUCUCUCGGUGCUGUUCAUAUUGAUAUGGUCUCUAUAUGAGUGUUUUGAUUUGUUGAGUUUAAAGAGGGGACUCAGGAGUGAGUUAUAUAGAGUGGCAAGCUAGUGUACCUUGCCCCUCAGGAGUAAUGAAGACUUUAAUUACAUAGUAAAGGGAGGUUUAAACAUUUCUACUAUUAUUAUUUAAAAAAUGAAUGAAUUAUUUUACAUUAUUGUACUACUAGGUUAAAGCCACUUUCUUGCUAUCGGUCAGAGGAAUCUUUAGUACAAGAAAAGCUUUUUGUUUGUCUAAUGGUUAGAAUGAAGAUGCUUUCGUACGUGCAUCAUGUUUGGAUAAAUUUUUCAAUGGAUUGCAAAUUUGAAUUAUUACUAAAGUGACAACAACUUUGAAUCAUUGAAUGCAAAUUUCAGUCGCUAAAAUUAAAACCACAAAUGGAUUUAAUAAUUUCAGUGUACCUUCCCCCUCCGGAGUAAUAAAGACUUCAGUUAAUUACAUACUAAAGUCUCUAUAUUUAUCUUUUGAUCAGAAAAAGUCUCUGUAUUUAGCUAAAGGGAGGUUUAAACAUUUCUAUUAUUAUUAUUUCAGAAUUAAUGAAUUAUUUUACAUUGUACUAUGCUAGGUUAAAGCCACUUUCUUGUCUUUAGUACAAGAAAACCUUUUGCUUAUCUAGUGGUUAGAAUAAGAUGCUUUCCUACGUGCAUCAUGUUUGGAUAAAUUUUUCAGUGGAUACUUUGAAUCAUUACUAAAGUGACAAAAACUUUAAAUCACGGAAAGCAAAUUUGAGUGGCUACAAUUAAAACAACAUAAAUGGUUUUAAUAAUUUCAGUUGCAAAAGGAACUACUGCCAACAAUUAAUUAAUACUAAAAAAUUUCGGUGGAAGUUGUGGGAAUUAAACAGUUUUUGUUUUGUUUUCGAGAACUGGCAAGGGAUUUAAACAGUUAAAGAAUAUGUUCUGUAAUUAUAUCAAUAGUGAGUAUCUUUUUUACAUUAUAUUAUACUCUCUCUAGAUUUUAAAUCUUGAUGUUUUAAGAUUUGUAUAUAUUAAUAAAAAUUAAAUAUUAUUUUAAUUUAUUAGUUUGUUUAAUUCCCAAUAAAUUUGUACCACUCAAAUUUUUAAAUUUUAAUUUAUGUUAUAAUUUUAAAAUAAAAUACAUUAACUAAAAUUAAAACUUCAAUAUUUUGCAUAGAUAAGUUAAAAAUUAAUCGCUUAUAGAUGGAGAGAUCACUAGAUUAAAGCCGCUGUUUAUCUUAUUUAGAGCCAUUUCUUACUUAAGAUUCGUAUUUUUAAUGUUAAGAAUAAAAAGCAUUCGGUGUUUAAUAGGAUUUUACUUUUUCAGUGGACAACGAUCCCACUAUAUAAAAGGGACUAUUUUUAAGCUUCCUAAAGCUAGCCACAUGCUCAAAAUAAUCAGGGCCAAUCAAAUUGCCACGUCACUGCCAGAUUAGGCUUCAAAUUAAAAUCACGAUCGGGCUUCCUGUGCGCUAACUCAUUCUCCGACUCCGUAUUUUUGUUUUGCGCCAUCAGCCGAAGUGAAGCCAAACUCAGAUAAUUAACUUUCACCCAGCCCAGCCCAUUAAUCCCAUCAAUCUGAUAAUUCACUUUAUCCCAGCCCAGCCCAUUAACCCUAAUCUACGUAUUGUUGAGACUCAAGCCAAAGCGCACACAGCUUUCUCAUCCUCUGAAUAACCUAAUCGCCGUCUCCCCCAUUUAUCUUUCUCUCAUGACGACCCAUCUCGAAGCCCAUUCCCGAGCCACUCUCUCAUAAGCAUAAUCCCGUGUUCUAAACAUCCCGUGUUAAAUUUUUUAAAACACUCAUAUCUUAGAAAUAGUUUAGAAAAUAUCUUUAUAUAAAUGUUUUUUUCUUGAAUAAUAUUUAAUUAUAAUUUUUUGUAUAUUUUUAACUUUUAUAAUUUUUUUUUUUUUUUUUUGUCGUCAACUUUACAGACUCAUAUAGACUCUGUAAACCAAGCCGGAAGAUAUUGAUCCAUGUGAACGACGAAAGACGGCUGAAUCCUAACACUGCGUGCUAGGCUAUCCGCCUUUGUAUUCUGCGCUCUUGGUACAUGGACGAUCUCUGAUUGUAGGAAACUUGCUCUCAGACUUUUGAUGUCUUCUAAAUAACUUGCAAACGCUGGCCACUCUUCUGGUUCCGAAACCAUCUUCACCAAUUGAGAACAAUCCGUUGCAAACGUAACCUGAGAUUGACGUAAAUUCCUCAUACAUUCCAUAGCCCAUAGUAGUGCUUCCAUCUCCGCAUGUAGAGGAGAAAGGCUAGCCCGAACAUUCCUCGCCCCCAGCAACCCAGCGAAGCCUUCUAAAGUGCUGUGCCAACCCUGGCCGGAGAAAGUAUCUUUCUCUUUCCAGGAACCAUCUGUGAAACACCAUCGUCCUGGAUUUAACAGUGAAGACCUAAUCUCUUCCUGUGGGACCAUUCUCUGUUCAUUCACUAGUUGGGCUUCAGCCCAAAGGGUUGAUUCUGUUUCCGCCAAUUUGAGCGUAUCCCUAGGAUCAAUAUCCAGAUUACUAAAAACCUUACUAUUCCUUCCUUUCCAGAUAUACCAUAGUAUCCAUGCGAACUGAUGAUCAUCUAACUGCGGAAAGACUCUCCAGAAAAGAUGAUCCAUAUUUGCAAAAAGGGAUUGUGUGGGAAAUGUAGUUGGAUUUGAUGGUAUCUUUGAGAGAGCCCAAACCUGAAGUGCUGGAGGACAUUCGAAAAACACAUGAUUUAUCGAUUCCUCCUCAGCUCCGCAUCUUGUACAACAUAUAUCGCCAGUUAUCCCUCUCGCUUGUAAAUUUUUCUUAACCGCUAUACACCCUGUCACCAACUGCCAGAGAAAAUGUUUAAGCUUUGGUGGACACCUGACUUUCCAGCAGAAUGAUUUCAAACCAUCGACCGUAGGUCCAAAAAAUGCUGGUGGUUUUGCUCUAUCCGGGUAAACUCGUUCUACCUGAUAUCCCGAUUUAACCGUGUAUUUCCCAGUUGUUGUGAAAUGCCAUCCAUCUUUGUCCUCCAACUGAUAUCUACUCAGUCGUAUACUCUCGAUAAUUUUCACAUCCUGUGGAUCCACUAGAGCCUGAAGUGCCUGCGAGUUCCAAAUUCCCAAAGUGGGGUCUAUAAGAGAAGCCACUGUGAGGUCAGGGUAAAGAUUGUGUUGGUUUUUAUUUGCUGGUCUCGGGCGAGUGGUUGGGAGCCAAGGAUCAUUCCAUACAGAGAUAGAAGAUCCUGAUCCCACCCGUUUGAUUAGUCCUUUGCUAACCAGAGAUCUAGCUGAUGUAAUACUCCGCCAUCCAUAUGACGGAGAGUAUGAGCGAAUCGGUUCCAGGGGUGAGGCAUUCCUGAAAUAUCGACCUUUAAAAACUCGAGAAAAUAAAGUAUUUGGCUUCUCGAUCAAUCGCCAAAACUGUUUACCAAGCAUCGCUGUAUUGAAAUCAGUGAUGUCUUUAAAACCCAGUCCUCCUUCCUCCUUGCUAACACAUACUUUAUCCCAAGAUUUCCAAUGCAUACCUCUCGUACUUCCCCCGGGGCUCCACCAAAAUUGGGCUACCGCACCUGUCAGUUUCUUUACGGUUGCCUUAGGCAAUCGAUAGCAAGACAUCACAUGAUUUGGUAAUGCCGUAAUCACCGAUUUAAUAAUCACCUCUUUUCCUCCUUUUGUAAAGAACUUAAAAGUCCAACCAUUAACCCGUUUGUUUAGUCUAUCCUGCACAAAACUAAAAACCUGAACCUUUGAACCCCCAAGAUUUUCUGGUAAUCCUAGAUAAGUUCCCAUUCCUCCAUGAUUCUGAAUGCCCAGGAUGUCUCUCAUUUCCUGUCUGUUGGACUCUUCAAUUUUAUGUCCAAAUUGGAUCGAAGACUUCUCAAAAUUAAUGAGUUGACCUGACACCAUCUCAUAUUCCUUUAAGAUUCUGAGAAUAGUUUGACAUUCCUCUCUCUGGGCUUUGCAAAAGAAAAGACUAUCAUCCGCAAACAGUAGAUGUGAAAUGGAAGGACAUGCUCGAGCUACCUUCAUUCCUGUCAAUUGUUUCCCAUCCUCCGCCUUUUUAAUAUUUGCAAUCAAAGCCUCAGUGCACAAAAUAAAUAAAUAAGGAGAUAACGGAUCUCCUUGCCGUAACCCUCUAUUCGGAAUAAUAAGGCCUCUUGGUUGUCCAUUUAGUAAAACCCGAUAUUGAACCGAUGAUAUGCAUUCCAUCAUUAAUUUAAUCCAAUGAAGAUCAAAACCCAUCUUCUCUAGUAAAGCUUUAAUAAAGUCCCAUUCCACUCUAUCAUACGCUUUGCUCAUAUCCGUUUUAAUUGCCAUAUAUUUUCCUUGACAUGAUUUGUUAGUCCGUAAUCCAUGAAACAUCUCCUGAGCUAUAAGAAUAUUAUCAGUUAUCAACCUCCCUGCCACGAAUGCCGAUUGCGUUUCCGAAAUAAGAGACGGCAGACAAAGUUUCAGCCGCUGGCACAGAACCUUCGAGAUAAUUUUAUACCCGACAUUACAUAGACUAAUGGGUCUCAAUUCCGUCAUCCUAGUAGGCCUCUCCGUCUUUGGGAUCAUACAUAUAUUAGUAAUAUUUAACCGUGGAUCCAAGUCCCCAGACACCAAAAAAUUAUUUACCAUUGUUACCAAAUCAUUCUUAAUGAUAUGCCAGGAAUGCUGGAAAAAAAGAGCCGUCAUACCAUCCGGUCCUGGCGCCUUCUCUGGAUGCAUCAUAAACAAAGCCUCUUUUACCUCACUCUCAGUCGCCACUCUCAACAAUCGUUGAUUCAUCUGAGGAGUGAUACCCGUUGUUACCUCUGAGAGAAAACUAUCAAAUCCUGUCGGCGAAGUGGUACUAAACAGCUCUUCAAAAUAGUCAACAGCCACCUUUUCCACUCCAAUAUCUUCUGUAAUCCAGUUCCCCGCAGCAUCAUGUAAGCCAACAAUCCUAUUCCGAACUCGUCGUUGCUUAGUUAAGGCAUGAUAGAACUUGGUAUUUAGAUCCCCCGAAGAGUACCACAUAUUCCUACUUUUCUGGUGCCAAUAAUCUUCUUCAUCCUUAUAAGCUUCUUGUAACUUUCUGGAGACCUCCACAAUAUCCUCCUGUGACCUAGCAUUAUCUGUCUGAACCUCCUCGAGGGCCUUUUGUAAAUCGCUUAUUUUCUCCUUGCCAUAAGGUGGAUUAUUUUUCCGCCAUUUUGCAAUUUCAUGUCGACAAUUGCUAAUUUUUGCUACUAUAUCAUCCUCGCUACGAAUCCUAUCAUCUGACCAACCCGUCGUAAUGGAUUCCAGAAGCCCCUCUUGCCCUACCCACCUCUUAUCAAACCGAAAUUGCCCUUUCCUUCUGUGAACUUUAUCGUCUAGAUACGCCACCACUGGUCGAUGAUCGGAUGCCACCAAACCUAGAUAUUCUGUGUAAGAACAGGGAAAUAGAGUAUGCCACUCCUCAUUUGCUAGAGCGCGAUCUAACCGACACCUUACAGUCACAGCCCCUUUUCCUUUUCCUCUUCUCCCCUGCCACGACAUUUUGUUCCCUCUAGCCGGAAAUUCCAGAAGUCCAGUAUUUCUUAUCAUGUUAUUAAAAGGGAUAAAAGAAUCCGCACUUCUCAAAGCUCCUCCAUCUUUUUCAUGAUUUCCCGUAAUCUCGUUUAAAUCACCAAUAAUAAACCAGGGCUCAGAUCUUGCAAUGCCAUACCUAGUUAAUCUUUCCCACACUUGUUCCCUCAUUUGUUGAACCGGAUCUCCAUAAACAAAUGUGAGAAACACCUUUUUCCCCAAAGCCACCGCCUCCACAUCUAUCAUUCGAUUACUUGAAUAGAGUAUAUUAACUUGAUACUCAUUAUUAUAGAAAAGUGCUAGACCACCACUCCUUCCAUUUGGUUCCACUGUAACCAGAUUAUCAAAACCCGAAUGUAAUUGAAAUCUGUGUACAAAGUCAUACUCCUGUUUGGUCUCUGAUAAAAAAAGAAAAUCUGGUUUAUGUUUGUGCCAUAUCUCUCGCAGAUAACUCAUUGUCCAUUUACUUCCCAUUCCUCUACAGUUCCAACUUAGUGCUCUCAUUAAAAAAUAUAAAAAUACUCCCAAGAGUUAGCAAAAUUGGGUUUAAUGAUACCCUGAAAUCCCAACCACCAAAACACCAUAACCCCAUAAAACACCAAACUUUCACUCCACCCGUCACAAUAAAACGGCUUCAAUAUAAUAAUGGUACGCCCUGUCCCUAUUCCAAUGAUAUACAUUAUUUCCAAAUCCACCUCAUCAUCUAGUUUGAAACCAAUAAACACCAUGAUAGAAAAAACAAACAUAUGAGACUUGUUCUUCACGUAAAGCAGAGAAGAAUAAUCUGUAUACAUUUCUAAAUCAUCUUCAAUAUCUAUACCAAAUAUCAAUUCCUUUAUUUCCAAAGUAACCACUCUAAUCUUCACCAAAUAAACCAUCUGCGACUGGUUUAAAGAGACCAGCCACAGGUCUCGAGUCGAUACAACAAGAACGUUAUGUUCUGUCGUGAGCCACUUCCCAAAACCAACAAAACACACAAGUGCCAAAUCAUUUAUUUGUCUUUUAAGAACAAUAACCAGCAUAAAUAAUACCGCUUCGAGAAUACCAACCCUCCUGUUAUGAUCACAUACGCUCAACAAAAUAAACCAAAUCCAAAAACCAAUACCAAAAAUAUUAUUCCAUACGUUCCAAAGACCAAACAAACCACAUUUUAAUAAAUGCCCAUUUAAAACCCAGACAUACCAAAUAAAACUUGAACUGCUCGUAGAGCUUAUUGAACCAACAAAAAAACUGAAAGUAAAAAAAAACAAACAAACCCGUAAUAUAGCUGUCUUCAAAACACCCACAAUCCAUAAACAGUUAAGGCUUGGGUAGCUGUUUCGGGUGUGAGGUACCCUUUUCUUCCACUUGCUUAGCACCACCACCCCUGUGGAGGCUCUGUUUAGCUUGUACCCGUUUGCGAGGCUACAUAAGCACUUGAGCAAACUUGGAGUUGUGUCCACCAGUAACUGAAAACAAAGGCUUGCGCAGCCCCGUUUUCUUCUCCGCCGCCGUUUCCCCCUUACCCUCAACAAUGCCUCCAGUUCUAUCUUCUUCGACAACUUCUGUUGUCCCCACCUGAUCCAUAUCUGUUCCUUCUCCAUCUGUAAGAUAUUUCCAGUUCGACCCCUUAAUGAUUGUGCUUGAUCUUCUGGAUUCCGCAUCCACUCCGAGGAUCUGAAUGAUAACCAUAUCCUAAAAAGCCCAAUCGUAUCUCCAUUCCCAACCCCUUUCGAUUGAAACUCUAUCGAACUCGUUAUUAGGUAAUUGAUUCGCAGAUCUCCGCUGAGUUCCCCUAAUUUCCCAUCUCCAUAUGAUUCUCCUCGAAUCGUGAAAUUCCUAUGAGCACCCGGAUCCCAAUCUCGAUCGAACAUCCAAACCCUAAUUUGAACUCGCCAUCACCCGGAUGUCUUUUCGUAUAACUUUUAUAAUAAAAUUAUUGUUUUCAGAUAGCUACAAAAUAUAAAUAAGAAUUAUCUUAUUUUAAAAUUUUUUGAUAAUUUUAUUAUAUUAUUUUAAAAUCAUUUAUUUAAUAUUAAUAUAACAUAUAAAUUUUAUAUGAUUAAAAUAAAAUUCGUUUUUAAUUAUAUAUAAAAUUCAUUAAGGGUAUUCUUUUAAUUAACACAUUAGCGAAUCAGUUAGAAAUUAAUAAUAAAUCAAUAACCUAUCUAAAAGUCUAAAACCUAAUAAAAUAUGACAAAUAAGAAAAACUAACCAAAUUUUAAUAUAAAAUAGAAAUUUAAUAUUACUAAUAAAAAAUUCAUUUUUAAUAUAUAUAUAUAAUAUUAAUUAAGGGUAUUUUUAAAUUAAUAAAUUAGUGACUUAGCUAAAAAUAAAUAAUAAAUCAAUGAUUUAGCGAAAACCUAAUAAAAACAUGACAAAUAAGUAAAUUUACUAAAAUUAUGGAUAAUAUAAAAUAUAAUUGAUUCUUUAAUACAAAAUUAAAAUAAGAGUUUUGUUAAAUAAAACAUAAGUUUGCCGUAUCGGUCUAACAAAAAAAACAAUCAUUAAUAGUGUCGUAGGAAUUAUGUUUUUCCCAUUAGCGAAUAAAAUUGAAGCAUAGUGUUGGAGGAUAACUCAACGUGUAGACAAGAUUAUGGAGAUUGACAUGGGAGUUGAGGUAACGGACACAACUGUUAUUUCGCAAAGAAACGCUCCUGCUAGACAUCCUGGAUAAAUGAAAGAGACAUAUCUUGACUUGGCUUUGUGUUAAUGGAUGGUGACUUUCCAAUGCUGUUUGGAGUAAGGACCGAUAUACACGCACCAAAUCACCACUGUAAGCGGAAGCUGAAGGUUUGCUAUGGGCAAUGCAAGUGAUACUGAAGUUUAGACACAGAGAGAUGGUCUUUCAAUCGACUGUGAACAACUGGUUAUGCUUAUUCAAAAGGAGAAAGAUUGGCCUGUGUUGGACUCGGAGCUCAACGAAAUACAGGCUGUAUCUAAAGAAUUUUCUGAACUUUCUAUUGCUUAUAUUCCUAGAGCUUUAAAAUUCCGUAUGAAUAGCCUAGCAAAAGGUGUCCGAUCACGCGCAUCUCAAUCAGCUUUUGUAAACCCUUUUGCACCAAGUUGGCUAGCCCCACAAGCUAGCAUGAGGAUGUCAAAAAAGAGAAUAAAGUUAAAAGUGAAACUAAAUAUCUCAAUGAACAAAUUUAUCAGAAGUCCAUAUUUAUGUGGAUGUCUAUAUAGGACAAACAAUUUUUUUAGACAAUUAUAGAAUAUAGUCACGAAAAUCAAUCCUAAUAUAUAUAAUUUAAAAAAACCAUCAAAAUUUUCAAUAUUACACCAAAUAAGAAUAUAAAGACCAACUAUAUUCUCUUUAUGUAUAAUGUGUUGUGGUAAGAUUCAAAAAAAUUAACUUACUUUACAGUAAGGAAAAACUAGAUUUUUAAUUCCAAAUUUACAAUAAAACAUAACAUUUUAUAAAACUAAACAAUUGACAUAAUAGUACAAAAAUAUGAAAAAAAAACAAAAUACUAUCCGCGCGUAGCGCGGACAAGGACCUAGUUCCUAUAAAGAAGAUAAGUUAGGCGCAUGUCUUUAGGAGAAACAUAGUACAUAAAGUUGCACUAGUGGUACUGGUAUCUAAUCUAUUAAUUUAUGAUCUUAUUUUUAUCUAUCAUUAACAAGUCAUGGUAAAAUCUAUUUAAAUAAUUAAUUAAUAUGACAUAUUUGAUUAUUUACAUUAAUAAUAAAUCAAUUAUAAUUUUUUUUAUUUAUAACAAAAUCCGUUGACAAUAAAUCUAACAAAAUCUUAUUUAAAAUUUUAAAUAUUUUUAUAAAAUAACAUAUUAAUUAAUUUCGUAAUUAAUAAUAUAAUAUUGUUAUAAAUAAAUGUUAACUAAAAUUUUAUUAUAACACAAGAAAAAAAAAUACUAUUCUUUACAAAUUCUAUAAUUAUAUUCUAUAUAGAAAAUAGAAGUGCUAUAUAAAUUAAAUAUGAUAAAAUUAUAUUAAAUAGAUAAGUUAACAAACUUUAUUUAUUUAAAUUGAAAAAUAAAUUUAUUAACACAGGUUAAACUUUUAUAUCUACAACUAUAUAUUAUCUUUUUAUUUAUUUUGAAACUCUCAACAAUAUAUUGUUUAAACUUUUUAAUACAAAAAUAUAAUAGUAUAUAAUAACAUUUAGUUCAUAUACUAUUUAAAAAUAUGCUAUUAGUAUGAGAUUUUAGUGAUUCAUUUAAUUUUUUUUAUAUUUUAUUUUAUUUUAAUUAUAACAGAUCUGUUGAGAAAAAAAUAGAAAAUAUUACCAAAAAUUAAAAUAUUUUCUUAGAAAAUAAUGUAUUAAUGUAGUAACAAAAAAUGGAAAAUUUAUGUUUACCACUUUCAUGGUACCACUUUUCAUCUUUACCACCACUAAAUGGACAUUUUUAAAAAUAUAUUAUUCAUUAAGUGGCAAAAGACUCUUAUACCCUUGUUCUCUAUAUAUAUAAUAUAAACUAGAUUUUGACCCGCGCUUGGAAAGCGCGGAUUUGUUUUUGUAAUUAAAUAUAUUGUAAACGAAUUUAUAUAUAAGAUAGUGUAUAAGUUUGAGCACAUUUAUCCAAAACCACGGACCAAACCGUACCAAGCUGAAAAACCAAAAUUGAAUUGAAUUGCAUAAAUAAUAUAGCAAAUCAUAAAUCUAUGACCGAAAAAUUGAAACCAAACCGAGAACCAAAUGAGUACCUGAAUUUUUAAAUAAAAAUUAUAUAUUUAAAAAUAUUAAUUACAUUCAAUUUUUAAAUAACCAUAUAUCCUAAAAAUACUAUUUAUAAACCGGAUAACACGAAAACUUGAAUUACCCGAAUAUUUUUAUUUGGUUGAUAAAUAAUUUAGUUAACCAAAAGUAUAAUUUAUGUAUAUAAUUAUUUAUUUCAAAUAUAUAUAACUAUGUUUAAUAUAACACAUAGUAUCAAAACUAUUUUCAAAAUAAUAUUAUGUUUUAAAAUAAGUAAAUUUUGUUCUAAAACACAAUUCUACUGCUAACAUGUUUUAAAGUAUCGAUAUAGUGUUAAUAAAUAACAAAGUGUUUUCAAAGUUUUAGAAGUUAUCACUAACCGAUUUAUAAUUGGUUAGACUAAAUAUCUAACAGAACCGAAGAUAAAUAGUCAUUUUCUGAAAAUAUAGCAGAUGGAAAGAUUGAACCGGUUUUAUGUAGACCAUAAUCAUAUAUAUGGAUUUUUAUAGGAACUGGUUUGGUAUUAAAAUAAUACAACCAACUUGGAAUAUUAAGUUGUGACAAACAUCUUUUAGUUUGUGAAUGAUAAUGUUGAAGUGUUCAUAUAUAUAAUAUGGUUAAUGAAAUCAGUUUAGUUAAUAAGGUUAGUAUAAAAUAAUGGUUCAUCUCUGUAAAAAUAUAUUUUUUACAAUGGAUAUUAUAUUUUGUUUAUAGUCUUUGAAGGUAUUAUCUAUUAAAUAAAUCACAAGUAACCAUAUACUAUAUAAAUAUAGGGUGGACAUUAUUUAAUAUUAGCUCAAAAUAUUUAUGAUGGAAUAAUGCGUAUAUAGUAAACGUAUAAGUAGAUAAUUAGGUUAGUACCAUUUUUUAUGACUAAUUUGCUUUUAAUGAAGAAUAAUUAAGUUAGUAGUAUGAGAAAUAAUAGGAAUUCUAGUUAAAUGAAAUGGUCCAACUAUGACUUGUUUUAAGUAGAUUUUUUAGGACUCCUUCCCUUUUAAUAGUAUUGAUAAAAAAAGUUUUACCAUUAAACUUUUUUUUUAUGUUUUCAAAUUAUACUUUUACAAAUUCAAACUUUUUUAUAAAUUUAUUUUUUGAAAAUCGAAAAUUAUGUUUGAAACUAAUUUUUUUUGUCAAAAAAAUAAAAAACUAUUUUUAAACUUUUUUUAUAUGUUUAAAUAUUUAUUUAUAUAUUUAUUAGAAUCUUAAAUUUUACAUUCCAAAAACCUACCUCACCUCCUAACUUUAAACCCUAAAUCUACAAACAUUGUUAUUUAAUUCUCUUUUUACUGCUUUCUAAAUUACUUUCUAGUUUUAUUUAAAAGACAAUAAGUGGGGCUUAUUGGAAUGAUGAUUUGUUAGGAUUUCAUUUUUUCUUUAAAUCACACCUUAUUGGAUCUAGUAUUUAUAAAAAUUACCUCAAAUCCUUGCUUAUUGAACUUAUCAUUUUAAAAACUUCCAUCAAAUCCUCCCUUAUUGGAAAAUUAGGAUUUCAUCUAACAAAAUAUACCCAGGAUUAUUUGGAAUUAUUUGAAAAUGAUUUCUAGUUACAAUCUAAUGAAAAUAAAUUCCAUCUCAUGAGUUGGUAUUUGAAAAAAUUAUAGUAUUUUUUCUCAAUGAACUUUCGAAUGGUUUAAAAAAGUCUUACUCUUCUCUCAGCCUUUAUGUUUCUUCCUAUGAAAAAAAAAAAAAACUCAUUUGAGAACUAGGCCUAAAGAAUGAAUACGAAAAUCCACAAAGCUAGAUAAUGAAAUGGAACAGAAACGAUAGUCUUACCGUAAGUUUCUGGGUUCUUCAAGUUUCACUUUCAGACAAAGCUAUAAGGCUUUAGAAGCCACUUGAUGAUCAACAAGGGACAUAACCAGAGACGAACAACUAUGUUCGUAGUAUGACGCAUCAACCGGAUCCGGGAACAGCCAUUUUGUUAAUUCUUUUUUUUAAUUAACGAGUUUUAACGAUGUCGUUAUGUAUAAAGAUAAUCCCAUCAUUUGAACAGAAUCCUGCCAAAAUCCCCCAUCAAAAUAACUACCAAAAUCUUCAAACCCCUAUCAAAAUCUUCAAAUUCUAUCUAAAUUCUACUAAUUUAAAAACUCCCAAAAAAUUUUCAAACCCUCGAUUCAAUAAGCCCCCCUAAGUAUAUUGUGUAAUCUUAGAGUCUAUGUGGAGAAGAACCCUAAAUAUUAUAACUGAACCUUUUACAUUGAGCAAAUCUCUCCCGCCAACAUUCAUAUCUUAUGUUUUAAUGUACUAUGGUUAUUGUUCAUCUUACCAUUGAGAUUAACACCGAUUGAACAUGGCUCCAGCUGUAACCACUUAAAAUUUUGAGUUUUAAGAUAUUUCGUUGACAAAAAAAAAAAGAGUCCUCGGAGUUCAUUGUAGUCACGGGUUGUGCCUAAUUUGUUUUUUCUCACAAGUCAAGUGUUAUUAAGAAUACAUAAGACGUGCUACAAAAUCAAUAGGAGAAGCUGCUGAAUGUUGCUCAAGAAGUCAAGAUGCUACCAUGAUGAAUGUUUAGCCUUUACCACUAUAAAGUGGAAGUGUGGAAUGUAAGAGUUAGACAAAAUUAAGUGCAGGUGAUAUAUUGAGCGUAUAUGGACGAGAGUAAGAGAGAUUUGUGUAAGAAAUUAGAGAAAGAGAAACUCUGAGGAGAGAGAGAGUGUUCUUGAAAGUGAAAAAAAAGAGGAGAACUAUUUAAUCUUUCAUUGAAGAUCAGGUUACAAUAUUGAAGAAGAGCUUGCGACAUUAGGUUACAAACAAAGAAAGACUAAGCAUGUUGAGUCAAGAUAGAAGGAGCGUCCCACUCCAAUUUGAAAUACUUGAGCCUCAAAUGCUCAUACGCUUUGGUCUUUGGUCAAAUGGGAUAGCUAAUAGGGACAACUAGGCUUGGACAGCUCACGGACCAUACUCCACCUUAUCCUUGCAAAUGGUCACAAGGAAAAAGAAGCUUCCCACUGGUUUUCUUCUUCUUUUCCCUAAGUUUUCACAAGUGUUAUCCGAGUAGAAUGAUAGCCGCACAGUCGACCCUAAGUGUCGUCCGUACACUCCGCCCUAUUUUUGCAGAUCGUCCAUUUCACUUAACAGGUCGAUCUUGAACUCUUUGAGUCAACCUUCAUCCGUACAUGCUUACCGUACGUAACGUCCGUACCACUUGCUCAUUUCUCACUCCUUCUUAUCAUAAACUUUGGUCAAGCCUCUUUUUCUUUAUUCUUCGUAUGCAAUACUCCUCUUCAAACUUGACCAUGAGAACCUGUCAAGUUUGGAAAUCAUGAAGAUCUUCCUCAUUCAAAACCUCAUUGGAAGUAAACGUUGAUGAGAAAAAAAGAGUGGAGACUCCAUGACUAAGAAAAUCAUUUACAGGAGAGGUCAAUGCCAAGUCUGGUAUAGAUGGGCUGAGUCACAUUGAUUCUUGCGGAUUUGGUAAAGACAUCCACAAGUUGGUCUUUACUUCUUGUGUAGCAUGGUAAGAUCACACCCAAAACAAUUAUUUACCUAACCUUGUAACAAUCAACCUCAAUGUGCUUUGUCCUCUGAUGAAAUAUUGAACUUGAAUCACUAUGGAUCACAGUUUGGUUGUCACAAUGCAUGGUGAUAGGAAUGUUGAUUUCAAUCUCCAAGUUUUUUGAGAAGGCCCUUAAUCCAUACCAUCUCGUUGGUCAGCUCUAGGAUGGCUUUAUACUUAUUAAAUCUGUCGGUUUUCUGAUUUCAGAUGAGAAUCGUUCGACACUCAUGUGGUAUCGUUCGACACUCAUGUGGUGUCGUUCGACACUCAUGUGGUGUCGCUCGACACCUUUCAACAACCUCGACAGCUUUCUCGAGUGUGUCAGACCGACCACUUUUCAAUAAAACGAACAUAACUUUUGAUCCAAUUGUCUGAUCGACCUCAAAUCGAUGGCAUUGGAAAGUUAAUUCUUUAUUUUGUGUCUAAAUAUAGGCUCAAUUUCACUGUAGGAAAUCUUCCAACCAUUACUAAACUUUUGAUGCAUCUACGUAGUUCUGUAUCUCAAAUAGUUCUAAAAUCUCUAAGGUUGUCGAAAACGUACAUGAAUCUGAAACGACUCUGAAACGCUCGAAAUAAAUAAUAAAAUUUAUAAAGAAAUUAUUACCAUGGUCAAAAGGUGGUAAAACCAUGGUAUAUCAUCGCAUAGUUGAAAGUCUUGAAGAGGUUAAAGAAUCUUUCGAAGUUUUUAAGCUUUGGAGGAAGACUUAGGUCUGAAAAUCAAGGUUAUUCUAGCAUCUUAUUUUAGUCAACAUUUGUUUGCGCCAAUAAUUCAUCCUAAUAUUAUUUUAUUGGCGCAAACCUAUUUGCAGAUUACAUAAUUAAAGAUUCGGCUAGCUGUCAACUAAAAGAUCUCCAUUCAUUUUUAUAUGUAUCAUCAGUUCUUGUCUGGAGCUAUAGUCUUCUCUUUGGUUUCUUUCUUGGUAAGAGUUACAUAUCUGUGGAAGCAACCUGUAUGAGUUAUUUUUAUAUCUCAGAUCCUAAACGUAUUGCUGAAAACUAAAAAACCAAAUUAUUACUUGUUGAUGAAGAAAUGAAUUCUCUCUCUUCAGUAGCAGUCUUGCUUUCUUGCCUUGUGUUGUUUCUUGCCAAAGAAUCUUUGUCACAUCCAUUAUGUAAUGAUUUGAGUAGGUGUCUCUUUUCUUUGUUUCUCCUGUUAUCAGAUUGAUGAUAACUAUGUGUUUUGUGUCAUUUUUUGUUUCUGAUUUUAUUUGGUUUGGUCAGCUGCUCUGUUUAUUUACAGUUAAUUUUUUUUCUGAUUCUUUGAAAUUGUUUUGGUCAGCUGCUCCGCUUAAACGGAAGCAGCCGCUCUCUUUUUGUCAAGUCAAUGGAAGUGUAUGCUGUAACUCCCAUGAGGACUUGAAGUUGCAAAAGCAGUUUAAAGCAGUCAAUGUAUCUGGUAGCUGUUCUUCGCUUCUCAAGUCAUUACUUUGCUCGGUAAGACCCUACACAAAUGUUCAUUUGCUUUAGCCUUUGCUCGGUAAGACCUAUCUUCAUGAUUACUUUUUUCUGGUUGCAGAAGUGUGAUCCUUUCGCAGCAGAGCUUUUCCGUGCUGAGUCAGAAUCUAGACAAGUCCCUGUGCUCUGCAACUCCACAGUUUCUUCUCACAAGUCAACACAAUCUCUUGCCGGCAUUGAUUUUUGCACAAGGUUUUGGAGUGAAUGUCAGAAUCUCUCUGUAACCAACACUCCUUUUGCAUCUCAAUCUGGAGAUGGAAAUAACUCCACAAUAUAUGAGAUAUGGAAAUCAAGAAAUGACUUCUGCAAGACCUUUGGUGGAUCUUCAGAUGAAUCCUCUGUGUGCUUCGAUGGCCAGGCGGUUUCAUUCAACAUUUCAAAAGCUACUAGUCCUUCUCCUUCAGGCAUGUGCCUUGAGAAGCUUGCAAACGGGUCUUUUCUCAACAUGGAGCCUCAUCCUGAUGGCUCUAAUCGCGUCUUCCUCUCUGAUCAAGCUGGGAUGGUAUACCUGGCUACAGUCCCAUCUCAAGGCUCUAGAGAAGUUUUAACAAUAGACGAGACUAAUCUGUUUCUUGAUCUAACUGAAGAAGUGCACUUUGAUGCUGAGCUUGGUCUCUUGGGAAUAGCUUUUCAUCCUGAUUUCUCGAGGAACGGUAGAUUCUUUGUUUCUUUCAACUGCGAUAGAGUUAAGUGGCCAGAAUGUUCUGGCAAAUGCGCAUGCAACUCAGAUGUUGAUUGUGACCCUUCAAAGCUAGAUUCUGAUGACGGAGCAACCCCAUGUCAAUACCACAGCGUCAUAUCAGAGUUCUUUACCAAUGGUAUCAAACUAUCUUUACCUUACUUUUAAUUAAGCUUAUAGUUGGUCUCACUGAGAUGUUAUCGAUAUGUUUUCAGGGACUUAUGUUAAACCGGUGGAGGUAAGGAGAAUCUUUACGAUGGGUCUUCCUUUUACAACACAUCAUGGUGGACAGAUCUUGUUCGGGCCUAAGGAUGGGUACUUGUAUUUCAUGAUGGGAGAUGGAGGAAGCAAAGGAGAUCCACACAACUUUGCACAGAACAAGAGAUCUUUGCUUGGGAAGAUCAUGAGACUCGAUGUGAAUAAUGUUCCAGGUAAUAAUAACAUGCUACACAUUAGAAGCAUCUUCACACAUAUGAACAUGGAGUUUGAUCUCGGUUCUUGUUUAUUAGAUGCAAAAGCAAUGAGCCAGUUUCAGCUAUGGGGAAACUAUACUAUACCAAAAGACAAUCCGUUUACACAAGAUAAGAAUAUGCUUCCUGAAAUAUGGGCCAUGGGAGUUAGAAACCCAUGGCGAUGCAGUUUUGACUCAGAGAGGCCGUCUUACUUCCUAUGUGCAGAUGUUGGAGAGGUAUCACCGAAACCGAAACCAACAUUUUCUUGAUAUUCACUGUUCAGAUUCUUGAUGAAGUUAACUUGCAGGACAAGUAUGAAGAAGUGGAUAUGAUCACCAAGGGAGGAAACUAUGGUUGGCAUUACUACGAGGGACCUUUACCAUUUACCUCUUCUAAAACCAGCAAGAACUCAACAAAGAUUACAAAUCCGAUCUUCCCGGUUAUGUGGUACAAACACUCGGACGUAAACCAGAAAGAAGGAUCUGCUUCAAUAACUGGCGGAUAUUUUUAUCGUUCAACUACUGAUCCAUGCUUGUAUGGAACGUACGUUCACUCAUUCCUCUUCUCUUUAUAUAUUUGCUGAUUUUCGAGUGAUUUAAAAUUCAGUGUACCAGUAAAAUGAUAUAUGGGUGAUUAGGAAAACCAGAUUUAGUAGAUAAAGAUUUAUAAAUAUAAGUCUAACUAAUUGUCAAUUAUUAAUUCAGAUAAUCAAUAUACAAAUUCUAAAACGGGUAUUUUCCCCAAGAUUGUAGAUGAAGUUUGGGAUGAUGUUUGUUUUGUUUAUAUAGGUAUCUCUUUGCAGACUUAUACGCUGGAGUCAUUUGGGGUGGAGCUGAAACUCCACUGGGUAGUGGAAACUUCACGAGCUCUCAUAUUCCAUUACGAUGCACUUCGGAUUCGCCGAUCUCUUGCUCAUCUGAUACAGACUCUUCUUCAUCAUCAUCUCCAGCCCUUGGCUUUAUAUUCUCCUUUGGACAAGACAACAACAAAGACAUCUACUUACUUGCAAGCUCUGGCCUUUACAGAAUCGUUCGUCCGAGCCGCUGUAACUUCCAUUGCUCCCUUGAAAACGGAACUCCAUUGGUUCCUUCACGACAGCCUGAUCGUUCUCCGCCAUCUCCAUCAUCUUCUCAACGACUACACAACAGCGUUAGUAUUCUUGUAAUAAAUUUCUUAGCUUGGUGUUUUCUUUUGUUUGUAAUACAAAGAAAAUGAAUAUGUUCAAAGAUCCGUACAUACUAGAGAAGCAAAUGGCUGGGACUAUUUCUAUUGACACAGUAUCCUGAGGUGCACCAACAAUCAAGAGAACAAUACAUAUCAAAAACGUGAGACAUCUUCAAUAAGCAAAUUUUUUGUUACUUAACUAGUAUACACUCACUACGGCGAUCACUUUUUUGCUUAUUUACAUAAUUGAGGUUGACAUACAUUCUAUUAUAGCAGCCGAUGUCGCAAUUGCGGUACUUCACCUUUUCUGGUCAGAUGAAAAAAUUGACAACCUUUUUUUUUUUGGCACAAAAAAAAUUGACAACCUUGUUGAUAACAUCAAGGUUAUAUUGUUGCUCAGUUUAAAUUUUGACUAUUGUUAAUCUGUCUAAAUGUAAGCAUAUUGAAAAGUGGAUUAGCAAGUAAAUUGAAAAUUUAAUGUACAACACAUUACUUAAUGAGAAAACCAAAAUAAGAAGAUUGUAAGUCAUUUAAGAUAACAAAUAAGUUCCCCUGUUAAAACGAUAGCAAUAGUAAUUAAACCCCUCAACUAAAGAUGAAUCGUAAAAAAAACCCUCAACUUUAAAUCCUGUGAAAUAAACCCUCAACUUUAGUUCCGUUAACAUAUGUUACCCUCCGUCUAAAAAACCGUGACGGAGGGUGAAAUAUGUUAACGGUUUAUAAGUUGAGGGUUUAUAAUGUUGAAAACUUAGUUGAGGGUUUUUUUUACGAUUCAAAAAUAGUUGAGGGGUUUUAUCACUAAAAGUCAUUAAAGAGUUUUUAAGUUAUUUAUUAUCCAUUUAUACAUUGUUUUAGAUUGAUUUGUAAGCCUUUAAACCUAAUUUAUAUUUUUAAUACAUUAAUAUAUUAUAAAAUUAAUUUAUACUUCUUAAAUUAAUAAUUUUCAACACGAUUUACAAUUUAUUAUAACUUCAAAAUAUUAAAUUAUUUGAUAUUUGACAAUAGUGAUAUAAAAAAAAUUGUGUGUUUAUAUCGUCAUUUUCAAAUAUCAAAUAAUUGAAAGUUUCUAAGUUAUAUUAAGUCUUAAAUAGUGUUGAGAAUAAUUCAUCUAUGAAGUCAAUCUUUCUAUUUGGAGUAUGACGUACUUUUUCUUAUUUUCAUGAUUUUUAUCAUCAGGCUCAUACUUUCCUAUAUUGUUCUUGAUUUAUUGUAUUACUUUAUGUUUCAAAUAUAUUAUUGAUCAAGAAAAUAAAAAUAUAAUGUAGUUAUUCAGAAAUCAAUGAGAAUAAAAAUAAUCAUGCAUUAUUUUGGAGGGGGGAAAAGUAUGAACCGGAUGACAGAAAUCAUGAAAAUAGAAAAAAAUGCGUCGUACUCUAAAUAGAAAGAUUGACUUCAUGGAUGAAUUAUCUCGACACUACUUAAAACUUAAUAUAACUUAGAAACUAUAAAUUAUUUCAUAUUUGACAAUGACGAUAUAAACACACAAAUUCUUUUAUAUCACUAUUGCCAAAUAUCAAAUAAUUUAAUAUUUCAAAGUUAUAAUAAGUUGUAAGUAGUGUUAAAAAUUAUUAAUUUAAGAUGUAUAAAUUAAUAUACAAAUAUAUUAAUGUAUUAAAAUUUAUAAAUUAGUUUUAAAGGCUUAUAAAUCUUAAAACAAUGUAUAAAUGAUAAUAAAUAAUUGAAUAACAUUUAAUGACUUUUAGUGAUAAAACCCCUCAACUAAAGAUGAAUCGUAAAAAAAACCCUCAACUAAAAAUCUAGUGAAAUAAACCCUCAACUUAUAAACCGUUAAUAUAUGUCACCCUCCGUCACGGUUUUUUAGACGGAGGGUAACAUAUGUUAACGGAACUAAAGUUGAGGGUUUAUUUCACAGGAUUUUUAGUUGAGGGUUUUUUUUACGAUUCAUCUUUAGUUGAGGGGUUUAAUUACUAAAAACCCUACUAUGAUCAUGAGGAUACAUUACAAAAACUAACAUCAUUUAUGUCACAACAAAACAAUUAAAAUAUUUUUGGAGUAUGCCACAUGUUAAAGUUUUUGUGUGUAUGCUCCGAGUCAGAUCACACAAUCUGAUCGAACAAAUGGAAAAAAUGGCGAUGGAGGUUUGUUUAUGGAGAUGGGUAAACCGGCUACUGGACAAUCCGGUAUGCUCUGGGUGAUUGAAGAUGGAAUUGAUGGUGAAUCUCAAACAGAUGGAGAUGGAUGAUGUGAACCUGAAGACUGUUCAACUCUCUUCUUCAGGCUCGUUAAAUGGUUGAUGGAAGGAAGUGAUCGGAUGGGUUUUAAGUGAGUACUAGAUUUUGACCCGUGCAACCGCACGGGUGUUUGUUUUCACAUUUCUAUACAUAAAUUAUUGUUUCAGAACAUAAGUGGUAUAUAUUUUUAAUGUUAAUUAUAUACUUAAAUAUUUAUAUAACUAUUUCAAAUACAAUAAUUUUAUAAUUUACAUGUUAUAAUUAAUUAAUUGUUUAAACCGUAUGUAUUUACCACUUCUUAUUAUAUAUUUAUCUUAUUGUAUUUGCAUUUAGUUAUUAAGCAAAUUAAUAUAUUAAUGAAAAAUAUAUUUAAAAAUUAUUUUGUAUUUAAUUUAUGCUAAAUUCUGACCCGUCUUUCAAAACUGGAUUUCUUUUUACCAAUAUUUUUAUGCUUAUUCAUUUUAGAUAAUUUAUUAUUGUAUAUAUAAAAGUCUAACAUAUGUUAAUUUUUAGACAUGUAUUAUAUAGUUUGUUAAUUUUAAGCUGUUCUAUUAUCAUAUUAUAUUUUAAAUAAAUAGUUUAUAUUUCUGAAAAUAAAAUUUAUAAAUUUAUCAAUUGAAUAUAAUUUUAUCAUAUUUAUUUUAGUAUAAUAAUUAUAUUUUCACAUGAUCAUGACUAUAAAGUAGAUAAAAUAUGAUAUAAUUUAUUUAUUUUCAUUUUUAAACGAUAACUUAAAAUACAUUAAGUUAUUAUUUAAAUAUUUUUACACAGAUUUAUUAGAAUUUUUAAAAUAUAAUAUAUAAAUAUAUAUUAUAUUUAAAAUGAAAAUAUAUUAUGAUUAAAGUAGUUACAAAGAUUUUAUAUUAUUAACUUUAAAGAAAUACAUGUUAAUUUUUAUACAUGUAUUAUAUAGUUUGAUAAUGUUAACCCAUCUUACCAACAUAUUAGAUUUUAUUUUUGAACAUAAAUAUUUUAUAAUUACGAAAAUAAAAUAUAUAAAUAUAUAAAUUUAAUACAAUUUUAUUAUAUUUAGCUCAAUAUAAUAAUUUUAUUUUAAUAUGAUUGAUUAUGAUUAUAUAAUAAAUAAAAUAUUAUAGAUUUUUUUUUAUUUUUAAUUUUAUAUAACUGAAUAUAUUAAUGUAUAAUAAUAUUUUAAACUAAUUUCAAAAUUAGCGAAAAUAUUUAAAUAUAAUUUUGAAAAUGAAGAUCUUGUAAAAAUCUUUUUAAACAGAUUUGUUAGAAUUUUAAAAUAAAUAUACUAAUAUUUAAAAUGAAAAGAUAUCAAAAGAUAUUUUGAUUAAAAUAUUUUAAAAUAUUUAUUUAUUAUUAGUCUGAACUAAAAUGUAAUAUAAAUUUCUAUGAAUAUGUCCAUUAGGUCCAUUUUAAAAAAAAUCACACAUGAAUUAAGGUUGUGACUUCUGUUUUAAUAUAUAAGAUGUCAUUCAACUCUCUUUAUUUGGAAUAAAAAUAAAUUAGUUAUAUUUGAUCAAAAAAACAAAAAUAAAUAAAUUAGUUAUAUUAUGACACAUCUAAAAUAUAUAACACUAAUUAUAAAAAAAUCAAUAUUAAUGUAUAAAAAUGUAAGAACGGAUACCACGCGGCGCGAAUCAGUUUAUAGUAUAUUCCAUCUGUUUCUUAUUACUUGAUGUUUACUCUAAUGCACACAUAUUAAAAAAAAUUAUUGUUUAUCAAAAGUGUCACUAAACUACAAUAUAAAAUUAGUUUAUUUAAUUAUAAAUAAAAAUAAUAAAAAUCUAGUUGGUUACACAGUUUUUGAUAAAGUUAAAGUUACAUAAAUUUAUGCAAACUUUAUCUACUAUGAAACAACAAAAUUGCUCUAAAACAUCGAGUAUAUUGAAAUAGAAAGAGUAUAUUAUAGGUAUUAGAAACACAUAUUUGUAAUUAUGCUGGAAAGGUGAUUUGGAUAGGGGUUGUCUCUAGAGCCAGGCAGCCAGCCAACCCAAAUCCUCGCAGGCUUUGUGAUGAGAUUGAAUAUUCCCUGAUAUUGCUACGAAACCUGCUCUCUCAGAUCAGAGGAUUACUCUGAUAGCUGUGAAUAUCUGUCGAAAACGGCGUCGUCGAGUUGACAACGAUUUUGGAUUAUAUAUGAAAAGAUAACGUUGCUUUUUGCGAAAGGUUUGCAAACUCUUCCUAGGUGGAAGAUGUACAUAGACAUCUGCUCAUCGUCAUCUUCUCCUUCUCUUCCAUCAAUACCCUUAACCAGACCUCAUAUUCACACCUCCAUACCCUUCUUCACCAUACCUCCUGAGUCAACACAACAUCGCAGUCUCAUCUUCACAGUCUCUGCAUCAUCUCCACAAUCCACAGAAACUAAAAACGUAUGGAGAAAACAACCAGAGAAGUCAACAUCGUCGAAGAAACAUCGGAGGUACCAAAGAUCCACUUUUCUCGACCACAAAGUCGACAUGGACGAGCUUCUAGCUUCAAUUCACCAAACCCAUAACGAGGAAGAGCUUUUCUCUCUCCUCUCUUUGUACAAAGACAGACAAUUGUCUAUACGCUUCAUGGUCUCGCUUCUUUCCCGAGAACAAGACUGGCAGAGAUCACUCGCCUUACUCGACUGGGUUCACGACGAAGCUAAGUAUACACCUUCCGUGUUCGCCUACAACGUCGUUCUCCGAAACGUGCUGCGAGCUAAGCAAUUCGAGAUCGCACACGGACUGUUCGACGAAAUGCGUCAGAGAGCUCUUGCUCCCGAUAGGUAUACUUACUCGACGCUUAUUACUUCGUUUGGUAAAGAAGGUAUGUUCGAUUCGGCUUUGUCUUGGCUUCAGAAGAUGGAACAAGACCGUGUUUCUGGUGAUCUCGUCUUGUACAGUAACCUCAUUGAGUUGUCUAGGAGGCUUUGUGAUUACUCCAAGGCUAUUUCGAUCUUCUCGAGGUUGAAGAAGUCCGGCAUUACGCCUGAUCUCGUUGCGUAUAACUCGAUGAUUAAUGUUUAUGGAAAGGCUAAGUUGUUCAGAGAAGCUCGUUUGCUUAUGAAGGAGAUGAAGGAAGCUCGUGUGGAACCAAACACAGUUAGUUACUCAACUCUUUUGAGUGUUUAUGUGGAGAAUCAGAAGUUUCUUGAAGCUUUGUCCGUUUUUGCAGAGAUGAAAGAGGUGAAUUGUCCAUUGGAUCUCACGACUUGUAAUGUAAUGAUUGAUGUUUAUGGUCAGCUUGAUAUGGUGAAAGAAGCUGAUAGGUUGUUUUGGAGUAUGAGGAAGAUGGAUAUUGAACCAAACGUUGUUAGCUACAACACGAUCCUCCGCGUUUAUGGUGAAGCUGAGCUUUUCGGUGAAGCUAUUCAUCUUUUCAGGUUGAUGCAGAGGAAAGACAUUGAGCAGAACGUUGUUACUUACAACACGAUGAUUAAGAUCUAUGGGAAGACUCUGGAGCACGAAAAGGCAACGAAUCUUGUUCAGGAGAUGCAGAGCAGAGGAAUCGAACCUAACGCCAUUACGUACUCAACGAUUAUCUCAAUAUGGGGUAAAGCUGGUAAACUAGACCGAGCUGCAACGCUGUUUCAGAAACUGAGGAGCUCAGGUGUUGAAAUUGACCAAGUUCUGUAUCAGACAAUGAUCGUGGCUUACGAAAGAGUUGGUCUAAUGGGUCAUGCUAAGCGCCUGCUACAGGAGUUAAAGCGUCCUGAUAACAUACCUAGAGAAACCGCUAUCACCAUUCUUGCUAAAGCUGGGAGAAUAGAAGAGGCCACGUGGGUUUUCCGACAAGCUUUUGAUUCUGGGGAGGUAAAAGACAUAUUUGUUUUUGGCUGUAUGAUCAAUCUUUACUCGAGAAACCAAAGGUACGUGAAUGUCAUUGAAGUGUUUGAGAAAAUGAGAAGCGCUGGUUAUUUUCCGGAUUCAAAUGCGAUAGCUACAGUGUUGAACGCUUAUGGGAAACAAAGAGAGUUCGAAAAGGCGGAUACGGUUUACAGAGAGAUGCAAGAGGAAGGAUGUGUUUUUCCUGAUGAAGUUCAUUUCCAGAUGCUGAGUUUAUACUCGUCCAAGAAAGAUUUCGAGAUGGUUGAAUCUUUGUUUAAGAGAUUGGAGUCUGAUCCUAACAUCAAUAGUAAGGAGUUGCAUUUGGUCGUGGCGGCGUUGUAUGAAAGAGCAGAUAAACUAAACGAUGCUUCAAGAGUCAUGAAUCGAAUGAGAGAACGGGGACUUCUAAAGCCCUUUUCUAGAUGAGAUCAUGUAACAUGCUUCGUCUUGUGUUAACUUGAGUAAAACAAUCUGGAUGUUUGUCAGCUUCAGUUUUACACUAAUUUAUGAUUUUAAUUUGUUGAGUAGAUUAUCCACUCCAGAGACCAGAAGCAUACUACAUCGGGACCCAGUAAUUUAUUUAUCUUUUGUCUAUCAAGUAUAAAUAUUGAAAUCUGAAACAAGAGAUGGGAUUUUGAAGCGAACCGAAUACCUAAAUCGAAACUGAACCGAAAUAGAUUGGUUUUGGAACGGUUUUGGACUUAAAACUAUUACUCGAUGGUUCCCAUUCCCAAUUUGGAAAACUGGGUUAUGGUUUUCCUAAUAUGGACAAUUGAGAGUAUAUUUAAUGUUUAUAAUAUAUCUUCUUACGACUAUAAAUAUAUUUUCUUACAAUUAUGAUAGGUAAAGCUAAUAUAAAUAAUCAUUGUUUUAAGUAAAACUAAAUUAUAUCUCUUAUUCAAAAUACAAAUUUCAUUAAAACAAAAUUUUGAGCAAUAUAAAAAGUAAAUUAAACAACUGUUUAAAAUGUUGUAUGAGUUAAAUACACUAAAACUUCUAUGAAACAAUAUUACUAUUUACUAUAUCAUUUGUUAAACUAUAAACAGAAAACAAUAUAUUACAAUCUAACUAUAGGUACAAUAUAAUUCUGAAUUAAAACUCAGUGUAAAAAGAUAAUCAAGAUAUUCUCAAUAGACAUGAACAAUCUAUUUAUCUUUUUAUUAUUAAAUAUUAUUUUGACUUACAGUUACUAUCUUUUUAAAUUACCAAUCAGGUUAUUAGUUACAUUGUUAUUAAAAAUACAAUUUUAUGUACUUUCAAACUUAAUUUUGAUUUUUUUUAUAUUUUGUUUACAAUAUUAAGUAGCAAUGCAUAUGUUUAAUGGUUUAAGAGAAUUUUGAAUAUAUAUUCAGUCCAGCAUUAUGAUCCAAAAACAUUUUUUUGUAUUGCCAGUAAAAACAUUCUACAAUCUUGUAUUAAUAUCACAAAUUAAAAAUAUAAAUUAUUUAUAUUUCAAUAUAGCAUCCUUGAUUUUUAUUUCCUUUUUAAAAUUUUAGUGAUUUGGAGGAUUAGUUUUUUUUUUCUUUCAACUUCAUACACUUUUAAUUUUUAAACUUUUCUUUAUUUUUUUGAACAUAAAUGCAAAAACGUUUGUUGGCUCGUGUUUUUUUUGGCCUGUUGUUGCUUAAUGUUGUAUUAGUUUGUAUACUCCUAUGGUUUUCUCAAUUUUCCUUACUUUUCUUAUGAGGUCUCAAUCUUGAUGAACACAUGGUUCAGAGGAAGUCUUUCUGUUUGUUGACAGUUAGUUUCAAUUUAUUGUUGUGUCUAUUGUUGAAUGAAUAUCGAUUAAUUUCUUUAAACCAAAGUCUGCAAAUCAAUUUCUUCACUUCCAUAAUCCAAAUUGUUUUGGAAGAAUAUAUUCUUUGUGAGUUAUGGAUCGCUUGCAAUCCUUCAUGGCUCCAUCCUUAUGAUAUCCCUUGAACAUGCACGCUCUUAAACACUACCUUUUGAGCUUUAAAUUUGACUUUACAUUGUCAUUGAUCGUUUUUUUCGGGAAGACGAACUAUUUUUCCACGAGAAAUAUCAUAUAUUACCAAAUCCCUAUUAAACUAUGACCUCGUUCCAGAUGUCUCCAAAUUUAAAGUUUGAAAUCUAUUUCCCCAUCAAACUUUAUUCGAUAUUGGUUAAGAUAUUUUCUGGUUUAUUUGAGAGAUCAAACCAGAAAAUUCAAAAACGUGAACCAAAAACCGGUUCAGAACUAAACAUUACCUAGAUUUGACCCGACCCAUGACCCUCUCGGUUUAAAUUCACAAAGCGAGUUAUGAACCCUAAAAUCGAUUUAUGAUUCUCUUCUCCCCUAUUUUCAAGAGUGUAAAUAUAUAUAUUUUUUAUUUAAAUAAAUCUCGACCACGUGAUGAGAAAUAGAAAUCACGGUGCGUCAAAUCAAAGGCGGCGAUACUUGACAAAUGUUGAUACCUUGAAACUGCCUGAACCAGACUGUCCAUCUUGAAGAUCUCGCAUGCCGCCUUCUCGUUAACGACGAACUGAUCAGCUAGAUAAGGACCUGGAUGUUCACCCCUUUUAGAUGCGGAUUGUGUAAAGUCACUAAAAAGGGCUGGGAGGAUUGACGCACAUAACAACAAACUUCAUCUUGAAACAAGUCGACUCCAUUGUGCGCAAUAGAAUCUCUGCUUCUAGAGAUGAUAAUCUGGAUUAAGCCAGCAUCUGCAUGCAAUUGUGGUUUUUAUUCUUCUCCUCUCAUCAAAACUCAACAUACCAAUCAUAUAUCCUCUCUACGUGCUUCCAAAAAGCCGUGUUCUAUCAAAAAUCCUUUUAAGGAUGGGUUUCAUAGGCCAACAAUUAAUUCACGAAUGAACUUAAAGAGCCAAUUUACUGGGGUUUUCAACACCCUUCCUUGUUCGAACUAUUUAUAUGUAGCAACUUAUGCAUGCAUGUUGGCAACCUAAUGAAUAUCCAAAUAUGGUUAAAUUUCGUGUCCUUAACAAAUCCGAACCGUACGCCAAUUUCUAUCUUCUUUUGAGUUCACCGCCCAUUUCUACCUUUAACCACCACAAAAAUACUUACGUUGACUAAUAAGUUCCAAAUUUAAUGGGCUUUUAGAUUGGCCCGUCAUCUAGAUUCCAGAUUUGUUUUUCCCUUUUUCCCCAUUAAGAUCUGAAUCUGAUGACAUUAAUUAAUGCACUUGACCAGUAAACCUUACAGUUUUCGUUAUUUCCACAUCUUCGGUCUCUGUCUCUGUCUCUUCUCCACUAACGUUACUUCUUCUCCCUCAUUGAUCAUCCCAACAAAACAAAACAAAACCCUAAUUACAUUCCAAGCUUCUGUUUUUUUUUUUAAAAAACAGGUUUUAAUUUUCCAAAAAGACAAUGAAACUGUGUCGACUUUGAACAUUAGAUGCGAUGAAGAAACUGAGAAGCUAUUACUCGAAUGCGAGGCAUCAUCAUAACCACCACCACUCAGAGAGGAGAUGGAUUCUCUUCCCUAUAGUGAUCGCUUCAAUCUUCGCCGUCUUCUUACUCUUCCUCACCACCCUCACUUCCCCAACCGGAGCCCGUCUCCUCCCUUUCACCCGACCCGUUUUGCUAACCGGAUCUGGGUCAUCGGCCUUCGUCGAGUCCAAGAUCAAACCCAGACCCGUCUCCUCCCUCCCCGAUCCGCCGCGGUUCGCUUACUUGAUUUCCGGAUCCGCCGGCGACGGGAAGUCUCUCCGGCGAACCCUUUUGGCUCUCUACCACCCUAACAACCGCUACGUUGUUCAUCUGGAAAGAGCAUCUUCCCCCGAGGAGAGAGAGGAUCUCCAUGGAUACAUUCGAAACUCGUCCUUGUUCCGAAGGUUCCAGAACGUUCACGUGAUUGAGAAGGCUAACCUCGUGACGUACCGUGGGCCUACGAUGGUGGCGAAUACGCUUCACGCGGCGGCGAUUUUGCUCAGGGAAGGAGCUGAGUGGGACUGGUUCAUCAAUCUCAGCUCCUCUGAUUAUCCUCUUAUGACUCAAGAUGGUGAGAAUAUUCUGAAAGAGUCGAAAACUGCUUUUUUGGUUUUGUUCUUUUAUUACAAGAUUUUGAAUUUUUGUUGUUUUUUUUAAUGAGCAGAUUUGUUGCAUAUAUUUUCGCAUUUGCCGCGGGAUUUGAACUUCAUUGAUCAUACUAGUAACAUUGGAUGGAAAGCGUAAGAGAAGAGAGAGUUUCAAGUUUACAUCUUUUGUAUAUCAUUUCGUAAAACUCAGGUUUUGGUUUUUUUAUUUAUUUUUAUUUCAGAUCACAGAGAGCAAAACCUGUGAUUAUAGAUCCUGGACUGUAUUUGAACAAGAAGUCUGAUGUUUUUUGGGUUACGCAGAGACGAAGCAUCCCAACAGCAUUCAAGCUCUUCACAGGUUCUUGAUAGACUGUAGUCAUCAUCUCUGAGCAAGUUCUAGACUUUAUUGUUUUUGAACUGUUAUUACUAGGCAUAUGCAGACUUGAUUGGUUAUCUUUAGGUUCCAUAGCUGUUCUGUUCGGUCGGUAUUUCUCAAAUUUACUCCUUUUCAGUGGUUCAACAACACUGAAUCCUUGUAGACUGCUAGGGAAAAACUUUCAUGAUUUACAAAUGUGUGGACAUGAUCUUUAAAAGUAGUUUGUUGUUUCCUUUGAUUGUGUGGAGGACUUUUGUCAGAAUCAGACAAGCCAUUUGAUUCUCUUAAAGCUAACUUGUGUUUCUUGGUAACAGGCUCUGCUUGGAUGGCUUUAUCCCGGCCAUUCAUCGACUAUUGCAUUUGGGGAUGGGAUAAUCUACCUCGGACCGUGUUAAUGUACUACUCGAAUUUUCUCUCUUCUCCGGAAGGAUAUUUUCACACAGUUCUCUGCAACGCUGAGGAAUUCAGAAACACAACUGUAAACAGCGACUUGCACUUCAUAACAUGGGACAAUCCGCCUAAGCAGCAUCCACACCAUCUCACUCUCGCAGACAUGGAUAGAAUGGUCAAUAGCAAUGCCCCCUUUGCUAGAAAAUUCAGAAGAGAAGAUCCUGUUCUUGACAAGAUUGAUGAGGAGCUUCUUAACCGAGGUUUUGGGAUGCCUACACCUGGUGGUUGGUGCAUCGGGAGCCACGAAAACGGGACUGACCCUUGUGCUGUUAUUGGUGAUACUGAUGUUAUCAGGCCUGGUCCAGGUGCUAGACGGCUGGAGAGUCUUGUUACUUCGCUGUUAUCUACUGAGAAUUUCCGACCAAAACAAUGCAAGUAAAUCACAUUGCAGAACAUGGCAGAGAUUGAUCUAGCAGCUUUUUGGGAAUAUAUGUGAUUUAGGAUCUGAUUGUGUAUCUCUCUUUUAGUCAAGAGUAUAAGUGAGGACACUGAACAAUUUAGGCUUUGGCUCUUGGGAAGCAUAUUAUCACAGAUUAAUGUAUUGUUGUUGUCACAUUUUCACAGAUUUCCAUAUUACGGUUUUGAGAUUUUCAAAUAUUAUACUUCUCUUUUAACUCUCUACUCUGGCCAGGCCACAAGUUCUCUGCAAGCUGGAGAAAUUUUUGUAAUUCAAAUAUUAUACAUCCGUGUAAUUCCUGGCAAUAACCAUGUACUCUCAUUAUUUUUAUUUUUUUCCAACGGACUCCAUGUAUUAAAGAGAAAUUGCAAGCUAUAUGAUGCAAAAAAAUUAUAAUUCAGUGUACUAAAGAAUACAUCAUAUAUUUUACUAGGGUUGGCCGUUCUAACUACGGGUGAAUUUACAAUAAAAUUAUAUUAUAUUUAAAUAUAUUUAAAUUUCAUCAAAUAUUUGGAAAAUUACUCUAAAUUGAACAUAACAAGAGAUAAUUCGAUUUAGAGAAGCAGUGACCGGCUUGACCUAGUUACCUAUUUGGCCAAUUACUGGUUUUGAGUUAAUAUUUGGGUUUGGCAUUACUAAUUUUAUUGAUUUUACCAAUAUUGUUAUGUAAGGAAAACCUUUGGACUUGUUUUAUUAUGGUCCCACUUCUAAAAGUUUAAGGUUGCAUAGUUUAUAAGGGUCACCUCAAAAUACACCUAUGGUCGAUUACUCACACUUAGUAUUCAACGUAUUUUUGUUUCGUCUUUUGGUUUCUACUUUCCAAGCAUCGAGGUUUAUGCAAUAAACAAUUUUUUUUAGGAUGGUAUAGUACUUUAAAAGAUUUUGAUGGUUUGUGAUGUAGCCGAAGCUAAUGAUGUAGAUAGAUAUUUAGAAUAAAUAUCAUAAUUAUUUAGUAUUAUUUGGAUAAUUAAUUUUAAUGUUUUAGAGUUUUAUGGUUUUCUUAUAUAUAACCGUUUAGGUUUAAGGUUGUAUUCAGAUUUUGAUUGAUUAAUAAAAAGUAGUUUUUCUAAAGAGCUUUCUAUAAACCGCUGAGAAGAAUAUUUUCAAUUCUAAAGAGCUUUUGAUUAAGCUCUAUGAAGAAUAUUCACAAACCUUAGUUUCCGGGUAUUCUUAGAAUCAAUGGAUCUAGUUCUAUCCCUAGAAACUUCCGCUACAUCAGUUUGAUAGACGCAAGGAACACAAAGGCGAUUCUGUCACCCCUUCACAUUUGCAACGGAUUGUUCUCAAUUGGUGAAGAUGGUUUCGGAACUAGAAAAAUGACCAGUUUUUUGCAAAUUAUUUGGAAGAUAUCAAAAUCCUGAAGGAAAGUUUCAACAACUAUGUGAAAGUUUCAACAACUAUCCUGAAGGAAAGUUUCAACAACUCGAACAUCAUAACACAUAAUACACGGGUGGAUUAUCUUGCACGCAGUGCCAUGAAGCAGUUGUAUAAAAAAAUUUACUCUAUUCAUUCAUAUCAAUCUAAACAGUAAAAUGGCAUAUAAGCAAAAAAAAAAAAGAAAAGAUAUUCACAAAUCUAUAUACUGAAUUUCAGUAUUUUUACGAAUAUUAUAAUCAUUAUCAACCCUAAUUCAAUAUAAACAUUACAAAACUUCAAUUCAAAUUAAAUAGGCAUGUUUCGAUAAAUACAUUGGUUGGUUUCUCUCGGUCUAUAUGUGUAGCAUCCUACAUUCAAAAAUACAUUUUCAAGUAUCAAUACUAUUAAAAGGAAAGGAGUCCUAAAAAAAUCUACUUAUACAAGGUUGUUGCACCUAUUUAUUUUUUAGUCCAACCUAUUGUAUACAACUAAAUAUUAUUAACUAUCCCCUAUUAUAUAGCAACCAAAUAAUAUCUUCUAACAUUCAAAUAAAUCUCACCCACUUUAAUAAGUCAUAACUAUCAAUUUAACAUAUAUAUAUUCGAUAUAAACGGCACCAAAAUUUCAAUACGUAGGGGUCAUUGUCAUAUAUAUCAUCCUCUUCCAUUAGAUCAAAAUUUUCUUACGAGAUCAACUUUUGAAAUAUAAAUGAGCCAUGUCCUAUUAAGCAUUAUUGAUCAAACCUGAAGAGUAUUUUUCACCCAAAAUUUUAUAAAAUGAAUCAAUGAAUUUUGCUAGGUCUUGGGCUUUUGGACCUAAUUAGGUAUUUAGAAAAAAAUUAUUUGAGUUCGGUUCGGUUUCCUUCGGAUCUGGAUGGUUUCGACUCCAUAAUUCAAAUACCUAUUAAAUAUAUGUUAUUUUUUUGUAUGUAACGGGUAUGGAUCCGUUCAGAUAUUUAAGGCUCAAAUAAAACUCGAUAAACAUAAAUAUACUCGAAACACGAAAAAAUAUCCAAAAUCUAAACAAAUACCUGAAAAUCAGAAAAUACUCAAAAGACCUAAAAGUGUACUUGAAAUAUGACCUGAGGAACCAAAAAUGCCCAAACUUUUAUCUGAAUACCCAAAUAUAUUUUUAAAAUUUGAUUUAUUACUCGAAAUCCAAAACUAUAACCGGAAAUUCAAACCAAAACUCAAAAAUAUAUGUAUACCAAAAAAAUAUCCAAAAUACACAAAUAUAUAUAAUUUACACAACAUUUCGGGUACUUUGGCUCCCAAACGGGUUUCGAGUAGGUCUCAGACGCGAACAAAGACCCACAUUUCCAAAAAAAUACGUAUUUUUCUCUGGACCCGACACGAACUGAACCAAAAUUUUCGAGUUGAUUUUGGUUUGGUUUUUCGGAAUCCAUGUAAAAUACCCAUGCGUAAGAGAGAAUUACAUAAGAUUUAUAUAGAAUUCCAAAUAAAGUAAUUCAUGAAUUAUAUAAUAUUUUUAAAAAUAUUUAUUUUAUAUAAUUUGACUUUGUAACAUAAUAAUGUAAAACAAUCACACAAUACUAAUUCAUAUCAAAAUUUGUUAUAACAAAAGAAUCCGUGCUGGUCCAAAUCUAGUAGUUUACUUAUAGUGGUAGAAGAAAAUCACAGUGAUUCUCCACUUUAUUUCCAUUUAUUGCUUCUUCUUCUUCUUCUUCGACUAUAAGCCAAAACAUCUCAACACAUACACAAAUGGCUUCUUCUCCUCCUCCUCUAUUCUUCUUCCUUGUCUUCCACUCUUUCGUCCGUCCGUCGUGAAACUACCUCUCUCCUUUCUCCCACUACACAGACCAAAAUCCCACCUCUCUCUCUCUCCGCCUUCUCGCCGAUUCCUACAUCGCCAUAACUAAACUAUUUGUUGCAAGGUGAUGGCCAUUAUUCUCUUCAGUUACAUCCUGAUUCUUGCCAAUAGAGCCAUGAAAAAGCUCCCUAACUGGCCAUCAGUACCCUUUUCUUUCUCUUGAAGAUGUCGAUGAUGCCUUGGAAGUGACAUCAUCAUCUAUCACAACAUGUGGGCUUUCGCCUAACUUUCUUCCAUGCAAGUGGGUGAAGUUUUAUUAGUCUGUAAUUUGCUUUAGUCUUUUGAAUUAGAGUGAGAGAAAGGGAGAGAAGGAAGAGCGAAGGCAUAUGCUUGUGAUGGAUGUUUGACACUUUCAAAUGUAAAAUUUUAUCAUACUUUGUAUAGGUUUUUCCUUAAUCCAGACUCGGCUUUCUCUCAACUUAUAUGUGCAUUGGCUAAAAACAAUUGGGUUUAUGUUUUUUACUUCUAAAAGUCUCAAUUAUGUCUCUGAGUGUGAUAAAUCAAUUGAACUGAGAUGAGUCUGAUAUAAACAAAUACUUGUGACAUGAAAAAAACUGAGUAACAAAUCAUACCUACAUUGCAUUUCAAAAUCAAUCGAUUUUAAUGCUAAUGCUAAUGAGGAGAUCAGUUUAACACCCAACCUUCCUGAAAUCAGUGUAAAUUGGUAACUUAUUUUUUGUUUAUUUUUUCUGAGAAUAACCAAACUUGGCUUUAGUUAUCACUACAAAUUAAAAAAAAAAACUUGUUCCUUUACAGAGUCGAUUUCAAUAUACUACAUGUUCUUUUGAUCAGAAUUAGAAAAGAAUAAAGAAAAUAUGCAGCAUCAUUUGGUCAACGAAGCAACGUCCUUGCCCUAAGCCACGCGUGUUUCCUUUCCCCACUUCCUCAAACCUCUCCCAUGUUCUCUACACUCAUCAACUGAUAACAGUACAUGGUCAAGAGUUUGUAUAUGUUUACAGUCUUACUUUUGUUGUCCUAUAUAUAUAUUUCAUGAAAACUAUAAAUUUUUCAAGUUGUGAUUUGUUUUCUCAUGCAUUUGCAAAUAUAAACGUAAGAUCUUUUUUUUUUAACAAAAAUGAAGGACAUAUAUAAUUAUCUCUUGCUUUUCAUUAUACAUCUUGAAUCUCAUCAUGAUGGCUCCUAAAUUUGUGAUCUUCAUGUUCUUCUUUGUUACCUGAUUUCUCAUCUACUUCUUCUUCUUCUCCUGAAUUCUUGUUUUCUUCUUCUUCUACUUCAUCUUCACCAUUCCAGAAGGUCCCAAUGACUUGUGCAAGAUCAAAGAAGUUCAAGGAAGUUGUUAGUGGAAUGCUUAGGUCAGUUUGGGAACAAGAGGAAAGCCAUGGUCAAAGUCUCAUCCAUGAUACUUUGACCACAGUUACCCUGACCACAGUUCAAGCAAACCUUGUUUGAAGUUCAAACUGAUGAACAAUUAGGCAAGUAACUUUGUGUGUGCUCAAAGUCUCAUCCAUGAUACAUAAACUACAUGCAUUUGCUGCUUCCUUCAAGAUGAUGACGUUAAAAAUGUAUACUACAUCCAUUUAACACAACAUUAGACCCCAACAAUAUUAAACCAAAUCGACCCAAAAUUUCCAUAUCAGCGACGUGAACAUGUUUCCCUCAAGUUUAUAAACAAGAAAACAUAGGUUAGAAGUUCCCAUAAAUCUUGGAGCACCAAGGAUGAUAUUACACAAUAAGCCCAAGUAAGAAAAAUUUGAAGAGAGUUCAGCCACUUGCGUCAGUCAUAUCAUAAUGGUGUGGGUAAGCAACAAAGGUGACUGCUCAGAACCAGCAACAGUUCUGGUUGAACCCUCUCUUGAUUUACCCCAAAUCACAGUGUAGAAGCCUAAGCUCAGAAUCACUGAUCCAACGACACUGCAUAUGAAGUAUGGAUGCAAAGUGUAACUUGGCAUAAAAAAACCAUGUAACUCUUAUAAGAUUUAAUUCCUUAGAUAGACACAUGAAGAUCAAUAUAUAGAUAUAUUCUUCUGAGUGUGCAAUUAAUUAAGGAUGAUUGUGAAGGAUAUAGUACCUCCCUAAGUAAAGUGCAUCACCGAGAAAGAUAGAACCCAUAGCGACUGCAAUGACAAUAGACAAAGGCUUGAACAAGGAUAUAUAGACUGGACCUUUCAGAUGAAGACCCCAAGUGUGUAUAACUGACCCCAAAGAUGAAACUAAGCCUCCCUGAAACAAAGUGCUAAAAUCAGAGCUGUGACUACUUGAAGUAACAUACAAGGUUUGAUUCUCACCGAGAACAUGACUGAAGCGAGGGGGAGACCCGGUUUAAGCAGAAAAGAACUCAAGUCUUUUGUAGCAAAUAGACACACAGGUGCUGAGAUUAAUGUUGCGCAUAAAUUGUAUAAGAAGACUACAUUUAUUUCUUCAGGGUAUACCUCCAUGAUCCGAGUCUGCAAUCAUAUAUGAGCCUGAAUUUAGAAAUAGUUUUAUGUGUCACCUACAUAUCCAAAGUCUUUUUCAUGUACCUGAAGAAUCAACCAGAUUGAAACAAGCAAAUAUUGUGCAGCGAUUAAUAGACCUCCAAUGAUCCAACUUGACUCAGAUAUAGUCAAAUGCUGGUCAUGCGAGACGGUUGUUGAUGAAGCUAGAAUUUUGGGGCCUUUAUAAAGAACAACAACCAAAGCACCAGACAUAGAUACUAUCGUGCCAAUGAUUUUAGCCUGAGUCGCAGAGCUUCUUAACACGACUUGUUCCAUCCUUUACAAGUCAUCCAAAGGAAGAAGAACCAGUUAGUGCGAAAUGAUCGGAUGCUAGUAAGCAAACCAUAUCUUUAUCACUACACACAUCGAAAGAUAAAAAGGUGUAACCUGAAGAUGAUAGCAAGAGUGAAGGUAAAAGCUGGCGUGAGGUUACUGAUAGCAGAGGCAAGCGUCGGGGAACUAUAUUCUAGUCCUUUGCAGCCAGCUACCACCGACAUGAACCUGUUCCCUCUAAGUCAGAAAAAGUGUAUAAUAUGAAAAUACUCAUAACUCUAGGAGUAUAUAGUUAAUUACCCGACAAGUGCAAGUAAGAAAAUCUUGAAGAAGACAGAAGAUUUGGCUGAAGGUAAUCUUCUUGACCUGCACAUUGUAAUAUAUGUUCACAUUCUUUGAAAUUUUAUAACGAUUUGGCUCAAGGUAAUAAAGAGUAGUGUUAGGAGAUCAAGUACCUUCUAAAGAGGAGGGAAAGUGGAAGAAGGACAAGUGUAGCAAUGACAUAAUUGUAAAAGACAAAGACAUAGAAGCUCAAUCCUCUCAUGGUCGCAGCCUUGAACAGUGUGUUGGCUCCAACCGUGACACACUCCACAGCCACCAUUGCAGUGAAUGGCACAACAUCUCUGCAAAAAUAUCUCCAUGCCACCUCUUCUUCUACUCCUCUUGCCAUAAGAUCUGAUGUUCAGACUUUCUAAAAAUCUCAGAAGUCAAAGCGACUUCAUCAGCAACCAUAGUAAUUAAACCCAACACGUUUGCUAAAUGCUAAAUUAAUUAUUCUCAACUUGACCAUACAACUAACAUAUUUAUGAUAAAAGGUCCCAUUUUUUCCUCCAUAACAUAUUAUCAUCAUAUGUUUGGUCAUAUGUCCCUUUUCAAAAUCAUUGCAUGAAUCAAAAACAUUAAACAGAAGAUUUUUUUGACUCAAAUUCUUAUAUAACCUCCAAACAAUACUAGAAAAAAAAAUAACAGAAACAUCUUAUACUGUAGGUAAAAUAGAGACAUAUAAACAUAAACAAUGAUCAUAUUGUAAAGGAUCGUUAUUGAUAAACGAACAGUAUAAUGAUUUCACUUGCAACAAUCUUAGCUUAAUGACAAGGCUUCAUCUUCUACGACGUGUGUAAGCAACAAAGGUGACUGUUCAGAACCAGUCACAGUUUUGCUAGCAUCCUCUCUUGCUUUUCCCCAAAUCACAGUGUAGAAUCCUAAGCUCAAAAUCACAGACCCGAUGACACUGCCCACAACACAUACAUGGAAAAGUCUGUAUUGGUUAUUACUUCCUUGAAAUGCAUAUACGAUAUAUAUAUAUGGAGGCAUAUAGUACCUCCCAAGGUAAAGUGCAUCACCGAGGAAUAUAGCACCCAAGAUGACUGCAAUGACUAUAGACAAUGGCUUGAACAGGGAUAUAUAGACUGGACCCUUCAGAUGCAGACCCCAUGUGUGUAUAGCUAAGCCAAAUGAUGAAAGCAAGACUCCCUGAAAAAAAAAAACAGUGUUAGCUUCUUAACUUAAAAGAUAGUCACUGAUUGAAGCGAACAUAUAAGGUUUGACGACGCUCACCGAGUAUACAAUUGCAGCCAGGGAAAUAUCUGGUUUAACCACCCAAGAAGUCAAGUUGCUUUCCGCAAAGAAACACACUGGUGCUGAGAUUAGCGUCGCAAAUAAGUUGUAGAAGAAGAUUACUGUUAUUUGUUCAGGGUAUACCGCCAUGACCUGAGUCUUAAACCACAUACAACUAUCAAUUUAGCAAGAGAGAGACUCUAAGAACAACCAAAAGUCUUUUUCUGAACUUUUUUUUCAAGUGUCUCCCCCAUACAUACCUGAAGAAUAUACCAGACUGAUAUAAAAAAAUACUGUGAAGCAAGCAAAAGGCCUCCGAUCAUCCAACUUGAAUUGGAGGAAGUCAAAUGCUGGUCAAGCGAAAUGGUAGAUGGCGAAGAUGCAGCAGUGAGAACUUUAGGGCCUUUAUAGAGCACAACAACCAGAGCACCAGAUAUGGAUACUAACGUGCCAAUGAUUUUCGCCUGAGUCGCAGAGCUACUUAACCUUACUUGUUCCAUUCUAGAAGAAAAGCACAACCAGUUAAAAAUUACAUGAUUCGAUGAUAGUAAUAAUCAACCUCACAUCCAUUCCUAUUCAACCAGGAGGUGGUGCUUAUACAUCUUCUAAAACAGAAUCGAAAGAGGAGGAGGAGGAGGAGGAGUAACCUGAAGAUAAUGGCGAGGGUGAAGGUAAAAGCUGGGGUGAGGUUGCUGAUAGCAGAGGAAAGAGUAGGAGAACUAUAUUCCACUCCUUUCAAUCCAACUAACCCCGACAUGAGCCUGUUCCCUCCAUAUUUUAUAAAUUCGGAAAUGCUCAUUAAAGGCCAUAAAUCUAGAGUUAUAUAGUAGUUAGUUACCCGAGAACCGCAAGAAAGAAUAUCUUGACGAAGACAGGAAAUUUGGCUGAAGGUAGUCUUCUUGACCUGCACAUAAAUGUAAAUCAUAUUGUUGAAAAAGGUAUAUAUAGGGUGAGAAGAUCAAGAACCUUCCAAAGAUGAGGGAAAGUGGAAGAAGGACAAUUGUAGCAACAACAUAAGAGUAGAAGAUAUAGACAUAGAAGCUCAAUCCUCUCAAGGUCGCGGCCUUGAACAGUGUGUUAGCUCCAACCAUGACACACUCCACUGAGACCAUCGCAGCAAACGGCACAACAUCUUUGCUAAAGUAUCUCAAUGCCACUGUCUUUUCUUCUGCUCCUCUUUCCAUAAGAUCUCUGUUGUCUAUAGACUUUUCGGAGGUCAAAAGUGAGUUUCAUAGGUAAGCAUAGUGGGUUAACCCACCACGUUUAAGAAUAUAUUAUUUUAUUUAUAUAAAUAUUCCAACUUGACCAAUAUUAUAAAGCAAGCUAAUUGGACGAAUUGCGUGGAUUAUUAAAAAAAGAAGAAAAAAACUAAUAUUUAUUGAAGAAGGGAGGUGACUUCGCUGAAGGAUGUAACCGUAACCAAUUCCAAACAUUACACAAAUAUGUGAUGAAGAUUUUGGUAACAUUUGUAUUGCGAAGGUCUUUUUUGAAAUUAUUUGCACACUGCAAUCAUUUACAAAUGAAUAAUAUAAAGAUGAUCGCUUGCAUCAAGCUUAUCUUACUGACAAGGCUUCAUCUUCUACGAUAUGUGUAAGCAGCAAAGGUGAACAAUGCUCAGAACCAGCUACAGUUCUGGUUGAAUCCUUUGUUGGUUUAAAAAGGUAAAAAAUAGAUUUGAUGUAUAAAUUUGCAUUAAAAUCGUAGAAUGAUAUUUAUUUUAAAACAAAAUAAAAAAAUUAAAGAGACACUUGUUAUAAACAGAGGGAGUAUGAUUUUUGGAUUACUGAAAACUUUUUUUUUUACAAAUUAAUAACAUAAGGAUUAUCACUUGCAUCAGUCAUAUCUUACUAACAAGUGUUCGUCUUCAACGACGUGUGUAAGCAGAAAAGGUGAGUUCUCAAAACCAGCAACAGCUUUGGUUGAAUUCUCUCUUGCUUUGCCCCACAUCACAGUGUAGAAUCCAAAGCACAAAAUCACUGAUCCGAUGACACUACACACACCACAUGAAUGGUAAAAUAUAAUCAGGUAUUACUUAAUCAAUAAGCUUAUUCUAACAUAGAUCAAAUCUUCAUAACAUGCUAGAAAUGAAGAAUGUGAAAGGAACGGUACCUCCCAAGGUGAAGUGCAGCGCCUAGGAAUAA